GGUGGUAAAAAUUAGGGAAAACUUCAAAAACCCCCCAUGUGGUUUCGUAGUUUCUCACUUUGCCUCCCCGUGGUUUAAAAAUGUAUCAAUAUGCCCCCCUGUGGUUUCUUUUUUCUCUUUUUCAUAUCAAUUUUAUUAUUUUUUUUUUCUUAAAUCAGUAAUAAAGUUAAAAUUAAAGGGUACUAAAGUGAAUAUUUGAUAAAUCUAGAUGGGUAUCUGAAAUUUUUUGUAUAUAAUUUAAUGAAAUAUUAACGAAAAAGCUAUCGAAAAGAUAAAAAUAAAACCACAGGAAGGUAAUUUGAUACAUUUUAAACCACAGGGGGGCAAAGUGAGAAACUAUGAAACCACAGAGGGGGUUUUUGAAGUUUUUCCUAAAAAUUAUAAAGAUAUAUUUUAAAGUACAAAGCAAUUAUUAUACCAGAACAAGCUAUUAAUUAUCCCCCAACAUUAACAAGUGCACAAAAAAAGUCCACAAAAGAACUAUUUAGAAAAAAAAAAAAAAAAAAAAAAAAAAAAAAAAAAAAAAAAAAAAAAAAAAAAGUCCACAAAAGAAGUAUUUAGAAAAAAAAAAAUGCUAAAUUAUGAAAAAACCCUUAUCAAAAUCCGAUUUUUCACUUUCCUUCCUGUCAUCUAAAAACCUACACUUUGCCUCCUUGUAAAAUAAAAAAUAUUCACUUCGCCCCCUGCCGUUAGUAAUUCGUUAGAAUUUCAUUUAUAAAAUAUUAUUAUAUAAUUUUUUAUGCCGAAAAUACUCUCAGUCUUAUCUCCUGUGAACAUGAUGAGAAACAAAAUGAUGAAGGACAAAAUAAUUAUUUUAUUAUUACAGUUCAUAUCGUACCCUCCUAAUUCAUUAAUAAUUUAUAUGAAAUCCUACGUGCCAAAGAACAGCAUCGUAGAUAAUAUUUAAUGUAAAAAUGAUUUGCUAUUUAAACACUUUAGUUUUUUUAUUCAUACAUAAAAGUUACUCAUACUAAAUUGUUUUAUUUUAUUUAUAGUUUUAUCUCAAAUCCAAUCUACGUUGAUAAUGUAUGUGCAAAUUUUGUUUAUAUAUGGAAUGUAUCUCCAUUAGAGUAUUCCAAAGUACAUGGAAAAAUUAAGUUUCUAAAUUUUUAUUUUUUUCGUCAAAAAUACUGAUACUUAAUAUUUAUAAAAAAAAAAUUUAUUUACAGCGAAGUGCGGAUUCUACACUAAUAAUAAUAAUUUGAUGGAACUAAAACAAUAUCCGUGAGAGUUCUUUUUUUGGGUAAACUUCAAAUAUCACCCCUGUGGUUUCGCACUUUUUCACUUUAGUGUCCUGUGGUUUAAAUUGUAUCAAAAUAGUAUUCCAUGGUUUUAUUUUUAUCUUUUCAUUAGCUUCCCCGUUAAUAUUUCGUUAAAUUAUAUACAAAAAACUUCAAAUACCCCACCUAAGUUUGUCGAAUAUUCAUUUUAGUACCCUUUAGUUUUAACAUUGUCACUGAUUUAACGAAAAAAAUUUGUGGAAUGUAUAGUAAAAAAAUAAAAAUGAAACCACAGGGCACUAAAUUGAUACAUUUUAAACCAUAGAGUAUUAAAGUGAGAAAAUAUGAAACUAUAGCGAUGGUAUUUGAAUUUUUUUUUCUUUGAAUUUUGCCAGAUAGCGAUCAUUGUGCACAAAGUGCGGUGCCAGAAACAAAGAUUUGCAAGUUGUAACAUGAUGACAAUAAAAUUAAAUGAAAAGAGUGACCAUGUGAAAAUUAAAAUGCUUUGGGUCCACUAUGUAUAUUUAUGUACUAAUUAAAAAGCAUUGACACACAUACCCCACAAUGACUUCCCCAAUAAUGUUCACUAGUGUAGCAAUCCCUGCGAAACAGACGGAUAGAUAAUUGAAGAAAAAAUACAAAACGACGAUAAAAAAAAAGAAAAUGGUAAUAGAAAAAGCGACGGUGAGGGAUGAGAUUCAUCUUGCCGAUAAAGAAUGGUAACAGGCGAAGAAACCGGAAGGGUAGUAGUUCGGCCCAAUGCAGAGGUAUGACUCUGUUCAGUUCAAGCAAAAAAAGAAAAAAAUCCGGUUCGAUUCGAGUAAAGAAAGAGAAAAAUAUAUGGAGAAGUUAAGUCGGUUCGGAAGAGCCUACACUCAAUAAUGAUUUGUCUGGUUUACGUAAAGAAAGAAAAAAAUAUGUGAAAUACUUGAGCCAAUCCGAGGUGAAUUAAGAUACACCCAACAAUGAAAAAAAUAUUACCACAUGACAACUAUAGGAAGAAUAAUGUAUAGGUAUAGACUUUAGCUGAUUCGGAAAGCCUACACUCAACAAUGAUUUGUUCGAUUAAAGCAAAAAAUAAAGGACUAGUUCUGCUCAAGCCAAAAAAGAGAAAACUAUAUAAAAAAUUUGAGCCGAUUCGGAAUGUAGCUCAUACUCAAUAAUAAAAAAAAGUUGACAUGUGACAAAUUUAAAAAGAAUAAUGUACAGAAUAUAGAGGUAUAGAUGUGUUGCACAUGUUAUAGUUAAGCCUUAUAUUCUUUACAUAUGAAUUUCAAUGCAUCAAUAAUAUAGUAGAACACACUUUAUGCAAAGGUCCAAAGUAUUUUUCUUAAUUAAAAAUUUUUAUAUUAUAUAUGUCAAUAUAUUAAUAGCCUACACGAACAGCAUCUUAAAAGACAAAAUAGUUCGCAUGAAGGGAACAAAAUAAAUAUAUAGGGGGACCAGAACCUUCCAUUGGUGACAUUUCAUCUACAUGUAUAUGUAAGCUUUUAGAGGCACGGUGACUUCAAUGCUAUCAAGUUAUUUUCAAUGUUAAAAAUUUUUUCAAAUCGAUGAUAGCUAGAUACUGUUAGAUUUGAUAUAAAGAUUUAGAAGUAUUUAACAAAUACAGUUUGUAAUUUUUUGGUAUUAUUUUUACAGUGAUAAAAAAUAUUCAAAAUCAAUGGUUGAAAAAAAAAAAAAAAAUCUUACAAGAAGAGAUAAUAUGACGCUACAAUUUUAGAUAAAAAAUAUUCAUCUUAUUCAAACAUGAAGCCUACCUCUGUAAGAGGUGCGUAGGAAAUAGAGUAUCCAUCGCAAUUUGUACGACAAACAUUGUAGAGUGCGGAAUCAGUUAAAUUAUCUUUCAAUACAGGCAUAAGCGAAAAUUCAAAUUACUGUAGUUGGCUAAUUAAAUAUUGCUCAACUCUGGAAUAAGGUUUGUUAGAUCCACAUAAGACGAGCCUCCUGGCUCCAUUGCCUUCUUCGCGGUCUCUCCUAGCUUUGUCACGCGCCUCCGCAUCUCCACCGCCUUCUCUCCUCUGCCUAUCGCCUUCCUUAUUGCAUUCUCAGUUUGCGCACUCUCUAUUACAGGCAUUUCUGCGGCAAAAUAGGUGAACUUCAUUGACCCGAUCGAUACGCCAAUCCCGAGCACAUCGACGAUGAGCCUCUCAUUGAAAAAUUACUCGGUGUAGAGCGGCCAUGUGACCAUCAGCACGCCAGCGCAAAUCCCUUCCAGACACGAGUUCCAGCCGCAGUGCGUGACGAACCCCCCGACCGAUGCGUGACUCAGUAUCAGUGUCCGUGGAGCCCAGCCGUUCAGUACCAGGCCCCUGUCCUUUACUCGUUCCUUCAAUUCAUGUGGCAGCCAUUUUGCGUCGUAGUCAUCAUCAAGAGUUCAUGACAACCCAAAUAAAAGGACAGCCGGACGCUUUGAGGCCGAAUGCAAGCUGGGCCAUUUGGGCCGACUGAAGUCGGCCCAUGCUCCCGAAGCUCACAUCGAGAACCGAAUCGGGCCGGUUUCGAUUGAGCCAUUCUGAUAUAUAAGAACUGGACCUAGUUGGUUCGGGCGCUUGUGGUUCUCAUUCUCGUUCUCGUUCUCGUUCUCGUUCUCGUUCUUGUGCUUCUUCAUCUUGCCUUUCUUUCGGACGGACUCCGUCUCGAUUGAAGAGAACGACGGGGCCCACGUGCCAUGCGCAGCGCCCCAUUGCCUCUCGAAAGUGGCGGACGUAGUCGGGCUCGAACUCGCAGAAGCUAUUCACCACCACGCCGUAGCUCCGCCCCUCCGUCGCCGCAAUCUCGCCGAACAUUUCGCGGAAUGCAGGGGUCGCCACACUGAAGUCCUUCAUUUGGGAGCGGAGCAUCUCCACGGGGUGCGGAAGGCCACUGAGGACGACGACGGCGUCGCCACCGCCGAGGGGCAAUGAAGUCCUACAUAUAUUCAACGUACACUAAAUUCAUAUGUUAAAAUAAAAUAAGAAUCAAACAACAGAAUAUAUAGCAAAAUACAACUCUCUAAAUUAGUGAAUACAAAAUAAACACUUGAUACAAAAUCUAGCUGGUCAUUGAUCAGAAUCCUUUUAUUAUUUGAUUUAAAUCAAAGUUAAAUAUAUCUAAAUGUAAAAUAAAAUAAAAAAAAACUCAUAACAGUAUUUUAAUAUUUUAUUUUUAUUAUAUAUAUAGAAAAUUUAGCUGGAAUGCUAUUAGUAGCAAACAAGUUCUAUUGCCACCCAUUUAUUUUGACGAUGAAGCCUCCAAAUCGAAGAUUUAUACCGUUAAACAUGAUAUAUACCACUUAAAGUAUCUACUUUUUCAAUAUUAUCCUCUUGUUCAUUAAGUGAACAAAAAAAUAAAUGAUUGAAAAUAAAUAUUCUUUAAAAAAUGAUGAUAGAAAUCUUUGUAAUCAAUAUAAAGAGUACAGAUCUCGUUUUAAAUAGUAUUAUUGGCUUCGGCCCAGGUCGAAGUCAAUUACGAAAAUAAAAUAAAAUAUUAAUCUAUCUUUUACACUUUAGUUUUUACGUCUUUCAUUUUUAUCAAAAUAAAUAAUAGAAUUUGAUAAAUUUCAGUUCCACAUAUAAGACAUAUAAGCUAUCAAAUUCCCCGUUUCUUUUGCUUUGGAAGUCGUGUAUUUGGACCAGGUACGUUUAUAGUUGGUUCUUUGGUCCAUUAAUCCAUGGGCCCGCCCAUUUACGGUCCGGUUCGAAUCCGAUCCAAUCGAACCGUUCCCUACCGAUCCAACGGCUCACGUAUCAUCCGUACAUAUCCCCGCCGAUUCGCACCGAAACCCUAAUCUCCGCCUAUAAAUACUCGCCUUCUAGGGUUUUACUCCUCUCGAUCUCGUCCCUCUCGCACACCGUCGCCACUUGAGCGCGUCCUCUGCGGCCAUGGUACGAAGCCCACCUCCUCUCGAUCUCUUCCUCUUCUUCGUCUUCGUGGAUCCCUACUCUUUCGAUCUCUUCUUCUUCUUCUUCUUCUUCUUCGUAGCUUUUGAUGGGUUCCCUGCUCAAUGUAGGCGUCGGAGAAGAAGCUAUCGAACCCCAUGAGGGAGAUCAAGGUGCAGAAGCUCGUGCUCAACAUCUCCGUCGGAGAGAGCGGCGAUCGCCUCACCCGUGCGUCAAAGGUCGCGCCUUUUCUCUCGACACUUUCGUAGUUUCGUAGAACCUGUAUCCAGUGCAUUGUUUAGCUCACGAUUUGGUAGUUAUUAAACUCGUUUAGUGAUUUUUGGGGUGAUCGCUCACUUUGCUUUGAGUAAUUGAUUGAAAUGGUGAUACCUUGGUAAAACUAGAUCUGUUUCUGGUUACUGGAGUUAGUGUUGCUGAACUUUAGGAUUUCAUAGGGAUUCUGCGUUAGGGAGCUAAAAAAGUGAUCUUUCUUAAGUUCUUUUGCCAUGCAAACUCAGAAGUAUUUAUAUUUGUAACUUGACCAAAUAAUGAUUAGUUUCAGUAUUUUUGUAGGCAUAUUUGAUUUUAGGGUAUGUUGAGGGAAUGAAACAGUGUAUGAACUUUUGGGUUUCAAAUGGAGAAGUAAUAUGCCUCUUUUAUUGCCAUUCCCUUGACAUGAGUUUGCAACAUGGUAUAGUGUAAAGCCAUGGACAUCACCUAGAUAGCUUGUUUGAUAUCAUUUCACCUAUAUUCAUCAGGCUUUUGUUUUUGUCCUUUUUUUCAAUUGUUGGUUAAUAACUUGUCAAUUGGCGUAUGUUUAGGUAAUGUCAAGUUGUGCUUAUCCAUAUUUGUUAGCCUUUGAAAUUGUUGGUUACCUGCCAUCCCUUUUAGAGGCUUCCUUAAUUUUUAGUUUGACGUAAUUGCUUUGAGUUGGCAUUCUCGAAAAUUUAAUUGUAGCUCUUGCUUAUGCACGGCGAAAUAUUCUUGCCUUUGCCAGUGAGUCAAGAAGAGUAAGAGGUAUUUCAAAGCAUUUUUACACCAUUUUAAAGAAAGCUCAAUCCUAACUCAAUUGGUUGGGAUCACGCAGCAUGAAUGAGUCGAAUUUGUACACCAUUUCAUUAUCUGCACCCUGUUGGAUAAAGUCUUUGAGUAAUUAUUAACAAUUUAAUUAACAAUUUAAUUGAUGAUGAAUUGGCUGACGAUAUGAGGUCUGCAGAAAUCUUGAGCCACAGUUGUCAAAAAGAUUGGUGUAAAGGCACUUUCUGGACCAUUGUUGUAAUCCCAUUUGUUGGUUAUUUGAUAUGGAUGGUUGACUGACAAAGUUUACACGGCCAUAUGUCGCAUAGUUUUUUUUUUUUCUCCUGUCAGCAUUGUUAUUUCCAAAUAAGAUACGUUCCAAUUGUAUGUGCAAUGUGUAGUUUUGCCAUGUUAUCAUGACCUUUCGGCAUACUCUUAUUUUGUUUUUUACCCUGCCAAUAUUUUGCAGGUGUUGGAGCAAUUGAGCGGACAAACUCCUGUGUUUUCAAAAGGUCAUUUUGUGAAAAUUGUACAACUGUGUUCUCCUCUAUAUCUAGAAUGAUGCUGAAACCUCUUUCUUCCUUAAAAUUUCAACAGCCAGGUACACAGUUCGGUCUUUUGGUAUCCGGCGUAACGAAAAAAUUGCUUGCUAUGUCACGGUUCGUGGUGAGAAGGCCAUGCAACUUCUCGAGAGUGGCUUGAAAGUGAAAGAGUAUGAAUUGCUGAGGAGAAACUUCAGUGAUACCGGGUGUUUCGGCUUUGGUAUUCAGGAGCAUAUCGACCUUGGGAUUAAGUAAGAUGCUUAUUCAUCCAGUUGCAUUGUUAUAAUCCUAUAAUUGUUUGUAUAGGACAUAACUGAUCUUUUCCCUUUUCAUGUGUUUCCUUGUUUAACUUAACAGUUACCAAUAUUGAUAUAGAUAUACUGCCAGUAUUGUUGCAUGUUAAUUUUAAAUCUUUACAUAUUAUUUCGGUUUAUAUUUUUGUUUUGAUGAUUCAUGAUUAGAGCUGUAGUAGGGUCUGCUGUGAUGAGUACUGCUUUCUUCUGACACCUCUUGUAUGAGAAGGCUUCUUAAAGAAGCCCUUCGCUGAGCAGAGUAGCAACUCUCUGAGCUCCCUUUUGGUUGACAAAAUCCUUUUGCAUCAGUUGUUUAUGAUGUUACUGUGUAAUGAAUUUACCAGGCAUGUCUUGUUCUAAGAAACUGCCUAGUCCAUUAGCUUAAUAAAGUCAUUGACACUUACCAUAUAUUUUUGUUAUGGUCUAUUUAUAAUUCUAGUUCUUAUAUAUUUUCUGUCAAUUAGGUGGUGUUUGGUUUUGGAAAAAUAUUCCAGAGAACAGUUUUUUGGCGGGGAAAGUAUUUUCCAUAAGUUUGGUUCCUAGGAAAAGUAGUUUUCGGGGCAAAGUUUUUUUUCAGAUUUCAUGUAAUAUUAGUAUUUUUGUUUUCCUAAUUUUUUAUCCGAAGAACGGCAAUUGUAAAAAAGAGACUUUUCCAUGGAAAACAUUUUCCUGGAAAACAAUUUUCCACGUUUUUCUGAGAAACCCAACCCCCCCUUAGCUCUUGAUGUUUGUCAUGGAUAACAAUUAUACCCUUCCAUUGGUGUACUAUCUCCGAAAACAGCCAUGUUAUCCAUCAUUGUUAGAAUUCGCCUACACUGAGGAUUCAAAAUUUAACAAUGAUGUUGAUGUAUGCUAGUCGACGAAGACUAGUAAAUUGAUUAAAUGAUUACAAUUGAAGAGGAUUUUGAAAGCUACAUCGUGAAAAUUUAGUCUAUGGGGACCGACUUUGUUAUUAGCUUCUUUUCUUAAUUUAGUUGAAGCAAUCCUAUUGUUGCAAGAAGCUGACAGUCAUUUUCGUUCAGGUACGAUCCGUCUACUGGCAUAUACGGGAUGGACUUUUAUGUCGUCUUAGAACGCCCCGGAUACAGAGUGGGCCGCCGCCGCCGCUGCAAGUCCGGUGUCGGGAUCCAGCACAGGGUCACGAAGGAUGACGCGAUGAAGUGGUUCCAGGUGAAGUACGAGGGCGUGAUCCUCAACAAGUCCCAAGCAAUAGCCUCGUAGGUGCGUUCGGACAUGCCAUAUCACCUCAUCCGAAGGUAGCUCAGUUUCUUUCAGUCAAAUUCCGACUGCUGGAAAACGAGUGCUUUUUAGGUGAUUCUUUUUUUUUUUUUUUUUUUCUUUUCCUGUGUUUUAGAAAUGACUUGAAUUUUCAUGUGCUUCUCUUCGAAGAGCCGAGUUGCCUUUUCUUCUGCUUUCGGUAGUAAUUGGAGUACUGCGAUUUUGUUAAAAUGAAAAAUUCAUCUCAUUCCUUUCUCGCCUUUACGAUCUUGACGCCGAUUGUUGUGCUAUAUUAACUCGAAGUUCCUUGAUAUUAUCCUUCACAGUGAUGGUCUAAGGUUCGAUUUUAUUUGCCUCUACUAAAGUUUACCAUCUUAUGUUUUGGCAAAUCAUGCUUUUUGAAAAAGUAGAAGAGAAAAUAGUAGUAGGACUUUUCUUGUUAUUACUGUUGUGGAAGUGUUCUGUGUAUAUGCAUAGAAAAUCAACCUAGAAGUGAACCUGCUGUGUCAUUGUUAGGUUUAGGCAUAUUUAGUUUUGUGUGUGUGUGUAAAACCACUUUUCCCUUUUAAUAUUUUCUGGUGGAUAUUUCUCUUGUGGAAUUGUUUGUGCAACACUGCAACUUAAUAUAAGGUUAUUGCAUUAUUAUUAUUAUUAUUAUUAUUAUCAUAUCACUCCUUACUAUUGAGUUUGGGGGAAAAUUAAUUUUCUUGCGUUAUAUUUUUCUAUUGUCGUGGAAUUGAAAUUUUCUCAGUUUUGCACUUUUGUUUCACAAAAAGUGAAUGCCAUAAGCACUAGAGAUGUUGGAGGGGUUAAUAUUAUGUUAAUUUUUUUUCUUUUCUUUUUUUUUGGUAAUUGGCUUUUGUUUGGAAUGGAUCAAAGUCAAUUAUGGUGUUUUAGGGAGUUUAAAUUUCGAUCGAAAAUGAAGUUACGGUGAACUACACAACAGAAGUGGGCAUUUACAGUUGAAAGUUUGCGGUAACUUCAUUUUCGGUCCAAAAUUAAACUCUCCAAUCUAUUAUAUAGGGUAAUUAAUUUCGGCCCAAUUAAUUAUGAAAUGAAAGGCUAGAAAAAAAGUUAAUGAAAUAUUAAUUUAUUUUUUAUAAUUUUAGUUUUUAUGUUAUUUAAUUUUUUAUUAAAUAAUAGUAAAAUUAGAUAAAUCUUUAAUUUUAUACCUAUAUAAAUAAAUAAUGAAAAAAAAAAUUUAUUUUAAUUAUUUGAAUUAUUUGAAAGUCUAUUUCGUUUUGAACCUGUUCUUAUUCAAUGAAAUAAAUACUGCAUCACGAAAGAAAUUAUAUUUUAAAAUUGCGCUCAUGUUUAGCUACAGCUGAAGCACGUGCUUUAAACUUUUUCAUAGCUAGUGAUAGUGUUAACACUAUAAUUUAAAAAAAAAAAAAAACUUCAAAUACCACCUCUGUAGUUUCGUAUUUUUUUACUUUAGCAUUCUGUGAUUUAAAGUGAGGUUUCGCACUAUCUCAUUUUAGUACCUUGUGGUUAAGAAUGCAUUUCGUACUUUCUCAUUUUAGUAUCUUGUGGUUUAAAAUGCAUCAAUUUAGUACCAUGUGGUUUCAUUUUUCUGUUUUUAUCAGUUUCUUUGUUAAUAUUUUAUUAAAUUAUAUACAAAAAACUUCAGAUAUUUUAUUUAGGUUUAUUGAAUAUUUACUUUAUUAUCCUUUAUUUUUAACUUUGUAUUGAUUUUUUUUCCUCCGUUAAUAUUUUGUUAAAUUAUGUACAAAAAACUUCAAAUACCUUACUUAGAUUUAUCGAAUAUUCACUUUAGUACCCUUUAAUUUUAAUUCUGUCAUUGAUUUAACGAAACAAAAAGUUAAAUGAAUAAUAAAAAGAGAAAAACGAAACCAUAUGGUACUAACUUGAUACAAUUUCAACCAUAGGGUACUGAAAUAAGAAAGUGCGAAACCACAGGGGCAAACUUGAUACAUUUGAAGUUUACCCUAAAAAAAAAUAUACAUGUUUUCAUUCUAAUUUUAUUUUAUCGUAAUACCAAAUUACUCCUUAAUUAACUUCAAAAUAAAAAUGCUUUUACAGAUAGCUUCUAUCUAAAUAACAUUUUUGUAAACAAUUAUGAAAAAAUAAAAAAAGAAAUUCAUUUGCAGUCAAACUUAUGAAUUCGUAGAAAACUAGCAAUGUACCCGCUUUACAGCGGAUGCGAUUUUUAAGUUCAUAAUUAUUAUAUUAUAUUACAUUAUACGUUAUAUAAAAUUACUUAAUAGAGUCAAAUUGAUAGAAGUACUAAUUUUUAUAUAUAUAUAUAUAUUUCUUAUUUGGAGAGAGAGAAGAGAAUAAUUAAGUAAAAGUUAAAGUAAGAGAGAGAGAGCGCAUUGUCAAACUUUCAAAUAUAAUGUAUUUUACUCAUAAUUUAAAAAAAUAAAAAUUAAAGAUUUUUAAAAAUGUAUAAUUACUAAAUUAAAGUUUAAAAUUAUUUUAAGUAUUCAUAUCUUUUGUUUGGAGAAAGAGAGAAAAGAGAGUAUUAAAUUGAAAAUUAUUAACAUGCACAUUUCUCCAUGAAAGAGAAAAAGAGAAAAAAAAAGGUAUGGAUAUUAAAUUAAAUAAAAAUUAAGUAAGAGAGAGUACAUAUUUUGUAAAAAAGAGAAAGAUACGACGAAGACGUUGUGUUACAUUAAAAAAAUUAUCUUCUUUAUCGAUCCAAUUGAAAUAGAAUAUAUUCAUGACCUACACUAUAGAAGAAGUACCCAAUAUUUUCAUUGCCAAUUCAUGACGUAUUGGAUCCAGUUUACAAUAUUACGCAUGAUGCUCCUAAAAAUCAAUUAUAAACAAUUCAAAAAUUAAGAUUUAAUUUAUUGAUUAUAUUUUAUAAUAUUUGAAAUAUUUAUGUAUUAAAAAUUAUAAACUUUAAAUAUAUUUAUUAAAGUAAAAUUAUAUAUAUUUUUUUGAUUUGAUCUACGAUGCACCAUAUGCAUGAAAUACACCAAAUCGACGCCUGUCCCACAAACAAAAAUCCCACACGGACUUUAGUAUAUAAUAAUUGUCGUAGAAAAUUAUGUGUAAGCAACUCUUAUCCUUUUCUUUUUUAUUUUAUGCCACGUGGCGCUCAGACGUGCGUCCAACUCGUCCAAACGAGAUACAUGGUCGGACUCUUUCCGAGGUUUCGUUAACACGUUCCCGUGCGGGGCCCACAUGAUGUUUGUGACGUGUCCUGUGUGGGCCCCGCGUGAGCUUUGAGAUGGCACUCUGAUGGCCACGUAUACCACUUAUGGCGCACGUUAGGACACAUUCAAAUUGUACCCCAAAGUAUUCCCUUUUUCCGUACUAUUUAGACUUUGUUUAGGAUUGCGGGGAGAUUGCGUUACCUGCGGUGAGAAACGACGAUGGAAAAAUACCUCGUUUGUUUCCAUACGUAAUAUUGCGUUCCGCAUAUCGCGAUGAGUUGAUUAUGAUAUAUUUUUCGCGGUCCCACCGGAAAACACAGAAGCAUCUCCCUAUAUGCUUUUUUUCUCAACUCCAUUUUAUCUAAUAGCGUUAGAUAAAUCUCAAUACCAAACUAAGCCUUAGUGCGAUUCAUGAGGGUUAUGAGUUGGAUUAUUUAGCACCAAUCUUAGAUUACAAAAAAAAAUGUGGGUCUAUAUGUGUUCAAUUAUAAUUUGAUAUUGAAAAGUAUAAAAAAUAAAAAAUUAUUACUGAACUAAUCUUGAAAACUUAUGACACUCGUAAUUAAUUCAUACAGUAAAACGAAAUAACAUAACUGCUAAAUUCGUAUAUGCGAACUAAUGACUUUGUCUUAUGCCGAGAUAAUGUUAGCAAUAACUAACACCGAAUUGAUCUUUUAUUUACACACAUUUUAUAGCUUUGUCCCUGAUAAUUUUAUUAAGGUUUAAAGUAAGAAACACUUUUGUGGGUACGUUUUGGGGUACGCGAAACAUGCUCCAAACACACCACACACCCGGUGGGCCCUAGAAGGUACCCGAAGGUGUCCCCAAACCAUUUAAAAUUAAAAUUAAAUUAAAAAAAACUUCAAAUUACACCUCUAUGAUUUCACACUUUCUCAUUUAGUAUCUUAUAGUUUAAAGUAUAUCAACUUUUUAUUCUGUGAUUUUAUUUUUAUCUUUUUAUUAUCGAUUCUACUAAUUUUUUUAUUAAAUUAAUGACAAAGUUAAAACUAAUCGGUAUUAAAGUGAAUAUUCGAUAAACGUAGAUGAGGUAUCUGAAGUUUUUUGUAUAUAAUUUAAUGAAAUAUUAACGAAAAUGGUGACGAAAAGAUAAAAAUGAAAUCACGGGAUAUUAACUUGUUACACUUUAAAUUACAAAGUAUUAAAGUAAAAAAAUAGAAAAUUAUAGGGGUGGUUUCUAAAGUUUACCCUAAAUUAAAACCACAUCUCUCUCUAUAUAUACACACACGCACNAAUUAUAAACAAUUCAAAAAUUAAGAUUUAAUUUAUUGAUUAUAUUUUAUAAUAUUUGAAAUAUUUAUGUAUUAAAAAUUAUAAACUUUAAAUACAUUUAUUAAAGUAAAAUUAUAUAUUUUUUUUGACUUGAUCUACGAUGCACCAGAUAUAUGAAAUACACCAAAUGGACACCUGUCCCACAAACAAAAAUCCCACACGGACUUUAGUAUAUAGUAAUGGCCGUAGAAAAUUAUGUGUAAGCAACUCUUAUCCUUUUCUUCUUUUUUUUUUGUACCACGUGGCGCUCAGACGUGCGUCCAACUCGUCCGAACGAGAUACAUGGUCGGACUCUUUCCGAGGUUUCGUUAACACGUUCCCGUGCGGGGCCCACAUGAUGUUUGUGACGUGUCCUGUGUGGGCCCCGCGUGAGCUUUGAGAUGGCACUCUGAUGGCCACGUAUACCACUUAUGGCGCACGUUAGGACACAUUCAAAUUGUACCCCAAAGUAUUCCCUUUCUCCGUACUAUUUAGACUUCGUUUAGGAUUGCUGGGAGAAUGCGUUACGUGCGGUGAGAAACGACGAUGGAAAAAUACCUCGUUUGUUUCCAUACGUAAUAUUGCGUUCCGCAUAUCGCGAUGAGUCGAUUAUGAUAUAUUUUUCGCGGUCUCACCGGAGAACGCAGAAGCAUCUCCCUAUAUACUUUUUUCUCAACUCCAUUUUAUCUAAUAGCGUUAGAUAAAUCUCAAUACCAAACUAAGCCUUAGUGCGAUUCAUGAGGAUUAUGAGUUGGAUUAUUUAGCACCAAUCUUAGAUUAUAAAAAAAAUGUGGGUCCGUACAUGUUCAAUUAUAAUUUGAUAUUGAAAAGUAUAAAAAAUAAAAAAUUAUUACUGAACUAAUCUUGAAAACUUAUGACACUCGUAAUUAAUUCAUACAGUGAAACGAAAUAACAUAACUACUAAAUUCGUAUAUGCGAACUAAUGACUUUGUCUUAUGCCGAGAUAAUGUUAGCAAUAACUAACACUGAAUUGAUUUUUAAUUUACACAUAUCUUAUCGCUUUGUCCCUAAUAAUUUUAAAGUGAGAAACACUUUUGUGGGUACGUUUUGGAGUACGCGAAACAUGCUCCAAACACACCACACACCCGGUGGGCCCUAGAAGGUACCCGAAGGUGUCCCCAAACCAUUUAAAAUUAAAAUUAAAUUAAAAAAAACUUCAAAUUACACCUCUAUGGUUUCACAGUUUUUCAUUUUAGUAUCUUAUAGUUUAAAGUAUAUCAACUUUCUGUUCUGUGAUUUUAUUUUAUCUUUUUAUUAUCGAUUCUACUAAUUUUUUUAUUAAAUUAAUGAUAAAGUUAAAACCAAUCGGUAUUAAAGUGAAUAUUCGAUAAACGUAGAUGAGGUAUCUGAAGUUUUUUGUAUAUAAUUUAAUGAAAUAUUAACGAAAAAGGUGACGAAAAGAUAAAAAUGAAAUCACAGGAUAUUAAUUUGGUACACUUUAAAUUAUAAAGUAUUAAAGUAAAAAAUAGAAAAUUAUAGGGGUGGUUUUUAAAGUUUAUCCUAAAUUAAAACCGUAUCUCUCUCUCUCUCUCUCUAUAUAUAUAUAUAUACACACACGAAGCCUCUCUCUCUCUCUCCUCCCCUUGUACACUCACAAGUAGAGGGAGAAACUCAUUGAGCUCCACGAAGAGAGAGAGAGAGAGAGACGAGGACGAGGACGACGAUGGAGGGGGAGGCGACGAGGAUCAUGGUGGGGGUGAACGAGUCGUCGUUGAAGGGGUACCCCCACCCCUCCAUCAGCUCCCGCACCGCGUUCGAGUGGACCCUCGCGAAGAUCGUGCGAUCCAACGCGCCCGGGUUCAAGCUCCUCUUCCUCCACGUCCAGGUCCCCGAUGAGGACGGUGCGUAUCCCUAAUCGCGAUAUGGAUCUCUCUGAUCCAGUUUUUUUGGUGUUCUAGGGUUUUUGUUUGCGGUUGAUUUUGACACCGAUUUUGGCCAUUGGUGUUGAUUUAGGGUUUUGAUUUGGUUAGGACAUGUUUGGUUGGAGAAAUUUGGGUUUGGAAUGGGAAUUGGAGUUGGACCCCUUUACGAUUCCCAUGCGAGGGUGGAAUGGAGUCGAAUCUCAUUUUUGAGGUGGGAUUUGAAAUGUUCAUGUCAAUUCCUGUUCCCGUUGUGAGCUUAACGAACCAAUGGCAUUGAUUAUUCCCAUUACCAUUCCGAUAAUUCUGAUUCCGGUCGCAGACCAAACAUGCCAUAGGUGGCUUCGGAAUGGGAAUGAUAUGGCAAAUUGUGCUGUGAGGCACGAAUUUUGAAUGUAGUCUCAGGAAAAAAAACCAUUUUGAUGUUGUUGUAUCAAGGGAGUAAGAAUAUUAAAGAAGCCAGUAGAGAAGAGAAACAGUAAAAAUGUUCAGUUCGGGGUGUCGAAGAGAAUCAUAGUAUCUAUAUAUAUACGCAUGUAAGGAAAUUGGUUAAUUGAAUGUUGAUAAUUAAAAUUCCAUUGUUAUUUAAACUCUUGCCCUAAAAUUUUUCCUGAUAAUGUCCUUGGUUCGCCAAAAUAUUUUGCUUGCUAUCAAAUACUGAAAUUUGGGUCAGCAUCAUCCCAAACCAUACUUAAAUGGCUAAAAAUGUAUAUGGCACUUUGCUAAAUGUGGAUUGUAAAUCGUGAUUUCUUGUUGUACAUAUACAUUUAUGGUGUGUGACUAUAUACCUAUAUAUGUAAAUGGUUAUAUUCGUUAGUAACAAUAAUCACUUUUAUCGACAUUUUCCUAUAUUUUACUAUUUUUGUCUCUCUGGUUCAUCACACACUUUAAGCUGAAAACUAUCAAUGCGAAGUUCCUGAUUCUAGAUAGUGUUCAAAAAGUAGCUAAGCCGCCAAAAGAAAAGUUAGAUUUGUUCCCACCAAAGCUGGAUUAAACUGUGAAGCUGGUGAUAAUUUCUUUGUGCAAAUAGAACUAAAGCCUGCUUUUAGAAAGCAAGCAUGGUUUUGGGCAUUUGUUCGACCUGUUUUUGUGUUGAUGCAGCUCUGGGUAUUCCUGUAGAUGCUGUGUUCACCAUAGUACGUCAUUCAUAUACUGUUAUUGGACUCCAUUUAGUGAUAUCAAAACACACACGUCUACGGCAGUUAUUUGGGAUCAAUUUGACGGGCAUUAUAAUACCUUUGCUUCCUGUCUUGAAUAAGAUUUUUGUGAAAGCAAGUGCUAGCUUGUCUUGCCGCUUGGCUCCUUAAAUCUCAUUCCAUCUCUACCUCUCUCCCUCUCUCUGCACCUUCUACAUGAAUAAAAUAACUUCUUUUAGUUGGCUUGGUUUUCAGUGAAUGGUCUUUAGGGCAUUUUGUGCAACAAACUGGUUGAAUAGUUUUUUCACACUUCUCAAGGUCAUUGUUUAUUAUACAUGAGGACUAUUUUGUAGCACAUUUGUGCACAUCAAAAUAAAAUACUUACAGGAUGAUCUAAUGGAUCGACAGAGAUGUUCUGAUGUUCUUUUGCUGAGUUUGGCUUACAUUUCUGACUUCUAUAUUUCAUGAUUGAAGCAUCCCUUCCCUAUUUAUUAGGAAUGUCUAUCAUGUUACAGUGAACGAAUAGUUUCAUUGUAAUUCCCAGCUUUAGCAAUCCCAAAUUAUUGCCAAUUUACAGGGGUUCCUCUCUUUAUUAGUCAUAUACUGCACCUACUAGUGCCCACAUUUUCCUUGAUAUUCUAGUUUGGUAAAUAGCUUCAAACUUCCGUAAUUGCUGCUUGGUUUUCUAUUGUGAUGAAUAGUUUCGAACCUUUCUAAGACUUUAAACUGCUGCUUGAAUCUCCCCCUUACUUUUUGGAUGAUUUAGUGAUUCCACACCUGUGAAACCUUAUGCUAGCCUGAUUUUUGGUUUUCCAUCAAUGAGCGUGGUGAAUUUGUGGACCAUCUCUUUUUCACUGUGUGCAUAAAUUUUAGAUAUGCUGUCACUACUAACACUCUUUAUGUCGUUUUUGUUGUGAACAAAAGCAUUUGAUGACAUGGACAGUAUCUAUGCGUCUCCUGAUGACUUCAAGAGAAUAAAUCACAGGGACAAGAUAAGAGGGCUUCACUUGCUGGAGUACUUUGUAAAUCGCUGUCACCAAAUUGGGGUAAUUGAUAUUGAUCAAAUCUUCUGGCAAUUUCUUUCGAAUGGUUUAGCAUUUGCUUUUUGGUCUUAUCCAUUAGAACGGCGAUGCUAGUGGUUUUAAACUUUUUUACUUUUGCUCGACAGUUGAACUGCGAAGCAUGGAUCAAAAGGGGUGACCCAAAGGAAGUUAUCUGCAGCGAGGUGAAGCGAGUCCACCCUGAUAUGUUGGUUCUCGGAUGUCGUGGCCUCGGACCUUUCCAAAGGUAUCAUAACGGCUUAAAUUUCUUUGAUGUGCUUUUAACACCUUCCAAACUAUCGUGCUAGCUUAGAAGUUUGUAUAACGCCAAUGUGUCUAUUUUGGUUGCGGAUGGAUUGCUGUCAAUUUUCUUUAAAUUCAAAGCCUGUUUGUUGCUUCCUUUUUCCCCCCCCCCUCCAAAUCUUAGGCUAUAUUGCCACAGGAGAUGAAUGGUUUGAAUUAUGCUUUGUACUCUCUACACAAGCAUAUAGAACGUUUUCAGUUACUUGAAUACCCUUGGAAUACUCUUUAGUAACUUACGGUGACAAUUCGGUUGGUGCAUAUGUGAUUAUAGGAUCAUUGAACUAGAACACACUACUGCAAAUUUACUGGAACAUAGUCCUCUUGCUUGGCAAACUGUGUUCAACCUAUUGUUUAUAUUCCUUUUUAGGAUAAGCUUCACAAAAUGGCCCUAUGGUAUAGCGCGUUUUUACGCCGGAGCCCCAACGUGUCAUCCUAAUCAUUUAGUUGUGUGCUAAGGUUGCUACUACGGUUUUCGUAGGAACCUUUUUAUGGGCCUUGGAAGAAUUUGGGUACGUAUUGUGUCUGGGUUGGGUUUCGAUAAAAGCCCGUUAAGAAAACUUGAAUCCUCUAAUGGGUUGCAAGUCAAGUUUAGGUUAAAACCCGACCCGACGAAAAAGUGAUCAAUAUAUAUCCCAAAUGGGAAAGUAGAACUACAAUUAUGUUCUCAUUUUAAGCUGUGUUCAUUUCUAGAAAAUGCUACCACUGCAGAAAUUGCUGUUAAAAUUAGUCUGACGCAAAAUUUCAAUCAGCAUAUAUAUAUUUAUGCUGCAUGAAGGUGCUAUUUAAUAUUUAUGUGAAAUUUUUCGUUCACUACAACCGUACGCUACAACCCUAAAGUCGUUGAUACUUCAUUUUUAUUUUUUUUUUUUUUUACUAUUUCCCUGUAAAAGAACUAGCCACUUACCAGUUACAACUAUUUUAUGCUAUCCAGGGUUUUCGUGGGGACGGUCAGCGAGUUCUGUGCGAAGCACGCCGAUUGCCCCGUGAUCACCAUCAAACGCAAGGCCAAUGAAGCUCCACAAGAUCCCGUCGAUGAUUGAUCCUUCCACGAUGAUCAAAAUCAAGUCGUCGCUUACUCCGUAAUGUACAAAAAUAUAUCAUUUUUACCGCAAUGCUUCGAACUAGAAAAACAUGGAAAAGAAGGUAAAACAAAAAAAAAAUAAAACCGAACAAACUAAAACUAGUAGACAUGGACUCUGAAUGGGUUGGCGAUCGCUUGGUUGGUUAUGUGUAACCGUGCGAGGAACGGCAUAUACGACUUUUUAAGUUGUUUUUCUUUUUUUGGAAUUCGUUUUUCGCAUCUCAUGUACUUGGUUUUGCUUGCUUGAAUGUGGUGGAGUCGACUGCUCCAAUCUUCUUUCCUCCGAUUUCCGGAUAAUUCAUCGUAUAAUUUUUGCCGCCGCCGCCGCCGCCGCCGUAUUUUUUGUCUUCUUUGGCUUGUUUUUCUCUGACAGGUUUGGCCGCCGGAAACACGAUCUCGUAGCACCCGUCUUCGAUGUCGCCUUUGGCGGCGAGGAAUCCCCGGGGCAGCGGCGGCAGCGGCCUCGGCCUCGGGCUCUCCAUCGCCUCCUCUCGCCUCCCGUCGUAGGACCCGCGCGGCGGCAGAUCACGCUUCGCCUGGCGCUUGCACAUUCGGCGGGCGCAGAGCCGCCCGACGACGCAGGCGACGGUCGCGAGCACCGCGAUCACGGCGAGCACGACGAACACCGGGCCGAACGACUCCCUGGGGCUCGGAGACGCCGCCGCGGCCGGGACCGACUGCGGGUAAAUCGUCGGCUCGGCGAUAGAAGACAUAAUGUUUUAUGUGUGUGUGUGUGUGAGCUUGAUGUUUAUGUCUCUUUUCAAGUCUCUGAAGAGGGCUCUAUAAGGGUGGUGGGUGCUUUUAUUGAUGAGGUAAAGUGGGUUUUGGGUCUCUCUUUUUUCGCUUUAUUUGAAGGCUGGUGGUGAUGAUGUUCUUCUUCUUUUUGAAUUCUUUCUUCUCGGGUUUGUGGGUGAUCUUUGAAUGCUUGGGAAGAAGAGAAAGUGUAAGGAGAUGAUUUGAAUGCUUUGAAGAGGUAGGUGUGUGUGUGUGUGUGUGUGUGUGUGUGUGUGUUGGGUAGGAAUAUUAUGGUGGUACGGGAUCAUGUUGUUGCUUUAAGCGCAUUGCGUUGGAUCUAAGGAAGAGAAGGGCGUGGGGGAACGCCCUUGAUUUGCAUUCUCUUCUUUUAAGGAAAAAAAAAAUUGAGCAAUAACUUUUUUAAAAAGAAAAGUAUUUUGAAAGUGAAAAUAGGGGAAACCGAAAAAAAAAAAAAAUCAAAUAUUUGGAGGAAAGAAUUGCAAAUAAUCCAUUAUUUUAUCUUACACUAUUUAAUGCAAAAUAUUUUAUUUAGAUCAGCAAUGAUGAUGCUAAACAAUGCCUUAUUAAUUGUGUUUGGAAAGUAUAUUUCAUGAUUUGACAUGUGAUUAUGCAACAAAUCAGAUCACACUCUGGCACAUCACAUCAGAUUGUAACAAGAGUCGUGAGGUUAAGUCACAUUGAGAAUGUUAAGCAAGGGGUAUUUAUAUUGAUUGAGCGAUACUAUAAACUUAGGAUUGUCGUAGAGAUUUUUUUUGUAAAACUUUUCUCUUUUUUUUUUUGUGGGGGUGAUGGGAGAGUCAUUAGUACGGCCCAGCAAGAUGCUGAAAAAAUCCAGUAAGCUUCUUUCUUUUGAUUUUUUCUGUUUUUUUAAAUUCUUUUUAACCCCACCCCAACCCCAUCUCCUAGACCAAGAGAACUCUUUUGUGAUGGAGAAGAUGUAUGAUCUUUCUCUUAUUGUGGGUCAUGGAUGAUUUUCACCAUUGUGUGAUCCCGAGGGUGCAUUGCAGAUGCUUUAAUUUGAAGCUCUUCUACUGUUGCUAAAAAAACAACGACGAGAACACCGAGGAGGCGCUUUUUUUUUGCCCCUCUCUCUCUCUCUCUCUCUCUCUCUCUCUCUCUCUCAAAGCUAUCGAGGGUCCCCUGUAAGAAGCGGUAUCAUAACAUUUCAAAAAAGCCAAGAGAAAACAGAACAAAGAAAAAAAAAGGGAAAACUUCAAAAAUUCUCCUUGUGGUUUUGCAUUUUUUUAUUUUAGUAUUCUGUGAUUUAAAGUGUAUCAAGUUAAUACUUUAUGGUUUCGCACUUUCUCACUUUAGUACCCUGUGAUUUAAAGUGUAUCAAAUUAGUACUAUGUGGUUUUAUUUUUGUAUCAAGUUAGUAUCCUGUGAUUUUAUUUUUGUAUCAAAUUAGUACCGUGUGAUUUUAUUUUUCUCUUAAUGAAAUAUUAAACUACAUGAUACUAAAAUGAGAAAGUGCGAAACCACAGGGCACUAAUUUGAUACACUUUAAACCAUAUGGUACUAAAGUAAAAAAAUGCGAAACCACAGGGUACUAACUUGAUACACUUUAAACCACAGGGCACAAAAGUGAAAAAAAGUGAAACUACAAGAAGGGCAUUUGAAGUUUUUCCAAAAAAAAAAAAAAAGAAAAGUUGCAGGCUUUUUAAAUAAAUAAAAUAUAUAAAAAUGAAGACCAUGUGAAUUACUCAAUAAUAGAAUUUCAUCAUAAAAGUUUAUUUCUGCGUAACAAAAAAUAAAAUAGUUUACAAUUAGCUUAAUGUAUCCUACUAUCAUGUAUUUAUAUUAUUUUUAUUCAUUCGAGACAUUAUACUAUUUUCCUAUUCUAAAGACGUUACUGAACUAUCAUGAUUUUAUCAAUUUGUGCAGUAUAAUAAUUAAAUGCAUACCAUUCCUUUUCUUCUAGGGAGGAAUUUAUAUAUUCUCGUUAACUAACUACUCAUAUGAUUCCAAGCACGAAAAUAGCAAAACCCAGUAAAUAAUAGCAAAUAUAAUAAUAUUUCUACUACUUAAGAAUCUAUAAAUAAAUUCCAAAACCAACACUUUGUAUAGUUUCCCAACUUGAGUUGGGAGACAACAAUUUCAAUAUUUUAAAUAUAAAAUAUUUUAAAAAAAACUUAUAGAAUAUUAUAAACUGAAAAACGAAUAGCCCGCGAAUCAUUUCCUGGAAAUAUAAUAAAUCACGAAGUAAAUAGAGUACAUUAUCAUACAAAAAAGAAGUACAUAAAUUUGAGGAUCAAGUGAUAAACUAAAUUUGAAUUUUCAUAUGCAACUACAAAAGGUAAAAAAAAACAAGAAACUCUGAAAAUUACCCACAAAAAAAGGGUAUAGAAGUGCAAGUGAGGAAAAUAAGAUUAAAUAAAGAAAAAUUGGGGUGCCAAGUUAGAGUAACAGCAUGAGCUCAACCAAGAGAAACAUCUAAGUGAUUCGAUCCGACAAUAGAACAAAAUUUUGGAAAAUUAAUCUUACGAUCGAGGCUUCUCCUUCUUUUCCUUGAACAAGGCGAGAAGCGACACACCCGACACCUUAACAACCUUGAAUCUUACUCCGGGGAUAUCACCGACGGCGUGACCCUUCCGUCCAAAUCCGGCAAUCAAAACCUCAUCCUGUAGUUUGUAUUUUGUAUAUAACAUUAUAUGUCAAGAGAGAUCUCAAAAUACCCGUCGUAAUCAUCGAACUACAGCCCAAGUAACCCCACAACCAAGUUUUCGAUUCCUGUAGAGUUAACAAGGAGGAAAAGUUCCACCGAAACUUACGUUUUCUUCGAUAAAAUUCAAGCAACCGUCGUUCCGCACGAAGGCCGCGAUUUUCUUCCCAUUCUUCACGAGCUGAACUCUGGCGCACUUUCGGAUAGCAGAGUUGGGCUGCUUGGCUUCGAUGCCUCUGCGAAAUCACGCGCCGAUACGCCGCAUUCUCAGAAUUCAACCAACCGAUGAAUGUGAAUAUAAUCAUAAAGAAAAAAGAAGAAGUACAUAGUAUUACAAAAUGAAAAGCGAAGCACCCUACAUCUUCUCGAGGACGAUGCCUUUCGCAUGCGAAGAGCCAGCGAAGGGCUUCUUCCACUCGUUGCCGAGAUGGCUUUUCUUGUAUGCCUAGUCCGCCCACCUCUGCCGCCUCCUGUGGCUCUUGAGCUUGCGCCCAGCUCCCAUACCACGCAUCUUCCUGUUACAUGAUUGUAAGUCAUAAAACAAAAUCAUAUGUUCGCAUAAUAUAAACAUUUCUCAAAGUAUCCCAAACUAGUAAACUUUGUUAACGGACGACAAAUACCACAUUGUUUGAUACCCAUAAGAAGAGGCCAUUUGCAAGUCAAUUUAUUUAUAGUCGGCCUAAGUCGAAGCUACUUAUCUAAGAUAGCAGGUUAUAUGAUCAAGGCAUUGGUAAGAUGAGAUUCGAAGAGCUUCCAUAUCCACAUUCUAAACACAUUAUCCUUCUCUUAAAUGUUUCAUCGACAAGCAAAUGAUAUAAAGUGGAUUUCUCAUGAAAACCGUAUCUACACAGGAAAUCUAAAUUUGUCCUCUUCACUCUUAAAAAUUCUCAAACAGAUUCAUCACGUUGUGAAAACAUUGCAAUCGUAGAAAGACCGUCCGAUUUUAAGGAAUAACGGAAAGGUUUGGCUCGCUCAUUAAUCAAAAUCCCUAUUGAUCAAGCGAACAUCCGAUCCACGAUGAAUAAGGAAAUAAGGAAUCAUAAAUCAUUUAUAGUGUCUUCUCAAUAGCUUACCCAAGAACAAAAUCCAACUGAGUAAACACACUAGCUUGCGCAACUGUGUUGCACCCAAAAUUAGGCAUAAAAUCAACAGUGCCACUUCGCAGAACCCAAAACCCUCCAGGUAACGCAAACUACUACUAACCGCUAAUUGUGAUGAACUCAGUUGAAAUAUUAUUUCCAUGUUUUGUUAAUCUUAAAGACUCUCACUAAGAUGAACAGGAUGAGCGAUAAGAAACAAAUAAUGCAUUGCCAUUAAUGCUGUAAAAAAUAAGCUUAUUGCUCUACAAUCGCAAACGAAUCUAGGGUUUUAUUAUAAUUAGGGUUUACAUUUUGUACUCAUUUAGACGAUUUUAAGAUCUCUUCGAUUUAUAAACUAAUGUGAUCAUCAAAACCCCACAACUCCACAAUAAAUCCUGUCGAUCACCAAAUUUCAUGGUCGAAUCACAUAAAUAGAUAACACAUCAACAAACGAUUCUACGUAGCACCCAAUAGCUCGUAGAAUCGAUAGAUGGAGAUUGUGAAGUAAAGAACAAAAUAAACAUUAUAAUUAGGGUUUGAAUCACAAACCUAAAUCAUAUUUAAAAAAAAAAAAAAAAAAAAAAACAUCGCAAAAUGGUUUCCUUGUUGUACCCAUAUAAACGAUUCAAAAAAUCUCUUCUUCUUACAAAGCCAAUAACACAAGUCGAUUACAAAACCCAAUUCAUCGCGAAAAUUUGUGGCCAAAUCAACAAAUUAGUAGUUUCGUUCGGAUCGCUCACCCCAUCUCUGCAGCGUGCUCUCUCUCUCUCUCUCUCUCUCUCUCCCUCCCUCUCCUCGCUGCGACGACGACGACGACGACGAAGACGAACCCUAAACCCUCAUUUUAAUACUCCGGGGGAAUUUAAUUGUACCACAAGGGUAGUUUAGUAAUUUCGCAACAUUUAGGCUAAAUAAUGGGCCGGUUCGAUUGUAACCGCGGCCCGGUUCGGCCCAAUAAAUGUUAGCGGCAAGUGCUAACUCGGCCUUAGGCCCGGUUCAAGAUCGAGCCCGGUCCGGUUCCCACCUAUAACAAGCUCUUUUUCUUUUUUCUUUUUUUUUUUUGGUUAUUGUAUGUAGCUAUUCUGAUGAUUGUUAGCCAGGAAGCUGAUCAAGAAGUUGGAGUUUUGAUCUUUGCCAAUCAUAAAGCACCGACGGCUCUGAUCUAUUGAUGAAAGUGGAUUUUUUUUUUUUUCCUGAAAAUACCUGAAAAAAGCUACAUAGUCACAUAGAUGAACACCCGCUAAAAGUAGAAACACACUGAAUAGAUUACGAGUAGCAAUCCAGCUCGCUAUUCGCGAGCCAGCUUGUGUUCGGCUCGAAAUGAGCUCGAAAUCGAAUCGCUCGUUUAGCAAACGAGCCGAACAUGAGCUGAAUUUUUCAGCUUGUUUAAUAAACGAGCCAAACACGGGAUAGGGUCUGUUUGUUCGUGUUCGGCUCGAUAAUAGCUUGAACACAUAUAUUUUAUAUUUAUAUAAUUUAUUUAAUUUAUAUUUAUAUAUAAAUAAAUAAUUAUAUAUAUAAUAUAUAUAUUUUUAUUAUUUGAUUUUUAGCAAAAAAAAUAUAAAGUUGAGCUCAAUUAUAGAAAAACUCAUUUAUAUGUAAAGUUUUAAUCAUUAGAUCAAAGUCUAAUGGGUAAGAUUUUAUAAAUUUAUUUUAUAUAUAUAUAUAUAUAUAUAUAUAUAUAUAUAUAUAAUCUAAUCUAUUUAUCUUAUUGUUCGUUGGUAUUAACGAGCUGAACACGUGCUGAAUUUUUCAGUUCGAUACUUUAACGAGUCACGAGCCGACUAUAGCUCGAUCGUGUUCGGCGCGUCGACACACAAAUAGAGAAUACCAGAUUUCAUAUUGUAAAUCUAAUCUUAAUUUAUUAGUUUUUAUUAACAAAUGAUAUCCAGAGCAAUGCUCCGAUACACCAUAAGUAUUAAAAUUAAACUCUUAAUUAGUAAAGGGUACAGUUGGAUUUUGCAUAAAGUAACCUAUUGAACAAGUUACCGAUUUAAAUUAGUUAAUAUGACAAUAUUGAAAAAAAAUUAGUAGUAUAUACCAAAUUUGCUAGCAUCCUAUAAUAUUAAGUAUUUUAUUUAGUUUUGUUACUUACCAAAUUAGAUAAUAUCAAAUUUGUUUAGUAUCCAACUCCAAAAAAUUAUUGAAUUUAAAUUUAAGUUUUGAAGUUGGUAUUGUAAUUAAUGUAACAUUUUAAUUUCAAAAUUUGUAUUAAACUUUUAAAUUUUGAAUCUACAUUGCACUUUUAAUUUGAAAGCCAAAUUUUAAUUUUUGAUUUAAAUUAAAAUUUUGAAUUUAACUGAAAGUUUUAUUUUAAAUUUGUGUUUUAUAUUUAAAAGUUGAAUUUGAUUUAUAAUUAAGUUUUUUAUGUUGCUUUGUAUAUAAAUUUACAGUUUAGUUGUAAUUUAAAUUCCAACUAUUGUUGUAGGUAUUUGAGAAGGUUAUAGUAUUCUUAGUUGGAUAAAAUCAAUUUUGUAGACCAAAAUAUUUUGCUAAGACCAAAAUACCCUUUAAAUAGGUACACGUUGAAUGGCACUUAUGCCAGAAUAGGAAGUCACCUUUAGAAUCAUAUUAAAUCUCAACCAUCUAUUUAAAAAAAUAAAUGGUCAAGAUUUACUUGGUGUAUUAAAAUAUUACUCUAUCAAAUAAAAUCAAAUAACUCAAAUAUCUAGCUAAGCAAUUGGAAAGGAAAUGCAUCUUUAGAUGAUCAAUCUUAAAUAAUUAAGCAACAAAUUAAAUCUCAUACAAAUGACCCAUCAUUAAUCUCUAUUCAAAUAAUCAUCUUAUUUCUAAUAGAGACAAAUAAAGAGAACAUGACCACUCUAAAAAGAUAAAAACAAAACUAAUUAAACACUAUAAUUCAAACAAGCUAAGGUUGAGAAAACCACUUGGACAAGUACUUUGGAAAUUAAGCAACACUUGUUAACACUUUUAGAAAUUAGGGGCUAUUUUGUUACUCGGAAAAGCAUGGAAAAAAUAUUUUCGAGAAACUCUUUUUUUUCAUGAAAAAUCCCUUUUUUAGUGUUCUAUCUAUUUGAUUCCAAGAAAAAUUAGUUUUUGAAAAAAAAAAAUUUCAAAAGUUUUAAAAAAAUCUAGCAUUUUCGUUUUUCUUUAAAAAAAAAAAAAUCUGAAAAGCAAAAAUAUUAAUUUUUACAUAGUUUUUCUUGAAACCAAACGGAGGGAAAAUUAAAAUAGAGAUUUUUCAUAAAAAUUAUUGUUCUCGAAUUAUUUUUUUCAUGCUUUUCCGACAAAUCAAACACCCCCUUAGCUGCGCUAACUAUGAUCAUCAGUGUCGCUUAAUAAAUAUCAAUAUAUAUAUUUCAUAAGGCCGGCGAGCGGCCGUGGUGGCCGCCGCCGAUCAUUCCGGCCGCGGCCCACAGCCCUAAUCCGGCGCACGGCGCCUCCCGCCCCACGAUGUCGGCGCAGCACUGCUCUUGCCACUCGAGCAACGGCAAGUCCCUUGUCUCCGCCGUCGUCGGCUUCGUUUCCGCAAUAGUAUUGCCCGGAUCUUCCAUCAAAAUCCUAUUUCCGCUGCUGCUGCUGUUGUUGUUACCAUAUGUAUAAAACUGACUGUCCAAAAGCGAGUUGUACUUGUGAUUGAAAAAGUUUAAGUUGUGGCAGGUGGUGAUGGUGGUCGGCAGCGGUGGUGAGAAGGAGAGGUGGAGGCCGAAGGAGGUGGCGGCGGCGGCGGCGGCGUGGUGGGGGUGGUGAUUGGAGGGUUUUUUGUCGGCGGAGUGGGGCGGUGGGGGGUGGCGCUUGUUCUUGCGGCAACCGCCGCCGACGGGGACGUUUCGGAGGGAGCCGCCCUUGGUCCAGUAGCGGCGGCACGUCUUGCAGAAGUAGCGCGGCUGCGAGAGGCUGUAGUUGUUGUAGUAGCAGAACUUGGUGUGCGUCGAGUCGCACCGCGGGCACUUCAGCGGCACCUGCUCGUGCGGCGGCCCCUGCCGCGCCCGCCGCUCGUGCAGCGGCACCGACAGCGGUUGCGAAUGUAUCGGAAUGGUAGGGUACGUUAGGAGGAGGUCGGCGGAGGCCGCCGCAGCCGCCGCCGAGGAGGAGGGAGUUAGGGUUUCUUCAGGGAAGAGACCCUGCAUGCAUAUGCAUAUAUGUGCAUGAAAGUAAAGUUUAUACUGUUUAAAAAAUCUCAAUUCUCAUUCGUAGAUCGUGAUAAAAGAAAGCCAGUACUUAAUGGAUCGGGUCGAAUUUGCUCAUUAUGGACGACCCGAAACCCGAUUAAAAAACCAAUAGUGCAAGAAAGGAAAUGAAACAGAUCAGUUGCAGAUCACGCAUGCAUGUGCAUGUAUUUGUUGGAGUGUGCGAGUGGUUUGAUACACUGUUCAAAGAAUCCGGCACCAGCGUGAAUUCGGCGCCGAAUUUCAUGCAAAUGGUGCGGAGAACGCCGCUUUUGACUCUUGCUAACCUUACACGUGUUCUCAUCAUAUUUGAAAGUAAAAAGGAUUUGAAUUUAUUCGGAGCAGAUCAAAUUUAUUAAUUUUUAUCUAAUUCAAUCAGCAUAUUAUGAUUAAAUUAAUUAAAAGAUAAUAUUAAUAUGUCAACAAAAAAAAUCUGUAGCACAUAGUAAUAGCUUGGUUUAAAAAAGAGCAAUUAAUUAAUGUGAGCCUCCUUGCAUAUAUAGCUCCAUGUGUUUGAAUAUUGUUGAACAGGUUUUACUUAAUAAAUUGUCCAACAAAAUCAUAUCUCUUUAUAUUCAUUAGCCAUUAAUUUCAAGUGUAGAAAUAAUUAUUUUUAAGUUUAUAUCUUAUAGAUAUAGAUAUAAAUAUAAGUUUUCCACCUUAAAUCUCAGGGAUACAUAUAUUCCUUUUGCAUUUACAUGCAAUUUACAAGAGAAGAUCCAUCCAAAAUGCACAUAUAAAGGAGCUACUACAUUUUACACAUGCACACACAGAUCUAGAGAGAGAGAGAGAGAGAGUAUUGAUUAAUUGCAUACCUUGAGCCAAUCAGAAGAGGAGUCCAUGCAGAUAUGCAUUGAUGGAGUGGCCAUUAAUAAUUGAUAAAAGAAGAAGUGAUCAAGAACUUAGAUUAAAAAAAAAUUUUAAAAAAAAUACAUAUCAAAUAUUGUUAAUGAACAUCAUGAAGCUAAUUAAGAUAUAAAUAUAUAUCUAUCAUAUAUGAAUGGUUCCCAUGAUCUUCAGAUGAGCUUUAAUUUUGGUGCAGCAGUAGCAGCAGCAGCAGCAGCAGUAGAGAGAGAGAGAGAGAGAGAGAGAGAGAGAGAGAGAGAGAGAGAGGAUCUUAAGCAAGAGAUAUUAAGGCUCUUAUAUACAUAUAUAUAUAGGGGAAUAUAUCUUUAUAAUGAACUAGACUAUUGUGGUGUGUGAUAUGAUAUUAUUUGGGUUGGUGAGGUUGAAUUGAAAUGUGAAAGAGGAUGUAGAUAUAGUAAGAAUAAGAGGAAGAGAGAGAGAGAGAGAGAGAGAGAGAGAAGAAAUUGAAAGGAAGAAAAGAAGGUGGAGGAGAGAGAGAGGAGGAGCAGCAGCAGCUUCUGGAGCUCUCACUGACUCCUGGCGGGCCCCGCCCUUGUCGGGCAAAGGAGAAUUCUUACACGGGUCCCGCCAGGACCCAAAGCGAGUACUAGAUUUACAAUAAUCGGUAUCAGAACAAGUUGCAGAUAUUCAACACACGAUUCAGCUCAGCAGUUACUAUAAACCUACUGUCCUGUUGUGUAUGCAUUUGAAUUUGGCGAUCAUUCUGAAUUGAAAAGGGAGCAGUUUUAAUAACGAAAAAUAUUUAUUCUUUGUUUCUAAAGAGGUUUAGAUCAGAUCCAAAAGCAUAAGCUUUUAAAGGGAGAUAUCUCUCACACUCUGAGCAGGUUAACUUGGAAAAGAAAUAUGAAAUAUGACAAAGAGGCACUUUAUUAUUUAUUAAAGUUUAUAGUAUUAUUUAAUUAUUAAAGUGUCAAUAUUAUUAUAGCACUAAGUAUAUAUACUUCUCCUAAUAGCUUUAAUGUCGAUAUUUAUUUCGACACCAAUGUUAUGAAAUUAUUCGAAAUCUUACUCAUAAUUAUGUAAAAAAUGAGCUCUCAACUUUAGAAUUUGGUUUAUGGAACUUACAAUUUUUUCACUCACAAAUUUUUAGUAUAGCAACAAUCCUAUUCAUUUUUGGAUCUAAAAGAUGUCCAUAUGUACUUUAACAACAAAGUUAUAAAUCAUUCUAAAUCUUAUUCACAAUUAUAAACAAAGAUAAAUUUUAAAUACCUCAUCUAUGGUUUCGCGCUUUCCCAUUUUAGUACUUACUGGUUUAAAGUAUAUGACUUUAGUAUCAUAUGGUUUUAUUUUUCUCUUUUCGUCAGCGCCUUCGUUAAUUUUUCGUUAAAUUAUAUACAAAAAAACUUCAGAUAUUUCAUCUAUGAUUUAUCAAAUAUUUAAUUUAGUACUUUAUAAUUUUAACUUUGUCGCCGAUUUAAUAAAAAAAUAAUAAUAAAAUAUAUUUUAAUUUAGGGUAAACUUCAGAAACCACUCCCGUAAUUUCGCACUUUCUUAUUUUAGUACCCUGUGGUUUAAAGUGUAUCAAGUUAGUGUCAUAUGAUUUCAUUUUUAUCUUUUCGUCAGCUUUUUCGUUAACAUUUCGUUAAAUUAUAUACAAAAAACUUUAUAUAUCCCACCUAUAUUUAUCGAAUGUUUGACUUCAGUAUUCUUUAGUUUUAACUUUGUCGCUAAUUUAACGAAAAAAAUAAUAAAAUUAAUAAUAAAAAAAUAAAAAAUAAAAUUAUAAUAUAUUACUCUAUGCUAUAAUGCACUAAAUUGAUACACUUUCAACUACGAAGCGUCCGAAGAGUAUCCAAGCGAACACGUUGUGGGAUUCGAUGACGUGGACGUGCCACGUGGAAUAUCUCGGGCCUCGUAAAAAGCAGUGGAAAAAAAAAAAAGAAAAAGAAAUAAAAAAGGGCGCGGCUCUAAACCGAAAGCUCCACUCUUAGGGGUGGGACCCACCCUUGCACUAGAAAGAGACAAAUACACCGCAGAGGAGGGAGAAGAAGCUUCCACUUUUACACACAACACCACCCCUCUCUUUCUUUCUCUCUCUCUCUCUCUCUCUCUCUCUCUCUCUCUCUUAUCUUUUCGCCUCUCACAAGCAAAGGAUCGAUUCCCUGGUCAAAGGUAUGUUUGUUUGACCAGAGAUAAAAAUUAAAUUUUAAAUUUUAAAUUAUAUUAGGUAUAAAUUAUUAAUUUUUUAUUCAUUCGUAUUGAAAACUAAAGUUUUCAUAAUUUCUUUCUAUUAUUUGGCAGGGAGUAAAUGACGUAAAUAUUAAAACUGUUAGUAGAGAUAUAUGCAAACGGAACGGAUGCGGAGCAGGAAUGGGUGGGUCUGAUUAUAAUUUUUUUUUCCCCAUUUACUAUUUCAUUCGGAGCGAAACUGGAUGGGAGCGGAUUUUUGACGGAUCAAGAAAGAUAUAGGUCUUCUGCUUCUCACUCAAUUUGUUGGUAGAUUAGGAUAAAUUUGAUACGAGCUAUUUUUUUUUCUUUUUAUUUUUAGCUUCCAUUUAUCACCACAUUCAAGGCCGAAUGGGAAACAGGAUUACCACCAUUUUGAACUUUUUUACAUUCCUUGAUAAAAGUGAUGAGUUAAUAUUUUAUAUUUUUUUAUUUACGAUCGAAAAUUACUUUAUUUUUCUCUACUUUUCAGUAAAACAAACACAUCCUUAGCGUCGAAUUAAUUUUCUUAUUGUUGAGCGGCGGGAUCAACCUGUGCAUAAUUCGCGAGUAAAAUCGGAGGAUCGGACACGUGUUCGGAGGAGGGUUGGUGCGUAUGGGUGUUUGGUGUUUUGGGGCUGGGUAGGUGAUCAACGAUCAGGAUUUGUCGGCAAGUAGUGUUGGUGUGGGAACGAACGGCUCAGGCGUCGCCGGCGCGUGACGAUCCCAUCACAGUUUUUUUUUUUUUUUUCGAAAAAAAACCAAUUUUUGAUUAUCCAGUUUUUUUUUAAAAUUUCGAUUUUAGAUCAGUGUAACUGUAAAUCAAUUUAGAAUAUUAGUUAAUCACUUUUUAACAUAAGAUAUAAUUAAACCGAUGCUAUGUGAUUAGUUCACCAAAUCGGUGCAAUACACAUCACAUCAACAAUUUUUAAAAAAAUACAUGAGAUGUUGAUAUGUCACGCACAUGAUAUCAUAUUGAAAACGAAAAUAAUUAAUUUAUGCACGAUUUUUUUUACAAUCUAUAAAUGUUUACUAAACAUCACUGAGACAGAUAAUUUUAAUUAGAUUUUUUUUUCCUUCAUAAAAUCCUCGCUUCGACGGUGAAAUUUUGGUCACUAGUCAUUCAAAAAUCCGUGUGCACAGAAAAGAAGUCAAGUGUACGAGAAUUAGGAUCUGAUGUAACAUUAUUGGUCUCAAACAUAUAAAAUCAUUAUCACAUAUAUCCAAAAAUAAAUAAAUAAAUAAAUAAAUUCUGCCGACAUGGUGUCUUAAUUAUUAUUUAAUUUAGACUUAAUUUGGUAUUGAAGUUCGUAUGAUGCUAUCACAUAAAAUUAGAGUUGGGAUAAAUAUCCCAAUAUAUAGUAAUAUACUUUUGCGUUGAUCACAGAAAAUAUAUCGUGACCGACUCAUCGCGAUAUGCGUAAUUUAAUAUUACGUAUAGAAACAAAUAAAAUAUUUUUUCAUUAUACUUCCUCACUGUACGUACCGUAAUUUUUUCGCAAUUCCAAACGAAACUUUAAUGCCCAUUUGGCUCGGCUUUUUUUAACAGAUUCGCUACGCAAAAAUAUAGUAAUUAGACGUGUCUUAAGUUUUUACUAUGCCCGCGAGUUGAAAUAAUCUUCCCAAUCUCAAUAGCAGAUGUUCUAAUUUAAAACUUCUUCUGCUGCUGCUACAGCAGCAGCAAUACAAAGUUGUUGGAGAAUCAUAUGAUUUUUGUAGAAGCUCCAUUUUCCUCCGAAUCAUAAAUUUGGAGCACUUAUUCGGAUCGAGGCAAAAUUAUAUCCUAGCAUGAAAUAUCAAUUGGAUCAAGACAAAAAAUUUUAUUGAAAAAUCCACAUGUGGAGAAAAAGUGUUCAACCAAAACAAAACAGAUCUAGAAGCUGAAAGGGAGUAUUAUGAACAAUCAUAAGAAAUAAGUUUAUUUGCAUUCCUCGUACAGUUGGAUACUAUUACUAUGACACCCGAAUAGUCCCACAUCAGAUAAUAUGUGAGAGCGUGACGGACACACUAAAACUAAUAACUAGGCUUAAACAAUUGGAGCCCAGCCAAUUAUUAGUGCUCCUGAACUGAAGCAUUACAGUUGGUGUUAGAACCAAUUCAUCAGGCCAAAGUGUAAGGUGAAUCUCAUACCGUCUAGAGAACUUAGGUUAUUUGUGUGAUCAAACUGAACAAUCACAUGGAAUAACGUUAAUUGGUCUUAAACAUUUUAGGCCGGUAGUUUAAGCCCAACGAUUUAUUAGCGUUGGUACAUAAAUUAUAAUACUCAAUUGGAGGAAAAUUUCUUCCUAAAAAUAUCAAAUUAUAUUGCCCAUGGGUUUUCCAUAGAUAGUACCUAUUCCAGCACCAACUCUCACAAUUCCCAAACCAAAUACACAAUGUAAACAAACACUAUUCCAUGGUCUUAACUAAAAAUUCUUCAAUCAAACACUACCAAAAUAUUCUACUACAGCACCACAACCAUCAUAACUUUCGCAUUCAUGACGCGGAAAUUCUUCGAUCAAACACUACCUGAAUAUAUUCUACACUAUCAGCACCGGCAUUAACUUUUACAUUGGUCAAGAUUGCGUUCGGAAAAAGUAGAUACCUAAAUAUUCCUGAUGAACAUAUAAUCCAAAUUUGAGAGGUGCACUGUUUUUUUCUCUGCCAACCUUGUGAGCAACAUAAGAGAAGGUGUGUUCAAAAGAAGCCACUACAAGUAGGUCCCAGGGCAAAUAUUUGACACCAUAGAUAUAGAAAGCUUACCCUGAAAUGUUAUAAUCAGAUUUGCUAUGUUUCACACUUCUUUUUCUUGAGGAGAUUUUUUUUUUGAAGAUAAAAGAACACCCCCAUAGACCAUAAGAUGGCGCAAUAAUGGACAGAGCAAUGAAUUCCAAGUGAAAUCGACAUACCGUGUUUUAAGCAUGCCAACUUAUACUUUCUAGAUGCUAAUAAACUGAUUCUCUGACCGUUCCUAACGCAAGCAGCAAAGAGCUUGACAAUUGGUACAUGAAGUCCCCAGCUAGAAGCCUAAUUGUUCCACAUUUCUAGCUAAGUUCAUUUUUAAAUGAGUGAAGCUGGUGGCAUGCUACUUUUCUCUCCCCCAAGGUGGGAAAAAAAAUGAUUCAAUGACACUCUUAUAGUCGAAGUAGUUCAUGAAUUUGCUUUCGCUUAACAUGUAGAAUUUAAAGGAAAAAAUAAAAUAUUAUCAUACCUCAACCAAGGUGGAGCUUGACGCUUGAAACGGAGUCUUCCUUCCAAUGGUAAGAUGAAAAAUAAGGCCUUGCAAAUAUUUGUAUAAGCAAUUCACUUGUUUAUGCCUAUCUAUAGCGGCAUUUGUAACAUGCGAAAAGAAAAACAGCUAAGAAAAGGUGUAGUCAUUAAAAUCAUAGCAACUUUUUUUUUCCCUGAAAAAUGAAACCUUAAAAAGCACUUGGUAAAGCAUGCAUUCCAAAAUACACGGCAAAGAGGUCGAACAUGCGAUUUCAGACAGUAACCAAUAAUAAGGAAAGGGCACAGAUUAGAAUAAUCAAGUGGCCAUGUAAACAAGAUAUGUACCACACCAAACAGAGUCCUAAACUCCUCAUAAAAAGACAUCUAGUAUACCAUCACUAUACUUUAUCCCACUAUAUGGAAAUUAGCCAUCAAAGAGGGCAUGCUGACGAGUAAAUAUUUGGACAUGGGCCCACGUACAAGCGCGCGCGAGCGCACACAUAUGCGCACUAACAAACAAAGAACCUUCUCCCAAAUACUAUUAAACUACCUUCAUAUGAUGGGAAAUGUUAUUCAAAUUAUUUACCAAAUAAAACUAAAGCUAUUGGAAAAUUUGCUACUAGAAUGCUACAACAAAGGAGGACAUCCUCCGUAGAUUGCCAUCUUUACGGCCCAUCUACAACAACAUGCAAAUGUAUUUAAGAUCACAACAAGGCAGGCUAAGCCGAACUGUUCAUUAUCUAGAAGUCUACAAUGCACAGGAACAACCUAACUUAAAGCUACCCCACAAAGAACAAAACAUGACCCUCCAAGAAAUUAAAGGGGGCAGCUCCUCAUAGACAGAUCACACUACUAACAUAGAUCACUUAACAACUCUGAAGCUAAUGGAUGUUAGAAAGAAAGAAAGAUAUUCAUAAAACACCAGAACUAAUUAGGGUUACCGGCGGUAGUCGGUCCGCUCAGCAUAGUGUCCACCUUCUUCAAGAGGCCCUGCAUCUCGCUGACCAGAUUGUCCUUCACGUCCGACCUCAACCCGCCUGACGGCCCGGCUUUUCUCAGCGGCGAUGAAGUCAGUGAUGAGAUCAUCCUUUCGAGGUUUUUUCUAAUGCAAUUGAGUGGAGGCUUUUUUGCAGGAAUAUUUGAAGGCGGCGAGCUCAUUUUCAUAGGGGGCAUGUAGUGGAGGCGGUAGGUGACAAAUGGGGGCCCAAAAAUGCCGGGCUUAUCAGCGCUGUUGAAAGCCGCUUCCGCAUCAGCGCUUUUUGCAAACACGACGCGGGCGCAGCCGGUUUCGCGAAGCACUUCUGUCUCCGACUCGAACAGCAAGCCGAACUGGCUAAAGGUGGAAACAAGGUCCUCUUUGGAAGGGAGAACAACGCCUGGGUUGAAGUUCAAGAGAAGGGCAGCGGGGUUUCCGUAGAAAUUAACUCCAUCCUUCUUCUUUCUCUUCUGCGUGGAAUUGCUCGCUUCCAAACCGUUGAUCGCUUUGCUACCCAAAUUAUGUUUGUCAUUGUUCUUCCUCUUCCUUUCUCGAGGCUUACUUGUUUGAAAAUGGCUAAUUUCAAUUGGUCUUUUCCCAUUAGCCACUUCACUGCUCUUAGGCAUCUCCAAUGUAAAUUUAGCAGGUUCUACAAAAAUAUUAGCAUCUUUACCCAAAUUCGCUACAUUUUCACCAUUAGCAGCGGUACUAUCGUCCAUUUUCUUCGAUAAAGAUUCACUUUCCACCAGAACACUUACCAACUGGACAUUCGAAUUCAAUGGAUUUUGAAUACUAGCUUUCUCUUUCUUCGUCCUCCUCUUCUUACAAGUGUUGUUUUCUUCAGAACCAACUGUUGAAUUUGGAAGCAAACCCUGAACAAUUUCUUCGCCAGCCACAUCCUUCGCCUUUUUCCUCUUCAAAUUUCCCUUCUUCCCGUCAACAGAGUAGACCAAAGCAGGGAUUGAAUUAGUUAAAUCCUCUCCACCAUUUUCAUCCGCUGCCGUUGGAGUUUCUCCAGUAGCUGCAUUGCUAAUCUUUUUCCUCUUAAAACUCAGCUUCUUUUGUCCCGAGAGAUCAACCGAACCAGGACUCAACCCUGCUUCGAUUCCGCCUUCUUCAUCAUUCCUCUUCUCUUCAUCCAGAGAUUUCCCUACGCCGCAGCAAGAUUCUGCAAUGUGCUUUUGGUAACCCUCAUAUUCACUGCCGUUUACAAACGUCGCGCUUCUAUACAUAGAAAAAAAGCCCCGCACUACCUUUGCCGACCUGUUCCACUUCAGGUGGAGUGGAUUUCUCGCCGUGCAAAUUAGCUCCCAGAAUGUCUCUCGCAACGAAAUCCCGUCGAAAUUAAGAGCUGGGCCGUUCUUAUCCUCUUCCUUGUGAAUCGUCUCGCUACCCUUUUUUGCCGUCCUCUCAUCCCCACUCCAAGGCGACGAGUCCAAAUCCUUUACAAAGCCGAUCAAAUUAGUGUAGGGGUAAGACAAAUACUUGCUCUUCUUCCUCUCCCUCUUUGCCGAUCCCGACUCUUCUUCAAUCUUCGUAUCGCCAAUUACUGUCUCAAAACCCUUCUUGCUUCCACCAUUCUUCUCCUCCUCCUCCUCCUCCUCUCCGCUAAAUUCCACAUUCUUAUCCGCCUCCUCUUUACACAAAUCCAUGUCCAUCUCGGCGAUGAGCGCCGCCAUGCUUCUCUUCUUCCGACCCUUCUCCAACUUCUCCUCUUCCUCCGAAACCGUAACUUCCCUCGGAACCUCGCCGCCAUCAUUCAACUCCACCUCCCUCUCUUCUUCUUCUUCUUCUUCUUCUUCUUCUUCGCCCUUGCUAUCAAGUAACUCUCCGGCUGGGAUAUCAAGGUCGAUCUUAUCCACUAGCUCGGUUACCUCUCUCCGCCUCCGAUACCCAACCAAAUCCUCGGAUAACCAUCCGUGCCCGAAUCCCACGGCCCAGCUUCUGAGCUUCACGCAUUCGAUCAUGUCGGGGGCCAACACAUCAACUGCAGCAUCCAAGGCACGAUCGAGGAACUCCGACGGCGAGAAAUUCGAAACCCCGAGCUUCUCGGGGCAGAACCUGCGGUCGCUGAAUCGAUCCUCGGCGGGAUAGCAAUGGCAAGUGAGCUCCUUUUGGAGGCAUUGUGCCACAAACCCUAGAGCCUCCUCGACGGCGGCGACGAAGCCCUUCGACCGGCUCUGCUGAACCAGAUCGUCGAGGCCGGGGGAGAAGAAGGGCUUCAGCUGCGAAGCGGAGCACCAUGCGGCGCCAUUGCCGAAGAGCGCCACGUGAAUGGCGGAUCCCGCUUUCGCGGGGGAUCUCUUGGAUGGAUCGGGCGGGGCGAGGGAGGGGUCGCUAACCCGCGCCGGCCACCAUGGCUGGCCCUUCGUCUUCGCCCAGACGAGGUCGCCGACGCCGCAAGGGCUGGCAAACCCUAACCCUAGCACCGCCGAAUCCCCUUCCUCGUCGGCGAAGGCGACUCCUAGGGUUUCGCCCCUCGAUUCCGGAGCUAGGGUUUCAGCUCCCGGAGCAAACCCUAGCCCCGGUUCUAGGGUUCGGGGAUCGGGGGGCUCCUGCGUGGGAUCGCCACCUAGGGUUUCGACGGGGUCUAGGGUUUCCAUUUGAGCGGAGAGGUGGGAGAAGAUGAGGGGCUCGUGCGGGGGACUAAAAAGUAAGAAAAAGUUGCGCACGAAGGGGCGGGGUGAAAAGUGCAGUGAAUAGAAAGGGGGACUGGACGGGAAUUUUACCUCAAUACAAGGGGGUUUUGUGCAAAAAUGUCUCCGCGAGGUCGAAGAAGAGGGGGAGCUCCAACACGUUCACAGUGAGAGUGUGUGGAAGAGGAGCGGGGAAGAAGCGUUUUGAGAGAGAGAGAGAGAGAGAGAGAGUGUGCCACGUCAGCGUCCAAGGUGUUCUGUGGGGCCCGCUGAUAUGGUUGAACAGCGUACAGCUUCAAUAGCGGGUUAUAAUUCGACACGUGUCCCUCAUAAGUAGUAGGUUGUGUUGGUGCGUGUUUGGUGUGGUGCACUUGAUCUGAUGCUUUUGGUUUUGUUGUCGCGAACUAAAAAAGUUUGGUACGGAUAAAAUAUAGGUAAAAAUAUAUCAAAUUUAUCUGAAUUAAACUCCAUUUUAAUUUAAUUAUUUAAUAUUUUAUUCUUUUUAUUUGAGUCAGUCAAAUAAUAUUUUAAUUUUAAAUAUUAAAAUAAUUAAUUAUUUUUAAUAAAUUUAUAGUUAAAAAAAUAUAUGAAAUAUACUAACUAAAUCUAUAAAAAUAAACAACGUAUUUAAAUUUUGAAAUUAAAGUGUUAUUGACUAACUCAAAUUAAAUAAAUUAAAAAAUUAAAUAAAAAAUUAAAUUUUAAAAAAAUCAGAUAGCUGAAUCAAAAUAGUUCAUAAUUCAGGUGAUUUUCAUAGGUUUUUAUUUAAAAUUAUAUACCUUGUUUUUCCCCGAGAUCCUCUCUAAAUUUUAUCGAUUACAUAUUUUUGUCAUACAAAUUUUGUUUAUUUAUUUUUAAAAUCCUCAAUCACAUAAAAACUAAUAAUUCAGGAAAAAAGAAAAGUUUUCUAACUGGAAAAGCAUUUUAUUCUCAUUUCUUUUUUUUUUGAUUUUUUUUCCAAAUUUUAUGUAAAAGUCUCAUUUUCAAAAAUUACAAAAAUUAUAUUUUCUUAAUGAAAGAUUUUCGGAGGGAACAAACAACCCCUAAAUUAUAAAAUAUUUUAUUAAGGUUUCACAUUAGCCUUUGAUCUUAUUUACUUUGUGUGAUAAAUUUAUUGAGUGCAUUCUCAUUUCCAUAUUUUUAAUAAAAAUCAUUAGUAGUUCAUUAAUAAUAAUAUAUUAGAUUUUAACAAUCUACCAAUUUAAGUGACGUGAUAAGUUAAUAAUAAUAAUAAGCUUCUCGUUCCAAAUAUAAUAUAUGAAAAUGUUUUCAAAAUAUUACAAGCUAUGAAUCAAACGGUUUCUAAUAAGAGCAAUGUUAUACGUACACUUCUAACUUAACAAACAUUUAGAUAAAUUAGUUGUAGGUAAUAAUAUUUAUUUUUGGUUAAGAAAAAAACUAAAGUUAAAACUUGGGUAAAUCACAUGUACAGUUCUUAAACUUUAAUUUCUUGUAAUUUUCAGAAUUAUUUCAAUCAAAAAUUCCACAACUUAAUAGCUAAAUGUUGACGAAUUGUUAACACGUGAGUGAGUGAUGUAAAAAAAUAUUAUGACUGAUAAUGUCAUAAUAAUUAAAAUGGUACAGCACUUAUACAUCAAUGAUGCGUUAAUAUUUAGUAACAUAAAUUAAGUUGUGGGACUUGAUAAUAAUAAUUAUAAAAAUUUAAGUUACAAAUUACAAUAAAUUAAAGUUUGAAUAUCGAAAUAUUUGAGGAUAAACCUGUAAUUUAUCCUUAAAACUUUUUUAAAAGUUUUGAAUAUGUUAUAUCAAGCAUGAAAGUUUGAGCACCAAAAUAUGAACUUGGCUAAGAGUUCACUCACUAGUAGUUCAAUUUCCUCACAACGAAGAUAUAUUUUAAUUUAAUUUAAUUUUAUAUCAUGGGAUCCUUGGAGUUUCGAUAAUUUAAAACUCAAAUCAAAUGAUUCAUAUCGUUAAAUUUAAAGGUUAAUUUCAUAUAGGUUCCUACAAAUAUAGUAAAUUACAAAUAUAUAUAUGUACAAAAUUCAACUUUCAUACGUUGUCCUUGCAAAAAUCCUGAUGUUUUCAAAUAUGUUUAUGCUUUUAGGAAUCGCUAGUAAAAAUUAGUUAACCAUAGAUAAAAUACUUAACUCUAAUUAGUUAAUAAGAUGAAUUGACCUUUUUACCCCGCUUUCAUUAACAGUUGAGACUUUUCGAGGGACAUAUUUGUGAUGAUAAAAAGGUCAUUUCGCUUAUUCAUAAACAAUGCUUUAAUGGUCCAGAGAUACAUAUUUGAAAAUAUUAGAACUUUUGUAGGGACAAUAUAUGAAAGUUGAACUUUAUAGGAAUAUAUUUGUAAGUCACUAUAUUUGCAGGGAUUUGUAUGAAAUUAACUCUAAAUUUAAUAUAAGUUGUUUGAAUGUUUUAGGUGCCAAAUUUUAUUAUAUUUUUAAACAUUAUUUGUCUAAUAUUCAAGUGGUUUCAAAAUUAAUUAUUUCCAACCGCUACUGUAAGGUGAAUUUGGGAUUAUUUAUGACUAUACAAAUAAUAUCAAAAAAUUACAAAAUUUGAAUUUUAAAAAGUUUAAAUAGUUUGAACCAUUGAUUUCAUUCCCCAUUGCAAAAAAUAUAAUAUGGAUCAAUAAUUAAUAUUCACUAUAAUCUAGAUUCACUUCGACCUGAAUUUUGAAUAAUAUAGUUUACAAUUACGUGUCUGAAUUUGAAUCUAAUUGAUCUGAUUUUAAAUCAAAAUUUUAAAUUUUUUUAAGAAUAUGUAUUAAAUGAAAACAAAAAUUUAACAUUUUGUAGAAACAAUACACACGCAAGUAAAUUCUAGAAGUAUUUUAAUUUUUCUCGCAAAAUUAACGUCACCAUUCAUAUCUUUGGCGCCAAAAGUAACUACACAAUUUUCCCGCCAAAAAACCUAGGGUGGGUCCCACUCCCCAUCCUUCUUCUAGAAGCUACUAGUAAUUUUUUUUUUUAAAAUUUUUAAUUUUUUUUUUAUGAGCAAACAGUAAAAGCUCAAAUAGAGUAUUUUUUUUACUUUUAAUUACUUUUAUUUAUACAAAUUAGAUUAGAAAUUUAUUAUUAAUUAUCACGGUUAGUCGCUAAUAAAAUUAAAUUAUUUUUAUUUUUAAAAAAUUUAGAACAGCUAAAUUUAUCAAUAUUAUAGUUAAUUAAAAUAAUCUUUAGUUUGAUUAAUAAUUAAAAAAAAUUUUCGUUGCUUUUUAACUCUCUCUCUCUCUCUCUCUCUAAAAAAAAAAACAUUCCACAUCUCUCUCUCUCUCUCUCUCUCUCUCUCUCUCUCUCAUGGAGAACUCGAAUCUCCGUAGAUUAUUCCCAAUCGUAAGAAGCCUAAACCCUAAUUCUCCGAUUCCUCUUCAUUUUCGUUUGUAUUUUUCCAAAUUAAUUCGAAUUCGUGUGCGUUUUUUACUAUGUUUUUGUUAAUUUUUUAAUUUUUUUUUUCAGUUGAUACACUCAUCGAUCCAAAGAUGCCGCAUCUCGGAAUCGCUCUGCCGAUUAUCGGUUUCGCUCAAAUGUUUCCGCGAUUCAAAUCCCCCAUCGAUGCGAAUCUCGAGUAGGGUUCUCGAUCUGAGCUAUUUAAAUCGUCAUUUGUAAAUUUAAUUUGGUUUUAAUUUGAUUUUCUAGCCCCUGUCACAGUAUAAUGAGCUGAUUAAAUCACGUGUGGAGGAAUUGGAUUUGGUAAUUUAUAUCGAUUAAUCAUGCAUUUUUUGGGUGUAAAUAGUUGUUUCCGCGAUUCAAAUCCACCACGGAUGCCAAUCUCGAGCAGGGUUUUCGAUCUGAGCUAUUUAAAUCGUAAUUUGUAGUUUUAAUUUGUUUCUUAUUUGAUUUUGUGGCCUAUCUCACACUACAAGCUAAUUAAAUUACGCAUGGUGGUAAUUUAUAUAAAUUAAUCUUGCAUUUUUAUAAAUACUUGUUUUAUUUCUGAUAUUUUAAUCUGAGAAAUAUACAUUAUGAUUUGUUUUAAUUUAGUUUGGUAUAAAUGCAUGGAGGGCCCCUCAAAUAUAGUAAUUCCGACAUUGACCCCUGAACUAUAUAUAUAUUUUUGAUUUAGCCCCCCCGCCCCCCGCCUCACAAAUUUUGAUUUUUUUAAAAUUGUGUGAUUUUAACCAAUAAAUUACAGAUUUUACCAAAUUGUUUAGUAAUUUUAUAAAAUCUAAUAGUUUAAACCACUUUGUAGCAAAAAAAACUAGGCUAAUUAACUGCUAAUAUCUAAUUGAGCUACAAAAACUUACAGAAUUUUUGGAUUUAGUUAGCUAUAAAUAUUCAAAUUAAAAAAAAUUAGAAAUUAAAGGUGUUUCAAUUCAGAAAAAAGAAAUUCAAGUUGAGGGGUUCUUUCAGAAUCACCUAUAAUCAGGGGUUCUGCAUAUAUUUCUCCAUCCUGUUUUUAUCUGUUUUGUGCCUAAUGUCACAGUAGAAGGUAAUGAAGUUGCCACUGUAGAAAUUAGACUUAACAAUUUUACAUCAAUUAAUCUUGUAAUUUUGGAUAUAAAUAAUUGUUUUAUUUAUUUUUAUUUUUUUAUUUAUUGUUGAGUAGUUUCGGACACUGGAAUUGGGAGUAGCUUGGUGGAGUUUCAGGAAUUGGUGGGCUCUGAGAUGAUACCUCUUUCCACUACAAAAUGGGGUAUGUUUUGAGUAAAAUGUAUGAGUAGUCCCUGUACAAUCUCCACUAUUGCAACUUCGUCCACAUACAACUUUUCACCUACACACUAAAACUUUUAAGUUCCAAGCUUUCACAUGUAUUGCAUUUUCAUCAUAUAUAUAUAUAUAUAUAUAUAUAUAUAUUCGGUUUUGCCAUAAAUUGACCUUUCAACCCUGUCUGAAGUAAGUUCACUAGUUUAAUGCUACAAGCUUUUACUGCAUUUUGUAUAUUCAUAUCCAUGUGCAUAUGAAACAACCUUAAAAUUAAAUGGUUUAAAGAUUUUGGCUUGUAGGAUGGUAGCAAAUCGAAAACAGUGUUACUGGAAAACAAUUUGAUGUUUAUGUAUGUAUUAGGAACUUCAUUAUUGGUGUUAUCCUACUUGCUAUCUAAUAUUCUUUUCUUCUAAUAGUUUAUCAUGCACUCCUCUCUUUUGUUGCAGAUGGAUUGCUGUUAAUCACUACUACUGGUAAGUUGCGCUUUUCUCAUGAUCUUUUAUUAAAAUUUCAAAACUUCCCAGUAAAGUAGCUUAAUUUGUUCCGGUUUUUACAAAUCAUGAACAUUAGAAUUUGAUUUCGUAAUUCCGUCAGUACAGUGUUUUCUGUUCUUUGUGGCUGGUUGAACCAUCAUGAGGUUGAAUGUUUUUCGAAAUUUGGCACUGAAUCAAUCAUCUGCUCCCUCUACUCAGUUUAUGCAAUAUUGUCUCAAGUUAAACUUCUAGUUGUAGCAAUAAAGUUAAUUCUACAAGUUCUCUUAGGAAUACAGGACAAAGAUAUCCAUCACUACCACUUAAAUACAAGAGAAGCACUUUCUUCAAAAAAGAGGCUUACCAAGUUACCUCCCACAAAGAAAUCUCACGGAAUAUUCAGGCAAGAAUUUUUUUUUUUUUUUUUAAUUAUUUUUUCCUUUCUCACUGAUAUUGAGUGAUGAGAUUUCAUUAAGUAUAACAUAGUGUUUACAUUUGGUUGCAUCAGUGGAACUGAAGUGUGCCUUUCGAUGGCGGAAGAAGAGAAUAUUGAUGGUUCCAUUUUGUGGAUGGCUAGCUUUAUUCGAAAGGUUCAUCCUUUAUUCACAACUAUUAUUUUUAUUACAGUUUGAGAGUGUAGGUUCUCUUUAUGAAUUUUUUACUUUCGCUUCUAAUACUCGAGGUAUGAGGUCAAUAUUACUGUUUAUAAUGAUUUAUAUCUCAUUGCAGUUUUCUCCAGCAAUGUACACUAACGUGCUUUCUUAUUUCCAUUCUCUUGCAGAUGCUCAUACUAAAACCUCCUGUAAGUUCAUCAUGUCAUUAUUCGUUUAUAUCUUUGAACUUGGAGGAACUUUCAUUUUCUGAAUUUUCUUCUUGACAUGAUUCCUUUGCUACUCGUUCGUUUCAGUCAAUUAGUUUAUUAUAUUACCAUUGUUCGUAGAUUUGCGUCUUUUUCUAUGCUCUAUUAACACAUUUAGUUGAUCUAAAGAUAUUCCGAUGUUCAGAUUCUUUGGGGAACAAAAUUUAAUUUUACCCGUUUAGCAGAUAUAGAAAGAUUGAAGUUACACUUUAGAUCUUAUAGAUCAUGAUUGAAUUAGUUUGGCUUUGAUGAAUCCUAAUUUUUGAUAUCGCAUGACCGCCAAAUUGGUAUACUAAACUUAUACAAGACACCAGUAAAUGUGCAUGCUCAACUUUGUCAUGAAUAGUUUAAAGCUGCCCAUACAUUUAUCGGUUGUUCAGAUCUUGGCUUUAACUGAGAUUUGUGAUUCUUCGGUCUUCCGGUCAUGCAUCGUAUUACUUUUUAACUUCUUGUGCUAUCUCAGAACAUUGUAGUCGAGCUCAUAGUUGAGCAAGUCGACAACCUCGGAACAAGAAGCAACCGUCCUUUCCAAGGAACCAACGAUGUUCAUCUGCCUCUCUCAAUUCCGAGUAUUGAACGGCUAGCUUCUGGCCUUAAAGACUAUGCUCUCAUGCAUGGGAAUUCUCUUCAUAAAGAGUGCCAGGUUUGCUGUAGUAGUAGGUAAGAUGGUCAAACCACGCCGAAGCCGAGGUUCUCUUGGUUUCCUUACUAGUUUACACAGUUCUAUGUGAUACUUAUUUCUAUUUCGGAUUUCCAAAUUCUCUAGUUUAGAUUCUUAUGCCAGUUCCAAUUUCGCCCUCAGAGUUUCCUUCUAACAAAGCAAAGUCUAACAAUGGUGCUGGCAUGAUACUUAUUUCUAUUUCGAAUUGAACCUAUGGUCAAACUUCAGGGCCUGAACUUUUUCACUAACCCAAUAAUGAAAGAUCAUACUGCAUCACCAUCUAUUCUGUACUGUAUUUUGCUUUUGCUGUAGAGAACACUUAAAGGUUGGAAGGGGAGUGGCAAACAGCGCGGAUAAUAUAAGAGGCGAAGGAAAGACGGCCGAAGCAGUGAUAGUGAUCGCGGCUGUCGCAUCACAACCUUGCUGUUGGAUGGAUAAUUCUUCGGCCGCACAGGUUUGUUUGAUUUCGGCGCUCGUCCUACUGAGUUCAUUAUGCAGGUUGUUUUGGAGAAUUUGGUGUUUGUUUCUUAUGUUUUCGCGGUAUAUUGUCAUAGACAAUUGUUUGUGCACUGCUACCAUCCCUGCAUAGUUAGGGUAGGAGGAACAGAUUCAAGCUCACUAGUGAUGCUUUACAAUUUUUUAUGCAGAUCUUUAUCUAUUUUAUUCUUGUAUUUGUCAACUAUUCAGUGAUUUCUCCUGUGGUGGACAUAAUAUGAUUAAAAAUUAGCCUAAUAAAUUUCAAAAUUGCAUAACCCUUUUUAGUUUGAGCAAAUGUGUGCUGAUAUGAUAAUUUUCCUCUUCUCUAUCACAAUAAUAGUGCUGAAUUUAUCCACAAUUGUUCGUAUGACAUCGAAAAUGUUUUGUACGUAGGUUCUAUUUUUUCAAGAAUUCGCUCCAUCACCAAUCCCAGAACCGUCUAUAAACGCACUAGCGAGCGUCGAUUGGCAUAACUAUGGUUUGAAGUUGAAGGACAAACAUGUGGAUGCAGAUGGAGAACUAGUGCUUGAAUGGGAGAAAAAGUCAUUAUUUGCUCGCAUGGAUAUUGGCAUCCACAGUUACCAUAGAAGAUAUCCAAAUUUAAGUUAUAUACAUUUUGUUAUACUUCGUCACUUUGUUAAGCGCCUUGAUACAGCUUUUCUACUCUGAAAAGCAGAAUUUGGGCGUUUGGCAAAUAAAACACCUAAAACUUUUACUACGACAUGAAGCUAAAAUGAGCUUCUGAAUCCCAGAAGUCGAUGCUUCUCUAUGUUUCCUUAACCUUUUAAUCGAAGUCACUGCGAGGCUAACACGGAAGAGAUCUCCACCUGACAGAAACCUUGUUAAGAGGGCGGUUAAGGCUGCAUUGGAUGACUUGAAGGCAAAUCACACUGGACUGUUCCUCAGUUCUCAGGCCGUGAAGGUUCUAAUACUUCUUUCUUCUUCCUUCAUUUCAAAGUCACCCUUAAAAUCGGGGAAUCGUCCAACUCGAUAAUAUUGCUAUUUGAGUGAUUACAUUUUACCAUUCAUUUACCAUAAUGGUUGAGAUUUGUUGCUUCGUUGAACCUCUUCAGAUUCGAGAGUACGCUCCUGAGCUCUCGAGAUCGAUCGCCGGCCUGAUCAUGUCGUCGAACGAUUCAGAAUUCCGAGGCGAGUGUGCCGCUCUUCUCGGGCUUCCCGCAGGUAACUCCAAUAACGCCGAGGAGAUGAUUGAAUCUUGCAUACGCGACAAGAUUAUCAAGAUCAUCGGACUGAACGAUAAGAAGCAGCCCAAAGAGAACAGGGACAACGCGCCCUGCCUCUUCGAAUGCGAGAACUCAAGCGAACUCGAAGAAGAUGAGUGCUUUGGAGAGGACCAAAUGCUGGACUUCUGAGUUAACAUAUUUGGUUGGUAAGUUUGUGGGUGUCCUUUUUGUUUUUGAGAUUAAACCUGUAGCUAAUAUCCAUUGGAUCAAAAGUUAACAGAUUACAAAAAGCGCGGCUUAGAUAGCCAAGACUCAUUACCAGAGCUCGAAAGAGAACGCACGGCCAAACGAUGGGCUCUACUUAGUUUGAACAUCGGGUAACUUCUCCAACCAUCCCUUUAUAUCUUCUACAUUAUUAUUUGACAUGAUUUGACUCUCUCACCUAUUUUUGGGUAUUCGUGUUGAUGGAGCAUUCAUGUUUCAAUAGCCUUUAAGGUAGAAGAAAUAACUAUGCUAUGUUUCAUAUUUCCGGUGCAAAAUUGAGUUGUUUGUGGAUUAUAAACCUUUGUUUUCCAUAGCUGGCAUUAAGUGCUUUUUUUUUUUUUGGUUGGUUGGUUUCUAUUUUUGCUUCACCUAUUCAAGGUUCAAAACUUUUAUUAGAGCGCUUCCCAUCUUUCUUACUCAACUGCUAUAAAAGUACCUGGCAGUGACCGCCAAAAAAAAGCGUGUUUACACUGCCACGGUAAUUUUAUAAUACAUAAAAAUGAAAAGUUUGGAAAGCACUUUAAAAUUUUGAGCCUUUUACUACCAAACUAGAUGUUCUCUUCUCUCUGACCGGUAAAACUUGUUCUCACUAUAGAUGCCCAGUAAAUAAAAAUUUGAAGCCAAGAAUUUAAAUAUCGUGGCACAAUAUUGUAUCGAAAAUUUACUGACACGGUAUAACACGAUAUAUGCCGAAUCGUAUCGAUGUGUGCUAGUUACAAAAGAUAUAUAUGUACCAACAUAUAAAAACAUAAAAUAUUUAUUUUUUUAGCAAUAAAAUUUUUAAUUAUUUAUUCUAUAUUUUUAUCAUAUUUUUUAGAUUUUAUUGAAAAAAUUAUUUUCUAAUCUAAAGAAUAGAGAGUUUUCAACUGUGCCCGAUAUUUCGUUCGCACGAUAUGACACGAUAGAUAAAGCUCGUGUCGGUGGACACUUAAAUUCUUGUUUGAAGCUGUUAGUUAUUUUCCACACCCAUAAGCAAAAACUCUUUUUUCUGAUCCAGGAAACUAAGAAAUUACUUACUCUUUUUUUUUUUUUUUGGUCACCAGCUCUACCCAAAUUGCGAAAAUUGAAAUGAAGCUUCGCAGAACUAGUAGAAGAAAAAUAACAAAAGUACAAUCUGAGUGUCAAGACAAGCAUGUCAUAUUUGGCCUUCAAAUAAUUAUUUUUUUAGAAAAAACUUUUAAUACCCCAUUGUGGUUCUUUCCCUUAUCCCUCCAACUUUUAAAUCAGUGGUAAAUUUAAAAAAAUUAGUAAACCAUAGAAUGGAUAUCUGGAGAUCUUUUUAUAUGAUUUACCGAAAAAGUUAAGAGAGGAGCCAGCGGAAAUAGGAAAACGAAACUGUCGGAUACCAAAGCGACACAUUUUAAAUCACAUGAUAGUAAAAUUUGAUCGCGCUAAACCACAAAGGAGUAUUUGAAGUUUUCCCUUUUUUUUUUUUUUUUUUUCUAAAGUACAAGAUAAAAUCCCUUUGUAGAUGGAAACUCUUACUGCACAAUCUCUAACUGGAAAACUUGUUCUAACGUCCAAAUCAGGGCCUAAUGAAUAUAGAUAUGCCUCAGAGCAUCCAUAUAUGCAACAGAAUUAUUCUGGAAAUGAACAGAGCCUUCAUGUCGCUUCUAAUAACAGCUUUCCUAAGUUGGAUGAUUUACACAGUAGCAUGUGAGUUAACUUUACUUUACUAGCAGGAUAUAUAUAUAGGACAAAGUUCUCCCCGAAUAACUAAUUCUUCGAGAACAUUCACAUCCCUAUCAGACGAUGCUAUUAAAGCAACAUAAUCAGCAAAUUGAUGCAUUCCGAAGGUGAAAAAGCGCAUACACCGAUACCUUAUUUAACCUGCGAGUAGCGGCGCCGCAUGAAGUUCUACUCGUUUGCAGCUUUCUCGGCGUCCUCGUCUGCCACCCGGGCUUUCUUGGCUUCAUAGUCUUUUACAGCGGCUUUGAUCGCGUCCUCUGCGAGCAUGCUGCAGUGGAGCUUCACAGGCGGGAGGGAGAGAUGCUUCGCAAUCUCACUGUAUACAUAUGUUCAGUAACACAAUUGUGAGGUUUUUAUAAAUGUAUAUGCGAUAUCAUGAUUGAGCAAAGAACAGAGUAAUAAGAAGUGCGCUCAUUAAACUAGAAGAUCAAAAGAGUAGCUUGAUUGCUUUGUCAAGAAACCACGAAAAUAAGCACUUCAGUUUUAACUUCAAUAAGAUCGCCCAAGAAAAUCCGUGAAAGUGUUUGAUAAUUCACUAAAAUGUCGUCACCACAAUUUUCUGGUACCCUUAUUUAGCACUGAUAAGUUUUUUGGGUUAAGAUUUUUUCUGGCCACACCUAAUUGCAAAGUGAUUAGUUGCUAAUUGGUGCCUUUUAUGUGCGACAAGUAAGAUUAUCACAAUUGUUAAAAAGAGACGGAACUGGGCAUUUAGAUAGUAAAAAGUAAAAACCAGCGUUGAUGAGCGCUAAAUUUAAAGAAAAAAAUUUUCAUCCAAAUCAUUUGAAUGAAAAACUACAGCAUAUAAUUCAAUACACUAAUUUUUCUCACUUGAAAGUUUGCAAAUUUUGCUGCAUUCAGUUCUGCACGCUCUCUACAAGGCCUGCUUAUAAUAGAGAGGAUCAUAACUAGAAGUAAUACCAAUAUGAUUUCCAAUCACAAUCUCACUAGUAGAUUUGGGUGUUGUACCAAAUACUUUUGACUCCAAAAUGAUUAAAGAACACAAAGUUAUGAAUCAAUAUUUAACAAGUCCUAACAAAGUUCUUCAAUGCGAUAUCAAAUAGUGACACUGGUAGCGCUCAAAGCAAAGAUUGAUCGACUAUAUUACGCCUUUUGGAAGAAAUAAUAAGAAAUUAUUAUAUAAAUAAGCACAUAGUUCCAUUAAUACUGCUAGUAUAAUUACUCUGAAGACCUAGAAAACAAAUAAAACAUUACUAUCGUAGUUAGCAUUAUACUAUUACAAAAAACAUAGCAAGUAAGAGAUCACAAAGAGCUAAGAACAGAAACACUUACGUAUUUUUGAUUGACAACACUUCUUCCAUCUGCUUUCCUUUCACCCAUUCGGUAGCUGCAACAAAGUUCAAUACUUCAAUACCAUUCAUAUUCGCUUAAUUACCAAAAAGCAGCACAAGAAUCAUAUAACCUCAAUUAACAAACAUACUAAUGCUGUAAUAGAUCAGUAAUUUAGAUGAUUGUAUUCCAACAACUGAAAAUUUAAUCCCGAACAAGUACGACCAUAUAGAACUAUGUUGUUUAAUUAAGCCCCUAAAUCUCAUUGGUACCAAAGCCUAAAAUUAACUCUAUUCUAGCUAUCCCCUCUCCAUCAACAAAUGAAGGGUGUACAUUUGUACUGUACAAUUGCAACGUAGCAAAGAAUAAAACAACCCAAAUUUCUGAUUAAUGCGAAAUCUUUUCAAGCAAUAAAAAGCUAUUUUGGCUUCAACAUGUAGAAAGCAGUACGAUUGUAAUUUGAAAACUUAAACAAGUUGGAUAUAGAACAGAUAUGAUUUAUUAUACACGUUGAAAAUGUUACCGCUAUCACUACACUGUUGUGACCUAGCCAAUAUAGGAACAAAACCCUAAUUCAUGAUCAGUACUACAUCUUUUAGAGCAAUUAUAUGCGAUAAUUGCUUCAAUUCACAGAUAAUAGCUACACUGUUGUGACCUAGCCAAUAUAGGAACAAAACCCUAAUUCAUGAUCAGUACUUAAUCUUUUAGGGCAAUUAUAUGCGAUAAUUGUUUCAAUUCACAGAUAAUAGCGCUCUACACGAUCAAGGGAACACCUAGCACGAUCCAAUUAACCUUAAAUGACCAAAUAUUACCAAUAUUCGUCUAACUACAUCACUCAAAACCCUUCGAAUCAGAUCGAUCUCACCAAACCCCCAUCAAAUCCGGACGCAAAACAAGAACAACUCAAACCCUAGAACACUAAAAACCUAGAGAGAGGGAGGUUACCAACGGAGGAGGAGGCGAUGGCGGAGCCGCACCCGAAGGUCUUGAAGCACGCGUCGACGAUCUUCCCCGUGGCGUCGUCGACCCUGAUCUGGAGCUUCAUCACGUCCCCGCACGCGGGCGCCCCCACGAGCCCCGUCCCCACCGCGGGGUCGUCCUUGUCGAACGACCCCACGUUCCUAGGGUUGUUGUAGUGGUCCACCACCCUCUCAUGGUACCCUCUCGCCCCCACCACCCCCACCCCCACCCCCCAUGUCGACGACGAGGGGCGAAACCCUAACCCUAGAAAUCGCCUCGCCCCGACCCUCAACAUCCUCUCUCACUCUCUCUCUCUCUCUCUCUCUCGACGAGAUAUAUUAUUACAAAGCGGAUGAGGGAGAAGAAGCACAAGAGAGGUAGCGUAUAAAUACACGUGGGGAUCUCGUGGACGACGUUCAAUACGAGUGUUCUUAUAACUACGAAUAGUUAUGUGACACGUGUGUAAAGGACACGCGUUCUUUUGUGACUGGUAGGUUGUUUUGUAUUGUGUGUAAAUUGCAUGGAGCGGAUCGGGUUAAACGGAAAAAAACCCGAGUGCCCCGAAAAUUUGGAACCACAUCUUUUAAAAACAUGAAAUGACAAAUUUACCCUUGUAGAACGCGCUAGAAUCCCGAAGCUUCUGAGGGCAAAAGUGGAAUUUAGGAAAGUUCUUAAACCAAAAGUAAUAAUAAAAAAUUGUCGUAAUUUUUAUUUUGAGGUCCCCUCAAUCAUUUCUCCAAAGCAAAGGCGAUGAGGUUUGUGUUUUUUUUUUUUCCUAAAUUUUUUUUUAUAAAUUGUUUACAUCAUUUUCACAACUCUUUCAAAACCCUUUUUAGGGUUUCUUCGGAGUUGGAUGAUAUUAUCAUUGCUCCUUUUCUAGGGUUUUAAAUGGUUUAAGGACCCUAAAAGGGGAUCCAUAGUUGGAUUAUUGGAACAAUUUUGCUGUUAAAAUUAGAUAAUUUGUUUAUCGAAGCCAAAAUAUUCUAGUUUCUAAGAUUCCGAUGUUGGAAUAAGUUAUUCAGUGAUAACUCGUGAACCUAGGAGUUUGAUUUUAGUUCGUCGCAAGGUCCUCAUAGUAAUUGUGAUCUUUAGGAUAGUACAUUCCACCUAUGAGGCGAUUUAUUAUAUGAUUUAGAGGUGUGUAUAUUAUAAGGUCGCAAACUUCUUUUUGUAGAUCCUUAUAGUCAAUAACUAUGCGUUUCUUGAGUAAAUUGAAAAGAUAUGUUGCGCAUUAUGUUCGUGCAUCCAAAUAGACUCGAAUUCUUUCUCUGUUCGAGAACUUAUGUUUGUGCAUCCCAGCAAGCAAUUCAGUUCGAGAACAUUUGUAGUUCUGGGAAGCUGAAAAAAGCUUCUUUUUCCCAAAGUAGAAGCUUCAAUUUAAAACUUUUACUUGCUCUGCAGCAGGUGAUUGCAAGAAUGCAUGCAAAAAGGUGAAGCAAUAGUGAUACUAAGGUCGUGUUUGGCGUCACUACCUUUUCUUUGAACAUGAAUUCUGUGUAGUUCCGAGAACCUAAAAUUGGCUUCUGCCUCCCAAAGCAAAAGCUUCAAUUGGAUGCUUUUACUUGUUCUGCAGCAAGUGAUUACAAGAAUGUCUUCAAAUAGGUGAAACAAUAGUGACACUAAGGCUGCGUUUGGCGUCACCGUCUUUUAUUUGAACACGGAUUCUAUGUAGUUCCAGGAAGCUUCUGCCUCCCAAAGUAGAAGCUUCAAUUUGAAGCUUUUGCCUGUUCUGCAGCAAGUGAUUACAAGAAUUUCUUCAAAAAGGUGAGAAAUAAUAGUGAUAGUAAGGCCUCAUAUGGUGUCACCGCCGUCUCUUUGAACAUGAAUUUUAUGUAGCGGAGUGUGCUAGUGGAUGGCGGAUUGUUCGCUAUCUAUACAUUGUUACAUCCAUAGGGCAAGCUAACUGGCAAUGGCGAAAUUGCAGAAAUCCAGCUACCUAUGCACUUAAGCAUAUACAGUUUGUAUGUAAAAGACAAAAGGCAACAACAAUAAAAAACAAGGCCCAAAAUUUCACUAGUAAAAUGCACAUAUAUUUAUAUAUAAUAUAUCAUCUAGCUACAAUCUCAAUAGACGCUCACACACCCCCCCCCCUGGCUUGUACAUAUUCAUCUAUGCAGCACUGCUAUUUUUACAGUGUAAUAUCCUUGCUUUAAUUUUUAUUGAUGGUCAUCUAUGUGUGUACUGUACACUAUUAAUUACGUAUCUGUGAAAAUUGAUCUAACUGGUCAUGGCUUUCCACUCUGUAAGCAACUAAUCGGAGGCUCAGUGGGGGCGCGUAGAUCUCCAUAAGCUUUCCAGCAGAAAGGAGCAUAAACAUGUGAGUUAUCUAUUGAUGGUUGAAGUUCUAUAUCAUCUAAGUAGAUAUUUGAGCACGGAAUGGCGUCGCUGCAUGCUAAGUAGACUGGUUGUAAUGUGUAGGUCCCUCUGAUGUUUUGGUAUGUGAUAUCUGAUAGUGCCACUGCCGAUGUUUGGUUUGUGCACAUGGUGUGGUCGCAGUAGAAUUGGUCGAUGACUAUAGGCUUUUGUACUUCGGAGACUCUCACAUUGGAGUAUCUUAUGUUCUUCACGGAGCCUGAGCCUCCCUGUGAUAGGAAAGUAAGGCUAUUAGGAAAUUGUAGGAAUGUGAUUGAAUUAGUUGAUUAAUAUAGAGGAAUAUCAGUGCGCUUUAGCAGCUUCAUGUUGAAGCCAUUGGCUCGCCAUUUAGCUAGAAGAUCUAGAUAUUUUUCUUUGUAAAGGCCUGGCAUCUACUUCUUGAGUAGAGAAGCUAUUUCAAAAGCUAGGCCAAUAGGCAUGCUUGGCUUUUAGAAUCGGUUCUUUACUUUGAAAGUAAUAGUUGGACAUUUGACAAACAAAUGCCCAAAACUUUUGCUGUGGUCGGAAGUUGAAAUAAGCUUUUGAGAUCCUAAAGGCAGGAGAUUGAAUUUGAGCCUUUGCUUUUGCUGUUGGGAAGUUGCUUGGACGAAUACAGUGAAAAAAAAUUAUAGUAUUUUGAGAAUAUCAAUUUUGGAGGAGCUUGAUCUGGACCAAGAGGCUAUAAAUAAGAUUGCUCAAAGAUAGCUGCACAGUUACUGAGUAAUGCUUUGACAAAUAAACCAAGAAAAAUUUAGGGAAUCGCUUUUUCUUCGAAUUAGUUGGAAAAAUUGUGAUUCAUAUUGCGAGGAAGAAGCACAGAAUAGCUCACUAAAUUUCUGGUAAAUUGAAACUUGUUAUUGAGCUGGAUAGUGUGAGUUAUACCUGCCAGGUUUUGAUUCUGACUCCAUUAGUAGUGCCACUGAUGGUAACAUCUUGCACAGUGACAUCUGAAACAGUAGCUUGCGUAUUGCCUUUUCCAAGCCCACCGAUGCUUAUACCAUGGCCUGGGCCACAAUUCACAUUUUGUAUGAAGACGUUAGAGGAUCCUGUUUGUAUGGAGAUGCAAUCAUCACCUGAUACAAAUAUGUAGUAUCACAUUAGAAUGAUAAGAUUCUUGUAUUGGAAUCAUCUCUAAUUGUUGUUUCAUUAAGUGUCUCUUUGAUCUAGCUUUUAAAAUAGCUUUUCUACGUCAUGAAGCAGUAAGAGUUAUUUGGUGAAGGAAAAACAUUAGAUUUUGUUUGAUCAAGCUGGAACUUCUAUAAAAGUUGCUAUUUGAGUGGAGCUGUUUAAAGAAGCAUUAAAAGCUUUUUCUAUUAAAAUCUUCUUUACGGCUUCUAGCCAUUUGGGUCCAAAAGCUCAUUUUAGCUUUCUGCCACAGCAAAAGCUUGAGGUCAUUUGUUAUUCAAACACUUGGCUUUGAAAACUUCCGCUUUCAAAGUGUAGAAGCUAUUCCAAAAGCUAAGCCGAAUAGGCAGUUAAGUUUUUUGCUGUCGUAGGAAGUUAAAAUGAGCUUUUGGGCCUUCCAGCUAGAAACCUUAAGUUGAUAAAGGGAUUUUAACGAAGUUAUUAGUGCUUCUUCGAAUAGCUCUACUCAAACAACACUUCUACAGGAGUUUUAGUGUGUUUAUGUAAACAAAGACAAAGGAAUUACCACAAGCGAGGUUGGUGUUAUGGAUUGAAACUCCUUGGGAGUUUUGGAGAUGAAUCCCAUCGGUGUUGGGGCUGUUUCCUGGAGAAGAAAUGGUCACACCAUGGACCUCAACAACUUGGCAUGAAUCAAACUUGAGAUGGAAUUGUGGACUGUUUUGAAUUGUAAUUCCUGCUACUGCUACAUUGUUACUCCCAGAUAUCCUUAGGGCCUGGAAUUCAGACAAAAAAAUCACACUAAUUUUCAAGAUAGAUGACUGAAAGAUGUAGACUUCAAGUGUCGUUAGUUGUAACUUAUAAAAGCAUUGACUAGUUGCAUCUUUACCCCUUAAUUUUUAUCCACAUUUUCCCUUUCAGGCAAUGAAAGGAUCCUCAUAUAAAAAAUCUGUCAUUUUCUGCGCUCAUCUAAAUUGUUCAUAUGACUUAAGCCUCCAAAAGCCGAAGCUCGGAAACUUUUGCUUCUGCUACGGCGGCAAAAGUUUUUACACCUCCCAAAAGAAAAUUGAAAGUUUUUGGUGCUUUUUUGAAUAAUCCUACUCAAAUAGCACUUUUACAGAAGCUCCAGCGGGGUCGAGAAAGCUCUGAAAGUUUUUUUUCUGGUAAGUUUCUAUCAUCUGAUUUUUCUUUGGUUGAGAGUUUGGAACUUUUUCAGGUAUUAAUGCCAGAUUAAGAAUUUUUGGAAACUUCUUUUUAACUGCUUUCUAGCUGAUCUUACAUUCGGUUGGAAAGGAACCCCAAGAAUGCUUCAAAAGAUAACAACAAGCUCUUACCGUCGGUCUAUUGCUUGGCAUUAAUUCAACCAUCUCUGAAUUUUCUCCCUACACAAAUCAGAAUAAAGAGAAAGUCAUAAUUGUAAAAUGUAUUUGCUGUAAAUAUUAGCCUAUGAAAUUAGAGGCAUGGUUCUUUUGAGGCUUUACUGGGUUGUCGUAAGCCUCAGAAGCGCUGUUCCACCAAGUACUUCCCUGGCCUUCGAUGGUGCCUUGUCCCUGGAUUGUGAGCCCCUUCAGGUUUUUGAAUUGUAGCCAAGUUGAGAGGUCUGCGCCCCAAAUAUUGUGGUUUGUUGGAGCUAGUAUUGUACCAUCCAGCUGGAAAAAAAAAAAAAAAAAGCUUUUUGAGUCUAUUCGCUUUAGAGCUUUUGCUGAAGUGCUGAUGGAGUAGAGCUUUCAAAUAAGCACCAAUAUAGCUUCUCACUACAGUAGAUGUCGAAGCAAAUUAGAGUUUUUGCUUCUUGGUUCUAAAAUCUCAUUUCAGCUUUUGGCCAUAGCAAAGUACUCCGAGUUUCUGUUUCACUAAUGCUUGCUUGCUGCUUCUUGAACUAGAGAAGCUAUUUAAGAAGCUUUGGUUCCAAGCCCUUGCUUAGUGGAGAUGGAACAUUACUUGUAUCUUGCAAACUUUGAUUAGUAAAUCACUUGUUUGUCGCACAUUAGCUCAUAUUAUAUGAAUCACUGGAAGCAGGGAUUUAUUGUUUUUUUUUAAAAAACCUUUUUUUUCUCUUCUUUUGUGUUUGAGCUAUGUGCUUUCCCCCCAUUCUUAUUCAUCUGAUUAUAUUGCAGGAGAUGUCACUAAGCAUCAGUUGAAUGGCAUAAUGUUUCUUAUCAAGGAAGGUAAAAAUACUCAUUAAAAUAUUUGUUUUAUAAUUUUUAUUUCUCCUCAAGUUCUUUAUGGUUAAAUGCACUCAAAUAUUAUUUUUCUCUUUAAAUAUGUUAGUUCUAAAUUGCUUACAUACUAUAUAUUUAUGGAUUUUGUUUGAUAACAAAGAACACAAAUACAAUAGUACUUUCUUUUCCUUAUCUUUCUUUUGAUAAAACGAUGUGUUUGCCAAAAAAAAAAAAAAAAGAUAGAUUCAUUUCUUCGUGUUUCUUACCAUAUAAACUCCAGGAAAAAAAAAUGAAAAAAAGUCAAAAGAUGCUGUAAUUUAAUUAAUUAAUUUGUUUUUCCCCUGGGAAUACUAUGGCACUAAUGAGUACAAAUUUUUUUUUAUAAAUAAUUCUAUCAAUUUUUAUAAUUGUAAAAAUAGUUUUUUUUAAAAAAUAAUUAUAAAAAUAGACCUCUAAAUGCGGUGAAUAAUUCACCGCAUUCAUAACUUCCCAUUAGUAGUAGAAAAAGAAUAAAAGCGGUGAACCAUUCAUCGCUGUUAUUAUCGUAGAAAUAUAGAAUGAAAUGAGAAAAAGAAAGAAAGCGGUGAAUGGUUCACCGCUUUUAAAAGCUGUUAUAGGACUAUAUUUACAAAUAAAAAUUUAACAGAUUUAUUUUUAGAAUAAAAUUUUAGGAGAAAACUAUUGCACUAAAAAACCCAAUGAGUACACUCUUAAUCUCCCUUAUAUUUGGAAGCUAAUUAUUGUUGGUACCUAAGCUCUCAUUAUUAUAGAGAACUAUAUAUUCAUAUCAUUAUUAUUGUUUAUGCUUCUAAGCAAUAGUACUUAACCUGAAACACCAUAUUGGGCGCGCAAUUAGCGCCCGCGAAUGAUAUCGGCCCGACUAGAAACUGAAGAUUUUGUGGGACCAAAACUGUUGAUCCUCCUCCCUCCUUGCAUGCUGCUUUCCAUGUAUUCUCAAAUGCCUGCAAAAUUUAUAAAAAUGGAAGGGGGAAAAAAAAAAAUCAAAUUAGUGCUCUCUUUUUUGACUUUAAAUUGUUUGUUGUGUAUCAUGUGUUGGUAACCAAUUUGCAUGGGUUAUUCAUUUUUAGUUUCUUGGGCAUGUAAUGUGACCUAGUUAGUAAUCGGUGUCGAUUGCAAUAUUCAUUUGUAUUAUUUUAGUAGUUUAAACAUAAGAACUUGUAUCUGUUUAGGUCUAAGGACUUGUUUGGCCCAGCUGUGCGCGCUGCAGUGGUGUGAAGCGCCAGCUUCGGUGCUUUUUACUACUGCAGUGCCUGCAGUGAGGCCGAUCAGGUUGUAUUUUACGCGCCGAAUAGGUGAUUAUAUCUUUGUCACCUUCGUGUCGUCGGUCACGCCGUCGCCACUGGCUCCGAAAUCCACGACGUUGAAAACCGUUCCACUCAGUGCGGGACGGUCCAGAGUCGAAGUCAGGUUUGACAUCGACGGCGGCGGUGGCGACGGCAAUAACGGGCUUGGCGGGGGAGAAGGGCUCGGCUUCGGCCCCCCUACCCCAUGGUGGUGGUGGUGGCUACUACCCAAAUGCCUCGCUCUUCUCGCACCGCAUGCAUCGAAAUUCGUGCAUGUAACGAGGAAGAAGAGCAGGAGGAGGGCCAUAGUGCCAUUUUGCACAAAGCCCCUCAUAUUCCUACAAUUUCGCAUGAGCUGUGCUUGGAGUUUGAGGAAGUGUUAAUAGUUGAUAUGAAUGGAGGGAAACAAGGUUUAGCUUUAAAUAGGGGGGAUCCUCCACCCUUAAAAACAUCAUGAUUUGGUCAUGCUUUUGUCAUAUGUCCUCUUUUCUCUACAACCUAUUUGUUUUCUUUACGUAUUUCGUAUUUUUCGUCGAACUAUUUAUUGCUAAUUUAGUGGCAAUUUAGUGGCCUAUUUGUAUUUCAAUGUAAUAGUGCUUUUUCUCCGUGCAUGAAACUUUUGCUAACUAGAAGAGUAUAGGAGGUUAUUUAUUUAUAUUAGUGAAAAUCAGUAACAAUUAUUUUUGUGAUUAUUUUGUUUGGGAACUUCUUUUGUUCUAAUUGGAGGUUGUAAAUAGGGGUGUCAACGAACCAAACAUGCGCGAGUUGAGGCCUGCUCGUUUCAUAAAUAAGCCGAAUACGAACUGGUUCAUUAAAGUAUCGAGUCAAAAAUUUAGUUCGGGUUCAGCUCGUUUUAUAAUCGAGCUGAACACGUGCUGGUUCAUGAACAACAAGUUAAAAAAAAUUAUGAAUGAUACGCAUAGAAAAUAAAUUUAUAAGUUCCUACCUAUUUGACUUUAAUCUAAUAGUUGAAAUUUUACAUAUAAAUAAUUUUUUUAUAAUUGAGUUGGACUUUAUAUUUAGAUUUGGACUUUAUAUUUAGAUUUAAGUUAAAAAUUCAUUAUUUAUAUAUGUAUAAAUAUAAAAUAUAUAUGUAUUCGAGCUGUCAUGGAGCCAAACACGAGUGAACUUAUUCCAGUUCUUGUUCGGCUCGUGUAUUAAAUAAGCUGAAAAAUUCAGCUCGUGUUUGGCUCAUUUAUUAAACAAACGAUUCGAUCUUGAGCUCAUUUCGAGCCGAACAUGAGCUAAUUCGCGAACAGCGAGCUGGAUUGCCACCCCUAAUUUUACUAUAUAUAUAUUUAUUGUUUAGAGGUAAUUUUAUUAUCUUAUAUAUAAAAUAAUAAAAUUUGCACAUCUAUGUCGCAACUGUAAAAAACUAUAUAUUUUGUCAAAUAAACUAAAUAUAAAUAUAAAUAAAGCUUCUGUGUUUGUAAUUAUAUGCAUUUGAAAUAUAUUAUGUUUGUUGUUGUUAUUGUGCUUUUGCUAACGCAAUCAAUAACAAUACAUUGGUACUUAUCAUUCAUAUGAUCUUGCUUUGUACGCAUGCAAAAAUGGUCACGGGUUGUGGUGGUGUUAAUUGUUUCCACUCUUGUGUCUACUACUUAGCAAAGGACGAGUUUGCAAAUAAAAUAUUGUUAGAGGGUGGGCCUGCAAAAUUGCUUGUGAAGUUACAAAUCCAACCCUUUCGCUCAAACAAGAUGUAAGGGUUUUUUUUUUUAGGGAAAAUAUUUUUAAAAUAAUUCUCUGGCAUAAAAAGUAUUAUUUAUUUAUUUAGUUUUCACAAAAAAAAUUAGAGAAAUUUUUGUUUCUCAGAUUUACUUUAUCUGAAAAAUGAAAACUAUGAAAUUUUUUUUUUAUUAAUGCUCACCUUGAAUUAGCACGAAUUUUAAUGCAUUUAUUAUUCCUAGUAUUGUUGGAGAAUCAAACAAUAGAAGAAGUUUGGUCGCUCUUAGUUUAAUUAAAAAAAAAAAAAUACUAGGGUUUGAAUGGAGUUUAUAUUGUUCGCAAAUCAAAAAACAAAAAAAAAAUCACCAUCUUAAAUCGAUGGAGCUUAUUUUAUUUUAUUUUAUUUUAUUUUAUGUUGUUUAACAAUAUUGUUUUAGAUAAUAGAAUAAGAACUUAAAUUUAUUGAAUUUACUUUAAUAACUGUACGCACUUAAAAGAGGGUAUGGUGUAUAACUUAUUUUUUAUUAUUUUGUGAAUUAUUCCUAAAAUAUAUAGUAUAUUUUAACUUUAUUUAUUUAUUUAUUUAUUGUUAUUAUUUUUUAUAACUAUUCUUAACACAUGAAACUCUUGCUUAGUAUACACGUGUAGGGCAAUUUGGGUGUGCGUUAAAGGGAUCAAUUAAUGCGUGCACGUGGUUUUAACUUUUAAUUUAAACCCCUCCUAAUUAUCUAAUCUAAUUAUUAAACGUUAAAACAAUUAACAUACCCAAGAUUAAAAAACUCACGAAGUCAUAUAUACUAGUUAAAAAGUCUGUGCGAUGCAGCGGAAAUUUAUUAUUUUAAUUAAUUAUUAUAGUAUAUAGAUUCUGUUUGCGAUCGAGUUUAGUAUUUAAAAUGAUGAUAAAUUAUUACACUAUAAGUAAAAUGAGUCUCUACAUAUUUAAUUAUUCAAUAAAAUUCUAUAUUAGCUAACACUUUAUUUAUUGUGGAUCUUUUAUUUUUUAUAACCAUUUGAAGAAAUAGAAUAAAACAAAUAAAUAAAACUUUAAAUUGUGUAGCAGAUUCUUUCUAAUAUUAUAUAUAUAUAUGAACUAUAAAUAAAAAAUUAUAAAUUUAUGCACUUAUUUCUUAUUAAAAAAUAUUUUCUUUGAUAUCAUUAAUUAUAAAAUAUUUGAAGCCUAACUAAUAAUUAUUUAACUAAAUAUUUUUAUGAUGGAUUUUAUUUAAAAAAUAUAAUUGAUUACAUUUAUCAAAGUAAAUCUUAAUUUCAUAAGAAUAAAAACAUGUUGUGCUCUCAACUAUAGGUCAUUUUGAAAUAACUCUCUCAACAUUAAUUUUUUUAUUAAUAUUUUUUUAAUUUUUCGUAUUUGUAAAUUAUGUUUAAUAAAUUAGAUUUUAAAUUUAUAUUAAAUAAUUUUAAGUAUAUGGUGUAUGUUCUCGUAUACACCCGAUCCAAAGAGAAAAAAAUUGAUUGCAUCUAGUGUACAUUAAUGCUACACAUAUAUAUACACCGUAAAAUAUAUUCGAUAAUUAUUGAAACAUCUAAUGAUUAGUACUGCAAAAUAAUAUAUGAUAUAAUAUAUAUAAAAUAAAAUAUUUAAAUAAUUUAUUGUCGUAAUAGAAAGUUAUCUUUGAUUCAUAUUUUAGAGUUGAUUUAUAGUCCACUGGGUGCAUCCAACAUUCCACCUGGCCAUGUUGCAUGCUCCCAUUGGUUCAAUCCUUAAAUCCUUAAAUCAAUGUCAAGCCAUUUUUCUUGAUGCGAUGGAAUUUUGAUUCAAUCCUCAAAAUAAAUAGCUACGUAGCCAUUUUUCAUGAUGUGAUGGAAUUUUGAUUCAAUCCUUUAAAUAGCUAGGUGAUGGAAUUUUGAUUUCAUAUAUCCACACUAAUGCUCCAAAUAUUGUACAGUAUAUUUGAUACUUAGGGUGCGUUUGGUUCGCAUUAUGAAAGAUUACUAGGAAUAAAAGAUAUCUAAGAAUCUUAUUCCUAUUCAUCCUAUCACUAAGAAUGUAAAAUUUCUGUAUUUGAUUCCCACGGUAAUAUUAAUUAGCCAUAUUAUUUAAUAUUAUAAAAAAUAUAUAAUUAAUUAAUUAAUUUAUUUAUUUAAUUUUAGAUAAUGUUACCAAAAAUUUCAACAUCUUUUUAGAAAAAAGGGAGAGAAAAUAUAAGUUAGAGAGAGAGAGCAUAAUUAAAAAAAUAGAAAGAAAAAUAUAGUCGAAAUUAGAGGGAGUGAGAGAGUUGAAAUUUUAGAAAGAGAGAGAGAGAGAAAGCUUAGUUUAGAUAGAGAAAAAAAAGUUAAAUUUUAGAGAGAAAAAUAAGUUUAGAGAGAGAUAUAAGGUUAAAGUGUAAAGAAAAAUAAUAUCAAUUAGCCGGCGAGUAGAAAGAAAAAAAAAGAUUAGACAUAUUAUGAUUACCCCAAUCUAUUUAUAUGAGGAUAUCCACCCUCCCUCAAGGGAAUGAGAUUUGUACUUUGGGGUGAAUCUUAUUCCCAAGUGAAUUCAAUAUUACCAACUAGAUUACUUAGUACGUUUAACCAAACACCGUCAUAUUUUUUUAUUCCUAUUGAAUUACUAGGAAUCUUUAAAAGAUAGCGCGAAUCAAACGCACCCUUAUCGUAAUAUCUGAUGAUUAGUAUUAUCUGAUGAUUAGUAUUGUCAAAUAAGUGUGAGGUUACUAUGCUUAUGGAAACACGGAGCCCUUCGUGCUUUCAGGUCGUUUUCGAUGUUGUGACUUUCGAAUCGUCGAUCAGCUCCGUUAAACUUGAUUUAGAGUAUUUGAACUACCUAGAAAAUAAAUUUUAUGAUUUUUCGAUAUUAUUUGCCUAGUGAUCGAAGCGGCUCAAAAUCAAUAAUUUUAAUAGCUGUUGUGAGCCAUUUGCAAGUUUAACGGUGUAUAAAUAUUCAAAUCACGUGAAAUUUUAACAGAAAAUUCUUUAUACUAUAUAAAACAAGAUCAAUAUUUUUUAUCUAAAAUUUUAAUGUCAUAUUAUCACGUUUUGUAAGAUUUUUAUUUUUAGCCGUUGAUUUUGAGCUCCUUCGUUCACUAGGUAAAUAAUAUCGAAAAAUCGCAUAAUUUAUUUUCUAGGUACUUCAAAUACUCUAGAUUAAGUUUAACUCAGCCGAUCGACGAUUCGAAAGUCGCAACAUGAAAAACGAUCUGGAAGCACGAAAGGCUCCGUGCUUCCAGAAGCAUAGUAGCCCCACUCGUCAAAUAAUAUAUAAUAUAAUAUGUAUAAUAAAAAAUAUUUAAAUAAUUUAUUGUACUAUAGAAAUUUAAUUUUAAUUUAUAUUUUAGAGUUGAUUUAUGGUAUACUAAGUGUAUCCAACAUUACUUCUAGCCAUGUUGCAUGCUCCCAUUGGCUCAAUCCUUAAAUAGCUACGUGGCACAAUGUCGAGCCAUUUUUCUUGAUGUGAUGGAAUUUUGAUUUCACGUAUCCACACUAAUGCUCCAAAUAUUGUUCAAUAUAUAUUUGAUACUUAUCGUAACAUCUGAUGAUCAGUACUAUCAAAUAAUAUAUGAUAUAAUUUAUAUAAUAUAAAAUAUUUAAAUAAUUUAUUGUACUAUAAAAAUUAAAAUUUAAUUUAUAUUUUAGAGUUGAUUUAUGGUAUACUAAAGUAGCGUUUGGUUCGGGAACAAGGGGGAGGAUAAGUCCUUGUUCCCCUCUUUGUUCCCAAACGCAGCGUUUGGUAUCCGAGAACAGUAGUUCUCGGAUUUAUGAAACUAGCUGGUAUAAGAUUGGAACUGGCUGGAACUGCUGUUCCAUCUUUUUUUUGGAACAAGCUUGUUCCCGAAUGAGAACGAGGUUAAUUAAAUCUAAAUUUAAAUUUUAAUGAUAGUAAAUUAUUAAUUAAUCUAAUUAAUAUAUUUGAAUUAUUAUCUAUUGCUUAAAUAAUAAAAUAAAUAAACAAAUAAUUAAUUAUUUAUAAUUAGAUAAUAAUAAUUAUUAAUUAAAUAAUAAUUAUUUAUUAAUAAUUAUUUUUCUUAAGAAAUAGAUAAUCGAUAUUAUUAUUAAUUUAUUAUUUAUAAUUAAUUAUUAAUAAUUAGAUAAUUAUUACUAAUUAAUUUAUUACUUAUAAUUAAUUAUUAAUAAUAUUAUUUAAUUAUUAAUUAAUAAUAAAAUAAAAUAAUUAUUCUGAUUAAUUAGAUAAUCGAUAUUAUUAGUAAUUUAUUAUUAAUAAUUAAUAAUUAAAUAAUUAUUAUUAUUUAUUAAUAAUGAUUUAUAAUUAAUUAUUAAUAAUUAGAUAAUUAUUAUUAAUUAAUUUAUUACUUAUAAAUAAUUAUUAAUAAUGAAUCAAUCUAAUAUUAAUUAUUAUUUAUAAUUAUUUAUUAAUAAUUUAUUUUAAGUAAUAUUUUGAUGUUAAUUAAUUAGAUAAUAUAAUUUUAAUUUCAAAUUAUAACUUUUAUUUCUCUUGUUCCAAUUUAACCAUCCAAACGCUAUUUACCUUUAUCUUAGGAACAACUCAAUUUUCAUCCAAACGUAAAAUUGGUCUAGUUCCUGCUUAUAUCUGAACUUGUACCUAUUCCUGAAACAGCAGUUUUUACUUAUAUCUGAACCAAACGCAGCCUAAGGUAUCCAACGUUCCUUCCGGCCAUGUUGCAUGCUCCAUUGGCUCAAUCCUUAAUAGCUAUGUGACACAGCCAUUUUUCUUGAUGUGAUGGAAUUUUGAUUUCAUAUACCACACUAAUGCUCCAAAUAUUGUUCAAAAUAUAUUCGAUACUCGUCGUAACAUCUGAUGAUCACUACUGUAAAAUAAUAUAUGAUAAAUUUAUAUAAUAUAAAAUAUUUAAAUAAUUAUUGUACAAUAGAAACUUAAUUUUAAUUCAUAUUUUAGAGUUGAUUUAUGGUAUACUAAGUGUAUCCAACUUUCCUUCCCCCAUGUUCACGCUCCCAUUGGCUCAAUCCUUAAAUAGCUAUGUGACACAAGCCUUUUUUUUUUUUUGGAUGUGAUGGAAUUUUGAUUUCAAUAUCACACUAAUGCUCCAAUAUUGUUCAAUAUAUAUUCGUACUUGUCGUAACGUCUGAUGAUCAGUACUGUCAAAUAAUAUAUGAUAUAAUAUAUAUAAUAUAAAAUAUUAAAUAAUUUAUUGUACUAUAGAAAUUUAUUUUUAAUUAUAUUUUUAAAAAUUGGUUUGCAGUAUACUGGCACGACUAACAUUUGCUUCUAGCGACGUUGCAUUCUCCACGUGGCUAUUUUUUUUUAGGACAAUUUCCUAUGUGCCCCUCUAACAGUAAGUAUUUACAUGGAUGCCUCUAUAAAAGUUGAAAAUAUUCUAAAUGCCCCUCUAAAUAUAAAAACUUUUAAAAAUAUCUUUCAAAACAUAUUUUAUUAAAAUCUACAGUAACAACAAUCAAAAUAUUGAUUUUUAUCAUUUUCAUAAUUGCCCUUAAAUGUUUCUAAUUAUUAGUAAUAAUUUUAACUUUUGUAAAUACCUCAUAAAUUUAAAAGUUUACAAAUUUAAAAGUUAUUUAGUUAUAUUUUCACAUGGAUUUCUGUAAGAAUUAUAUAUUCUAAAAGAAUAAUAUUUUUAUCUUACCCAAUAUUAUUAAUAUUUCUAAAUUUUUUAAAAUAAGAGAGGAAAUAAUAAAUAGCUGAAAAAUUAAAGUUUAUCAUUAAUUAUAAAGCAUAAAAUUACUUACUAGAUUUGAAAUAUAAUAAAACGAUUUAGCAUUGUUUACAAAUUUUUUUAAAAAAAACUCAGAUAUCUGUUAAAUUUUAUAAUCAAGGUUAGAGAAGUGCAAAUGUACUAAAUAACAUGUGAAUUGACUUUUAUUAAUAUUUUAAUAGUAUUAAAUUGAAUGCUUGUAUCAUUAUCUAAACUAAUUACUAGUGAGGACAGUUUGAAAGUUUAUUUGUUGUACAUUUCAUCACAUUAAAGUGCUCUUUCAAAAAAUUUUAAAAAUUCAGAAUAAAAUGAACAUUUUCACUAAUUCAUGAUAACCUAUCUAAAUUAAAUAGAUCUUGGUAGAGAGAUAAAAUUAACAACGAGAAUAUAUUUAUAAGAUAGUAUUUAUAAGGAUAUUUGUGAUUUAUGAGGAUAUUUAUAAUAUUUGAACGUUUAGAGGGGUAUGAAUGAAAUUAACCCUUCAUUAGUAAUAGUCGGAACAUUUAAAAAGGCAAUUAUAAUAUUUAUGGGUUUUUAUUUUAUUUUUUCCUCUAAAUUUGUGGAAAUUAAGAAAUGUUUUGAUUAUCGACCGUCCCCUGAGCAAGUGACAAAAGGCUUAGAGUUAGUACCGAGGUCACAAUUUCGAAUUCUAAUUGAUUCACAUUUUCAGCUAAGUUAUUUCUAAUUGAAAUAAACGAAGCGAUAGCGUACUACCUAUCUCUCUCUAAAAAAAAAAAAAAGAAAGAGAAAUGGUUUAGAAUUUCACCCAUGCAAAAUACCUCUUUGUACGUGGGAGUUCUCAGUGUCGCUUGCACGAUCUGUAAGCAUGAGAACACAACUUGCCUCAAAUUUUAAUAUAUUAUAAUAUUAAUUCAAUUUUUUUUAAAAUUAUUAUAAUUAAAUUUAACAAAUCAAUUUAUCUUACUAAUUGAAAGUGAUAUAAUAAUAUUAUAAUUGAUGAUAUGAUAAUAAUUAAAAUAUUAUAUUAUUUUCGUAUAAGCAACGUCUUAUAGUUGAGCAUCAAAAAUAGGAUAAAUUGCACCGCUAGUUCCUUGAACUUCUAAUCGAGUUUUAUUUCGGUAUGCAACUUUUUUGAAAUUUGUUGUUUAUAUUUAAACAUCUAAAUAAUUUAAUUUAGCUAUGACAUUAGCGGCCUACACCUAGGAGUGUCAACGAGCCGAACACGAGCGAGCCUGGGUCGCUCGUGUUCGCUCAUUUCAUAAACAACCGAACACGAGCCGGCUCGUAAAGUAUCGAGCCAAAAAAUUCGCUGUUUCGUCGUUUAUUUCUUUUUUUUUUUUCUUUUUAUUUUCGAUGUUUCGGCUCCGUUUAUUAACAAGCCGAACCACGAGCCGCGCUUAUGCAAUAUGAAUUUAAAACGAAUUAGAAAAAAUAUACUAUAAGGAAAACAUUAUAAGAUUUAUUCGUUAUAUUUUGUGAUCUAAUGAAUCACAAUAUUUAGCAUAUAUAAUCAUUACUAAUGAUUGCUUAUAUUGCAUUGGCCUUUAUAUUUGACUGUUUUAAAAUGCAAAUAAUAAUAAUUUAUAUUUAUAUAUAUAAUUAUUUAUUUAUAUAUAUAUAUAGGUUAUAUAAUUUGUAUAAGUAUAAAAUACAUGAAUUCGAGCUGUUAUCGAGCAGAAUAUGAGCGAGCUAACCUAGCUCGUGUAAAGCUGAAAAAUUUAGUUCGUAUUCGGCUCGUUCAUUAGACGGGCGAUUUGUUCUCGAGCUCAUUUCGAGCCGGACACGAAUUGACUCGCGAACAAUGAGCUGGAUUGCCACCCCUACCUACACCCACUGCGUCUGGACAUUUGUAUACGAAGAAAAUAAAAGAAGAGCGAGAAAAAAAAGUAAUAAGAAUAUUUUCGUCCGGUGACAAAAAAUUCGAUUUAAAUCUGCAAAAUUGAAAAAUAUGGUCUAAUUUUGUAAAAGUUCAAAACUCGUGGAGUUUUUAUGCAAAUUGGUCUAAUAAUAAUAAGGUUAUAUCAAUUCAGAUACUUGGAAUAUUCAGAUACUUCUAAAAUAUCUUGUCCAGAAAGUAGAUAAUAUAAUUGAUUGUUUCUUGAACCAUCAACUUUGAUUGCAAAUCAUUGGUCUAAUUAAUAAUCAUGCUCAUUGGCUUGUUUCCAAGAAAAAUAAAAUAUUCUUCGCUGCCUCGAUAUUUUAUCCUUAUAGAUUAUUAAUGUGUUAUGAUAAUAUAUCUAUAUGAUAUUAGCUAAAUUACAGAAAAUGUUUCUAUAAAUAUCUGUUUUUUUAUUUUUCCUCUUUAAUUUUUAAAAAUCUAUAUUUUGUCUCCUUGAAAUUUCAGAAAUAUUUUCAGAAGGGUACGGUGUUAAUGGAGAGAAAAAAUGAUCAAAUUGCCCUUACUUAUUCUAUAAGAAUAGAAAGAAAUUAUUUUUUAAUAUAUUUCUGUCAUUUUGAAUGACAUUUUUGAUAUAAAUUACAAAAAAUAGACGGAAUAGUGAUGGGACCUUGACAGAGGAGGACUAAAUGUAACAACUGAAAAUUUUAAGAAGGUAAAAUAUAAGUACUUUUUUCAUUUUUUCUUUCUAACUUUCAAAAACUUAUAUUUUGCUCUUUUAAAAUUUCAAAAAUAUUUUCAAGUGGUACGGUGUUAAUGGAGAGGAAAAAAUGACUAAAUUAUUCUUAUUUCUUUUAUAAAAAAAAAUUAUUUUUUAAUAUAUUUCUAGCAUUUUGAAGAGCAUUUUUGGUGUAAAUUACAAAAAAUAGACGGAAUAGUGAUGGAACCCUGACGGAAGGGAAUUAAAUGCAACAACUUGAAAUUUUAAGAAGGUAAAAUAUAAAUUUUUUAAAGUGAAAGAUAGAAAGUGAAAAAGCAAAUAUUUACAUGGGAGCUUUCUGUAAUAUAGCCUAUGAUAUUUUAGGACUGUCGUAUGAGUCAAUUAAAGGUUCGUAUAUCAUGCGUGCUAACACAUCAAUAACACAUAAAAGUAAUAGUAUCUUGAGGGAUUCUUAGUGAUAAUAAAAAACAAAACGUAAUUGUAAGGUAACUAAUUGCUUGCACGACAGCACGGUGCCAUAUAAGUACUGAAGCUGUCACACUCUGAAUCCUACAUGCUAUGAUUCGGAUCCGUACCACAACAACCGGCCAUGAAUACAAAGAAAGAAUUUCCAAAAUGGAAGAUCUUAAGCUACCGUUUGGUUCGAGGUUAAGUAAAAACUUGUUAUUUGAGGAAUAGAGUUAAGUUCAAGGUGGGGUUAGAAUAAUUUUGUGUUUAGUUAAGAAUUUGGUUUAGUUCAGGUAUAAGUAAAAUAGUAUUUGGUUGGAGUAGGUGGGAUAAAAAAGAUAGCGAGUAAAAUAAUAUUUUGUUUGGUUGGAGUAGUGGGGUGGGGUGGGACGCUACCCCCCAAAUUGGGUGUUUGGGAAUAACUUCGGGGUUAAGGAGUUAUUCCACCCCUUAACUCCGAACCAAAUGGGUGCUAAGUAGAUUCAAGAAAAACUUCAAAUACCACCCCUGUAGUUUCACACUUUUUCACUUUAGUACACUAUGAUUUAAAGUGUAUCAAUUUAGUGCUAUGUGGUUUCAUUUUUAUCUUUUUAUUAUCGAUUUCACUAAUGUUUUUCGUUAUAUCAGUGACAAAGUUAAAAUUAAAGGGUACUAAAGUGAAUAUUCGAUAAACUUAAAUGGGGUAUCUGAAAUUUUUUUGUUUAUAAUUUAACGAAAUAUUAACGAAAAAGCUGACUAAAAGAUAAAAAUGAAAUUACAGGACACUAACUUGAUACACUUUAAACCACAUGGUACUAAAAUGAGAAAGUACGAAACUAAGGGGUGGUAUUUGAAGUUUACCCUAUAUUAUUAACGACUAAAUAAAUUAAUUUAUUAAUGAGAACGAAGUUGUGCAGUAACUAAUGAAUGUCCAAUUAUAAUGAAUAUUAAUAAAAAACCGUCCUUUUCAAUCUAAUUCAGAUCAAAAUAAACUGCGUAUCCAUAAAAUGAAGUCUAUUUGACGUGUCUUCACCCGCUGAUAUUUCAAACAUUUUGACUCUCUGUAUCUAAAAUGGUAGACAACAAAAAUAAGCACAACGUUUAGUAAAAAAUUUACUUUAAAGAAUAAAUAAUAAUUUGAAAUUUGAAAUUAAAACAAUUAUACUUCGGAGCAUCUCCGCUCGGUUGCUCUGAUCACGAGAGCUAUAAUUACAUGUUGUUUCUCUUCGGAAACCCCAUACAGAAUAAAUUUAUGCUGUUUAUAGAAAAGUAGAUAAUAGAUCAUUGUAAUAAUAAAUAAUAAUAAUGUGUAAGAGUAAAUAAAUCACAACAAGUAAUAAAUAAUCAUAAAAUUUACUUGCGUGUACUAGUAUCUAGUAAACAAAAUAGAUAAUAUAUUAUGUCUCAGCCCUACAUGGAUCUGUAUAUUUUCUACCGUUUAUAGAAAAGUAGCUUUUUACUUGUCCUUGUUAGUGCUAAAAAAAUCUUCACAUUAUAAGAUUGUAGUUUCAGAGGAGUUCCAGAAACUAGAACGAUGCAAAGCCAAAAUAAGAUAAUUUUUCAAGCAAACCCUUCUACUUUUAAAUAUUUUGCCAAAUAGGAAUAAUCUUAAAAAAAGAAGAGUCGACUUCUACUUUUAAAUAUUUUGCCAAUUAGGAAUAAUUAGGGGUGUAAAACGGGCCGGGCGGCCCGUGGCCCGCCCCGCCCGGCACGGCUGCGGGCCGGGCCGUGGCCCGGCACGACCACUGUAGCACCCGGGUCGUGCCGGGCCCGGCAGGCACUUCGGGCCGUGCUGGGCCUCACAUUUGGAGCCCGACGGCCCGGCACGGCACGGCCCGAAACGGGCCUGGACCGUGCCGGGCCGAGGAGAGCGGUGGCCCGCACGGCACGGCCGAUUGGGCUGUGCCAGCCGGGCAGCACAGCCCGGAACCCAGGCCCAAGGCAGGAGAUUCCCAAGGUCUGCCUUUUGGUCCAAUGGACCAAAAACCCAUCUCAAAUUUAUUUUAUUUUUUAAUAAAACAAUAUAUAAAUAAAUUUAAAUAUUUAUUAUUUUAUAAUUAUUUUUAUAAAUUUAAAUUUUAAGUUAAAUAUCAGUUUAAAUAAAAUUAUUUAUUGUUUAUAUUUUUGUAGAUUAUAUAUAUUUUUUAAAAAAAAUUAAAAAGGGGCCGGCCCGAAGCACUGCCGGCCCGGCACAGCCGUGCCUUCCGGGCAGGGGCCGUGCCUGGCCGAAGGGUAGGAGUUCGGCCGGCACGGCCCGGCCCGGAUUAGUUACGGGCCGGCCGGGCCAGGCCCUAGCCCGUUUCGACUCGGAAAAUGUGGGCUAUGCCGGCCCGCAAGCCCACAUUACACCCCUAGGAAUAAUCUUAAAAAAAGAUGAGUCGACUAUAAAUAUAUAUAUAUAUAUAUAUAUAUAUAUAUAUAUAUAUAUAUAUAGUCCGGCUAUGGUGCUUGUAAAAGUACAAAGCUCUUGGUGCUUGUAAAUUUUUUACCGUUAGAUUUACUCUUUGGAUCAUUUUCAUCUGUUAGAUUAUACUAUUCAACCAACCACCCACUCAACUCUAAGGGUUCCACAUCAUCCUAACCACAUAUCUCUUAGUCCUAACCACACACAUACACAUAUAUACAUACAUAUAUAUACAUGAAUUGAGCUGGAAUACUUCUAAAAGUAGUAAGGGGUAGGCGUUUUUAUGUUUGUAGCCCUUUGAUGGAGUUGUUGUAGGACUGGGAUGAUAGAAGCCCACUAGGGUUUAGUGGUGGUAGAUGGAAUAGUGUUUGAUGUAGAGGCUAGAAAUGGUCUAAGGAUUAAUCCAAUGGUAGAAAACUUUAAAAGCACCAAGGUGUUGUUGUUUUUAGAUGUAUUCUAGCUUCUCUCUCUCUCUCUCUCUAUAUAUAUCUAUACAUUUAUAUAUGCAUAUACAUAUACAUAUAGAAUUAGAUUGGAAUACUAUCAAUAGUACGAAGCUAUCGGUGCUAUUAGGUUUUCGACCCUUGGAUGAAGAAAUGUACGGUUAGGAUGAUGUGGGCUCUCUUGGGUUGAGUAAAUUGUUGGUUGAAUAGUAUAAUCUAAUAGGUGAAAAUAGUCAAAGGGUUAAAUCUAACGGUGGAAAACUCGAUAGCUCCAAGUGCUUGGUGCUAUCAAUAGUAUCCCAGCAAGACUCUAUACAUAUAUAUAAUUGGGCUGGAAUACUAUUAAUAGUAUUCCAGCACUUUUACUACCCAGUAUUUAACCAUUGGAUGAAAAAUUGUAUGAUUAGGAUGAUAGUGGUCCCCUAUAGUUUAGUGGUGGUCCCUCUAGAGUUGAGUGGGCGAUUGGUUGAAUAGUAUGAUCUAAAGGGUGGAAUUGAUUAAAGUAUAGAUCUAACAGCUAAAAAGUCGAUAGCAAAAGAGUCCAAACACUAUUCCAGCUCAACUCUCUCUCUUUCUCUCUCUAUAUAUGUAGAAAGAGAGUUGAGCUAGAAUGCUACGAGUAGCAAACGGGCUUCGUUGCGACCCAUUUAUUUUCGAUGAUGGAGUCUCCAAAUCAACGAUCGACACUGUCGAACAUGAUCUAUGCCACUUGAAAUAUUUAGAAAUUAAAUUUCAGGCAUUUUCGAUAUUAUUUUUUUAUUCAUCAAGUGGACACAAAAAUGGACGGCUAAUUAAAAAUGAAUAAUCUUUAAAAAGUGAUGAUAAGAGUCUUGUAAUCAAAAUCAAAAGUAUAGAUCUCGUUUUAAAUAGCUUAAAAAAUUUUCUAACAAAAAUUCAAUUGAUUUGGAUAUCUUUACGCCGUUAAGCGAGAAAACGUCUCAUAUCAACUGCAAAAAUUUUAAAUUUUGAAACCCUUUGAUUAUUAGGCAAAUGAUGUCAAAAAGAUUUGGAAUUUAAUUUCUAAACACUUCAAGUGAUAUAGAUCAUAUUCAGCGGAGCCGGCGGUCGAUUUGGAGGCUCCAUCAUCAAAAACAAAUCGGUGGCAGGAGCCCGUUUGCUACCGAUAGCAUUCCAGCUCAUCUCUCUCUCUCUCUCUCUCUCUCUCUCUCUGUAUAUAAAAUACAAGUUGGGCUUAAAUUAUUAAUCUCAAUUUAUUUAGGGAGGGUACUUUGAGAGGCAAGCUAAUGGACUGGGCCCAGAGAAAGAAAAAAGUUACUUUGGACCUUGUGGUCCACCUGGCCCAUCAUGAGGAUAAUAUGGGAUCUUCAUUAUUUAUAUUUUAAUUCUUUUUUUUUUAGAUUUUCUCUUGUUGGGGUAGGCCUAGGGAUGUCAAUGGGUCUGGGAUACCCGAAAUAUUAUCUGAAUCCGAACCCGAAUGGGCCGGGUUUAUCCGAGCUAAACGGAUAUGGAUUCAGUUAUUGUUAUAGAAAAUAAAAACCCGACGGAUAUGGAUACGGGUAUGGAUUUUGUAUUUACCCUACCCGAACCCAAAUCUGAAUAAAUUAUAACAUUUUGAUAUCUAGAUAUUGUAUUAGAUAUUUAAAGAAUAUAUUGUUGUCUUUAAGUAUUUGAAUUUGUGCUUUUCUUAUUCAGAUUUUGAUAUUGUAUGGCAUGAAUGUUUUAAUGUUGUAUUUGAUUGUGUUUUAAAAAUUUUAUUUUGAAAAUUUUGAUUUUACUAUAAUAUAUUUUGAAAUAUGAUAAAGAGAAAUUAUUAUUUUGGGUUCGGGUUCGGGUUCGGGUUCGUGUUCGGAUUUCGGGUUUUUAGUCGGGCUCGUAUAUGGGUAUGGAUUUUUAAAACCCGCCGGGUUCGGAUCCGGGUUUUGGGUUCGGGUUUUUGAAAACCCGGCCUAAACCCGAUUGGUCCCUUGCAAUGAGCUUAGUUGGAUUUCUCUGUCACGCAUAUAAUCCUAAUAAAACAUUGGAAAUUAAGCUUGUUAAGUGAACUAAUAUUGGCUUAGUCAAAGCCGCAAUGUGGAGACAUGUAUCUGAUUGGUAGUACAGUUGGUAAAGAUUUUACUUUCGUACGAAUGGUUUAAUUCAGAAAUAUUUCUAAAAAUUUAGUAUAGAAAAGAUGGUGCGUAAAAAAUCUAUAAAUUAUUUAUACUUACACCUCUUUUCCCUUUUUUUUUUCUUUUUUUUUUUUUUCUUUCUUUCUUUUUGUGAUUGAAGUUUAGAGGAGUAUAGUUUGAUUAUCUCUUUGUUUGUUUUGGGUGAAUUUGGUUUGGGGGAUAAAAAUGGGAUUUUGUGAGAGGGGGUUUUAACUUUAACUUUUAAGUGCUGCAGGGAAAAAAAGAAAAAGAAAGAAGAAGAAGCUUCUAGAGUUCCAGAAUCUCCUGGUGGCUCUCUUUUAGGCUGAUUUAGUGGUGGGUUUGGGAGAAAGAUGAGAUCUUGUGAGCAUCUGCUCUGAUCAAUCUGCACUGCUCUGCAGUAAAAGUUGGAUCUUGGAAGGAAAAGAGUUGUCAAAUUAUUUAUUGAGGGAAGCAUUUGAUUGCCAAACUCAGGAAGGGAGAUUUUGCAUUGCAAUCUUCUGGUGGUGGUUUUGUAUCAUCCAGCUAGGGUUUUUUUUUUUUUUUUUUUUUUUUUUUUUUUUUUUUUUUUUUUUNNNNNNNNNNNNNNNNNNNNNNNNNNNNNNNNNNNNNNNNNNNNNNNNNNNNNNNNNNNNNNNNNNNNNNNNNNNNNNNNNNNNNNNNNNNNNNNNNNNNNNNNNNNNNNNNNNNNNNNNNNNNNNNNNNNNNNNNNNNNNNNNNNNNNNNNNNNNNNNNNNNNNNNNNNNNNNNNNNNNNNNNNNNNNNNNNNNNNNNNNNNNNNNNNNNNNNNNNNNNNNNNNNNNNNNNNNNNNNNNNNNNNNNNNNNNNNNNNNNNNNNNNNNNNNNNNNNNNNNNNNNNNNNNNNNNNNNNNNNNNNNNNNNNNNNNNNNNNNNNNNNNNNNNNNNNNNNNNNNNNNNNNNNNNNNNNNNNNNNNNNNNNNNNNNNNNNNNNNNNNNNNNNNNNNNNNNNNNNNNNNNNNNNNNNNNNNNNNNNNNNNNNNNNNNNNNNNNNNNNNNNNNNNNNNNNNNNNNNNNNNNNNNNNNNNNNNNNNNNNNNNNNNNNNNNNNNNNNNNNNNNNNNNNNNNNNNNNNNNNNNNNNNNNNNNNNNNNNNNNNNNNNNNNNNNNNNNNNNNNNNNNNNNNNNNNNNNNNNNNNNNNNNNNNNNNNNNNNNNNNNNNNNNNNNNNNNNNNNNNNNNNNNNNNNNNNNNNNNNNNNNNNNNNNNNNNNNNNNNNNNNNNNNNNNNNNNNNNNNNNNNNNNNNNNNNNNNNNNNNNNNNNNNNNNNNNNNNNNNNNNNNNNNNNNNNNNNNNNNNNNNNNNNNNNNNNNNNNNNNNNNNNNNNNNNNNNNNNNNNNNNNNNNNNNNNNNNNNNNNNNNNNNNNNNNNNNNNNNNNNNNNNNNNNNNNNNNNNNNNNNNNNNNNNNNNNNNNNNNNNNNNNNNNNNNNNNNNNNNNNNNNNNNNNNNNNNNNNNNNNNNNNNNNNNNNNNNNNNNNNNNNNNNNNNNNNNNNNNNNNNNNNNNNNNNNNNNNNNNNNNNNNNNNNNNNNNNNNNNNNNNNNNNNNNNNNNNNNNNNNNNNNNNNNNNNNNNNNNNNNNNNNNNNNNNNNNNNNNNNNNNNNNNNNNNNNNNNNNNNNNNNNNNNNNNNNNNNNNNNNNNNNNNNNNNNNNNNNNNNNNNNNNNNNNNNNNNNNNNNNNUUUCACACUUUUUCAUUUUAGUACCCUGUGGUUUGAAGUGUAUCAAGUUAGUACCCUGUGGUUUCUCACUUUAUCACUUUAGUACCCUGUGGUUUAAAAUGUAUCAAGCUAGUACCCUGUGGUUUUGCACUUUAUCACUUUAGUACCCUGUGGUUUCACACUUUAUCACUUUAGUACCUUGUGAUUUAAAAAACUAUAGGGUAUUAACUUGAUACAAAAUUAAAACUACAGGGUACUAAAGUGAUAAAGUGCAAAACCACAGGGUACUAACUUGAUACACUUUAAACCACAGGGUACUUAAGUGAUAAAGUGAGAAACCACGGGGUACUAACUUGAUACAUUUUAAACCACAGGGUAUUAAAGUGAAAAAAAUUGAAACCACAAGGGGGGUUUUUGAAGUUUUCCCUUGUUUCAAUAGAAAAUGCAUAUUUUUUGAUGGUCAACAGUCAACUUGUGCCAUAAUACGAGUCAAAUGGGAGUGUUCAAUUUACUCAUUUUAAACCUUAAAGGAUCAAAGUGUUUUGAUUAUUAUAUUUCUCAAGCGCUUAUACGUAAUCGUUCUGUUAAAUGGAAUGGUAUUGUUAACGGUACUAGUUUUGAUAUUAAUAGAUAGAUUCAUUAAAUUAAAAUUAGAUACGAUCUGUCUAAUCUGCUCAUGACAGAAAUAACUAUGAAUAUUAUAUCACUUUUUUUUUUUUGUGAAUUAUGGAAUUAAAGUUUAUGGUGUUUGUUGUUCUGCAGGUGAUGUUUGAUCACAGAAAGGAGAGGAGGGAGCUGCUGGAGGGGUUGGUGAUCAGCAAUAGAGAUGCAAGAAUCCCAUCAUUCCAACAGGUAAAAGAGGGGGAAAAAUUUAAAAAAAAAAUAAAAAAAUUAUUAUAUAAAUAAAUAUUGAAAAAUGAUGGGCUUUACUGGUCCCACUAUUUUUUUUUUUCAUUUUUAAGCGGAAAAAAAUCUUAAUANUUGUGGCUUAAAAAGUGAACAAGCUAGAGACCGUUAGAGCACUGAAAAGGACUUUUUUUUUUUUUUUUUUCCUUCUCUUAAAAAAUCUAAAAAGUUAACUUUUUUUUUAAGGAAAAAAAAAAGAGAAAAGGACAUAAAAAAGGGUGGUUACAACAAUCCAAGCUAACACACCAACACCAACAAUGGUCUUGAUAGGUGAGGAGUUGAUGGACCAAUGAAACAUUGACUAAGACACAAAUUAAACAAGUAUACAAAUUAAUAUAUAAGAUCCUUUAAAUGGGCCCCACAUGACCCCCACACCAAAAUGAACCAAUCGUUGAGCGCCACAUCAUCGAUCGCGCCAUAUCUACUCUCCAAAGUGUACACAGCAACACUCUCUUAUUUAUAGUGUUAGCCAAGAAGUGUUACUCCAAGACAAGCAUAGAGAGUGUUGUUUUACUGCUUAGAGAGAAAGAGAGAGAGAUCUAGAGAGAAAGAGAGAGAGAGAGAAUGGUGAACAUAAUCGAGGGGCAGAAACCUCUCUUACACACCCUAGUGAGGAUGGCGGGGCUCCGACCGGUGCUCGUCGAGCUCGAGCCGGGCACCGUCAUGCACUUUUGGGCGCCCAAACACCGCCUUCCGUCGCAGAAGAAGACUAGUGCGGCCGCGAUCACUGUCGACAAAUCUACCCCGGUGGAUGUUCCAGAAUCCAACACUACUAUUGCCAACACAACAGCGGCCUUAUCUAGGCCCAGUAAGAACAGGGCCCGUAGAAUUUGGCCCAGUAGGAAUCGGCCCAAGCCCGCGAUCGUCCUCGUCCACGGCUUUGCGUCCGAGGGGAUCGUCACUUGGCAGUUCCAGUUCGGCGUGCUGGUCUCAGAUUACGACGUGUACAUCCCUGAUCUGUUCUUUUUCGGUAAGUCGACGACCGUCCAGCCCGACCGGUCGCCAGAAUUCCAGGCCGGGUGCGUCGCCAGGGCACUUGACAUGCUCGGAGUGGAACGGUGUCACGUCGUAGGGUUCAGCUACGGAGGGAUGGUGGCGUUUAAGUUGGCGGAGGCCCGACCGAGCCUGGUCCGGUCGUUGGUCGUGACCGGUUCGGUCAUUACGAUGACCGAUUCGAUAAACGAGGCCAGUUUGACGCGGCUCGGGGCCGCCUCGUCGGCGGACCUCCUCUUACCGGAGACCCUUGAGAGGCUCAAGGCGCUUCUGAAGAUGUCCAUGUACAAGAAGUUGUGGUUUCCCGACCGGUUCUAUAAAGAUUAUCUCGAGGUUUGUAGUAAUAAUUAGUUUUAUUCGGGGCUUUUGUUUAUGUACCUUUUACUAUUGCUCAAAAUUUUUAAAUAUAUCUUGAAAUUACCAAAAUACUCUUAUAAAUAAAUUUUUAAAGAUAAUCAAGGAUAGUUGGUCCUCCAAAAAUAAAAAAGAUACUUUUGAAGUUUUGAAGAUUAUUAGAUAUUAUCAUUUAUUAGAUAUAUAGGAUGAGUUAACAACAUAUUCCCAAAUAAUAAUAUAAUUAAUUUUUCUUGUCUAAAAUUGAUUUUAGCGUAUUUAUAAAUCCUCCUAAAUUAUAGUCAUUCAACAUGUUUAGUGCUAGUUGGCCUUUUUUUUUUUUGGAAAAAAAAACCUUUGUUUUUAAAUUAAUUAUAAUAGUUGUUUCAAGGGAAAACUUCAAAAACCCCCCCUGUGGUUUCACACUUUUUCAUUUUAGUACCCUGUGGUUUGAAGUGUAUCAAGUUAGUACCCUGUGGUUUCUCACUUUAUCACUUUAGUAUCCUGUGGUUUAAAAUGUAUCAAGCUAGUACCCUGUGGUUUUGCACUUUAUCACUUUAGUACCCUGUGGUUUCACACUUUAUCACUUUAGUACCUUGUGAUUUAAAAAACUAUAGGGUAUUAACUUGAUACAAAAUUAAAACUACAGGGUACUAAAGUGAUAAAGUGCAAAACCACAGGGUACUAACUUGAUACACUUUAAACCACAGGGUACUUAAGUGAUAAAGUGAGAAACCACGGGGUACUAACUUGAUACAUUUUAAACNAUAUUGAAAAGUGAAAUAAGGAGUAAGGAUAUCAAUAGGUAUGGAUAUCCGAAAUAUUAUCCGAAUUCAAACCCGAAUAAAUUAUAUAUAUAUACAUAAUUUAUUUUUGUUUAUUUAUACAAUAUAUAAAAUAUUUAAUAAUUUUUAUUUCUUAGAUCUUCAUUCAACGGUAUAGUUUUUAAAAUCUGCUGGGUUGGAUGAAGAUCUAAGGAAUAAAAAUUAUUAAAUAUUUUAUAUAUUGUAUAAAUAAACAAAAAUAAAUUAUGUAUAUAUAUAUAAUUUAUUCGGGUUUGAAUUCGGAUAAUAUUUCGGAUAUCCAUACCUAUUGAUAUCCUUACUCCUUAUUUCACUUUUCAAUAUACAAAAAAUACGUAACAAAAAAUACGUACUAAACACGGUGAACCAUUCACCGUGUUUGAACACGGUAAAUGGUUCACCGUAUUCAACUUAACACACUGGCCCAGCCCUGCCCGCGUGGCGCUGACGUGGCGCCUGCGUGGCAGGUCCGGGACCAUUUUUGCAAAUUAAAUUUUGACAGGACUAUUUUUAAAAUAAAAAUUUCUCAGGGGUCUAAAUGCAAAAAAAGCCCAUAAAUAUUUUAUACUCGUACCGGAACAAAAACUAAAUUUAGAUUUUAAAUUUGGGAAGAAACUGUUUGUUGCACAUAUACCAAAUUACCAAUAAUAAUAAAUUUUAUGACUAUAUUUAUAUUCACACUAUUGUUUUGUCACUUUUUAUUCACCAACAAGGGACUAUUCAUUAUGACACACGCACACACACUUUAAUAGUUAAUAUGAUGCAAGAAUAUAAGAUCAUGUCAUAUUCGAUGAUGGGACACUCGAUUCGAUAAUCCGUAUCAUUAAAUAUAAUAUAAAUCUUACCAACUUUCCAAAAAUCAAAUUUCGUAAUUUUUCCAACGCUCCUUAUCUCUUGGUCAAGUAGUUUUAAAAUUAAUGAAUUUCAAAAGUAUAUGUAAGGUACGUAUUUACAGAUAGUUGAUCACUUAAUAAAUAAUAUUGAAAAAUCAUAAAAUCUGGUUGGCUGAAAAAUUUAACAGACGUAGCUAAUAUUCAAUAAUGUCGAUCGUCGAUUUUCAGAUGUCAUCGCGGAAAACGAAUAGAAAAUUUUAAGAAAUGAGUACUUCUGACUUAUUAUAUAUUUUCUUUUUUCUUUUUCUUUUUUUUAUUUUUAUGUCAGGCAAUUAGGAGAAAACACUUCAUUGGUUGGAAUAAGCAAAGCUGGUCAUCUCCUCCACAUGGAACGCCCCUGCGCAUUCAAUCGCUAUCUCAAGAGAUUCCUCUCUUAUGUUGAUUCUCAUCAUGAUGAUGAUAAUAAUAAUAAUAAUAAUAAUGAUAAUAAUAAUAAUGAUAAUGAUAAUGCUUAUUAGCUACUAUAUAAUCCCAUUUAUAAACACUCUCUCAGGGUCUCUACUACUUCAGGCUUCAAAACUAGGUAAGUACAAUUUAUUUUUUAUAAUCGAGAAAUAUUUCAAAUCUCUUUGAAUGUUAUCUUUAUAAAGUGUUGAUAUAUUGAUAGAUAUAUAUGAUAUUCUUAAGCUGCAUACGAUAACUAAUUAUAGGAUUUCGAGUAAUAUAUGUCAACACAUCAAUAACGUAUAAAAGUAACAUUCUAAAAGAUUUGUUGUAUUUUUCUGCGCAUUAUUAUCCCCUUUAUAUGAGUUAAAAAGAAAGGCAAAGUGAUUAGUUAAGAUUGUUGUAUUGGGUUAUUGGGUGGAAUAUUUGUUCAAUUGGGUAUUUAUGUAUUUGUAUUCCUUAAUUUGUAUGUAUGAUUUGGCUUGUGAAUGUAGUCCCCAAAAAAUAUUUAUCAAUGAGUAGCUAUUUUGAAAUUGAUCCACCAACUAUAUUUUCACUUUUUUUUAAAAUUUUUUUUUGUUGAAUUAGCACUCUCGUGAUUUGGAUUAACACAUUCAAUUCGCAAUUUCGGAUAAAAACACUUUUUUCAUUAGUAAGUAGAUUCAGAAUUAAGUGUUACGAACACUAAUAUGAAAUAUGGAAUAUGGAAUAAGACACGACUCGAACAUGGCGACUCGGCAGCUUUCAAAAAAUCAGAACACGAAUACGGUAUGAACACCGCUAAUAAAAUAUAAUAUUAUUAAUAUAAUAAUAUAAUAUUUUAUUAUAUAUAAAAUAUUGUUAUAUUUCUUAUACGAUUAAAAGUUAAUAAAAUUUUCAUUAAUUGUUGAUAUAUUUUAAGAUAGAAAUUCUCCACUAUAUAUAAUUUAUUUAUAAUGUCCAAAAAAAUUUUGUAUGCAUUUAUAAAAAGCUAAAAUAUUUAUUAUCUUACAUUAUAUAUACAUAAAAUNUAUAUAUAUAUAUAUAUAAUUGUAUGCAUUAUGGAUCAGCAUCGAACACGCGUUCAGAAAAUAUCUACAUCGGACACGUGUCUGACACAGAGACGUGCGUGUCCGACAUUGACACAUGAUGUUUAUAGAAAUGUCAGUGAUACAUAGACCCAGAAUCAGAAGUCCAUGAUGCAAAAACAGAACAUAGACAAACUACUUACCAGUUAAAAUACAAAUGAAGUAGAUAGAAUCUGUUAAGAGAUUAUUUAAAUCAGUAACAAGAGCACUAAACUCCACCACCACAAAAAAUAAAAUAAAAUAAAAUAAAAUCACAUGAAUUAAAUAUUUUUAUCAAGACCAUUGGACAACUUUUACAUCCAUCCAAUUCUAAUUAACAGUUUUAAAACUGAAUAGAAAAGAAAACAAGAACAACUCUUCAUGCUGCUCCUGUUGGUCGAAAAAACAGCGGCCCCUCGACGCUACCGAAUCUCUUCAAAACCAUUCUAACUCUCCUCCAAAGCUAAAACAACAUCGGUUAUGAAAAAGCAUUCGCAAAAACCGGUUGCUGAAAAAGCUUCAGCUUCCCCCUGAGGCAGAAGCAUCCUCUUUUUCUGCUGCGAUAUUUCCCGCACCCUCGUUCGACAGUUUGAUGCGCUGGUAAUGCUCUGCCACCUUAUAAUCGACUACUUCUCUAAACAGCUGCGAAUCCAACACGCAGUCCGGGCGGCCGUACACCGCCGCUUGCACACUCGCCAUCAGCUUCGCAAUCUCUCUCCCCGAAAAGCCCUCGGUCUUCUUAGCUGCCUCCAAAAGCACUUCGUCGCUUAUAUCCUUGACCACUAUUUUCUGCGGCUGCCUCUUGAACAAUGAUCUCCACGGCGGUGAGGAUUCAUUGCUGUUAUUUUCUUGUAACAUGUAUUUGUUUAGGUAGAGUUUGAGGAGUUUGAAUCUUUCCUCUUCUCCGGGGAGCGGGAAUUCGAUCACUUCGUCGAUUCGGUCGGUUACAGCGGCGUCGAGAUCGCCCGGCCGGUUUGUUGCGAGGACGAGAAUGAUGUCCCGCGAUUGGUCACCGGUCCGGAAGAGCAGUGCGUUGAGAGCGCUCCGCUGGGCCUCGCUCAUGUAUGUGCUAUUACGCCUGAUCAAUAAGGAGACGAUUUCAAGAUAUUAACCAUAGACCAGCAAAGCAGGAUUAGCAUAAAAAGUUUUUUUUGGCUAAGAUCUAAAUUAGGAAACUAAGGGCCUGUUUAGGUUGGUUGGAGCAAAUAGAUCUGCUCGAAGAAGCACUAACCACUCUUUUACUAAUCCACCCAAAAACUUUUUGUUUUGGUGGCAAUAGAAGCUUCAUAUUGGAGCUUCUGCUUUUGGAGCUCAGAAUGUCAAAUGCUCAAGAAAAUAUAUGGCUUCAUUUUGCCACUAAGUACUCAAGGGGUACCGACAAGAUAAUUGAGCUAUGAUUAGAUUGUAGCAUGGGAGUGCCAAGUUGCCGACUUACUCGCACAAAAAGGCAUCAGCUUCGUCAAUGAAGAGCAGCAAGCCAUUUUUGGAUUUCUUAGCCCAAUCAAAUAUAUCAUGAAUCUUGGUCACGGCCUGCGAUCCCAGAGGUGCAACAUCGCCUCCUGUCAUCAUCGCAUAAUCCAGGCCCUGUGAUGUAAAUCACUCAGAUGACCGAAUUUUUCACUCUAAACUUCUCACAAUGUUCUACAAAUAGAAAAUUAGUGGAUAAUAUUUUGGUAAAAACGUACAGAACUUACCUGAACCAUGAACUAUUUUGAGUUGACUACCCAACCUUUCAAAAUUUUUAUUUUACUACCCAACAUUGCAACUUGCUUGAUUUGAGUCAGUCAAUGGCACUUUGGUUUUAAAAUUUGAAUAUGUCAUUUAUUUUUACAGGUUUAGUUAGUAUAUUUCAUAUAGUUCUUGCAACUAUAAAUUCAUUUAAUACUUAGCUUAAAAAUUUUAAAGUUAAAGUAUCAUUGACUGACUCAAAUUAAACAAAUUGAAAAGUUGGAUAAUAAAAUCAAAAGUUUGAAAGGUUGGAUAGAUGAUUCUACAUGGUCCAUAGUUCAGGUGAGUUCUGCACGUUUUUAUCUAAUAUUUUUUUAGUGUAGUUGCAUAAGCUAUGAAAAACCAUUGAUAGACAGCAAAAUUCACGCAGAAUAACUGGAAACAAACCGCUCGUUUUACAAGCAAAAAGAAACAUUUUUCUCAUCAAAUCUGCACAAGAACCUUGCAGAAAAUACAAAGAAAAGUGCAAGAAGGAGAUAUAGAAUUCAAACUUUACCGACUUGCGAGCCAUCUCCCUUGCCACCAAGGUUUUGCCAGUCCCUGGAGGUCCAUAGAACAGCAUGUUCCGAAAUGGCGCAUCGUGCGACUUAGUAUUCGCCGUAGCCCGCGCGAGCUGCUCAAUCCUCCUCUUCAAUGAAGGGUGAAGAAUGAUAUUCUCAAAGCUACUCCCGCUUUCCGAAGCUGCCCCAGAGCUAGAUGCCAAGGAUUUCUUAGUGAUCCGCGAAAUCAGGCCCGAAAAUGGAAACUUGGCCAUUGAGGACUCGCGAAUCAGUGAAGGUUGGCCCAGAAUUCUGUUGAUGUAUCCCCACAUAACCCUAGCACCUUCCCUGUAUAAGAUUUAGUCACGAAAUUGAUUAUUUAAGUUUGGCCAGCAUUUCAAUUUCGUCCUCAGAGUUUCAACUCUAACCCAAAAGUUUGAGGUCGAUUGCAAUUUAGUCCCUAAAGUUUGACCUCGGUUUCAAUUCUAUCCUCAAAGCUUCAACCUUAACAAAGGAAGUCUUAGGGCCCAUUUGGGAUUGACGGCCAUGGAGUUAGGGUAAAAGCAUAUAGAGAUAUGCAUUUCCGUUUUUUCAUGGCCUGUAGAAAAUAUAUUAUAACCAACUCACUACAAUAAGUGCAACUUGAUAUUGCAUACGAAAACAAGCAAGAUAUUUUUCCAUCGUGCUUUCUCACCGCAUGUAACACAAUUUUCCUACAAUCCGAAAUGGAACCUUAGAAGGGGCUGAGCUUGAAUAAUUUUUCUUUUUUUCAUGCAUUAAACUAAAGGAAAGAGUUAACUGUUAUGCAGAAUAAUUUCAGUGACUAAAUCGUACAAUUGAUAUCAUGAGGAUGUAUUUUAAAUUCAGAAAUAUUUCCCAAGGAACAAGAUUUGAAAAAGAAUUAUAGACUUUCAUCUAAAAAGCACAAAUUCAAAUACAGAGAAGCAGUAAAAAAAAAAAAAAUAAGUAAAAUGACAUUCUGAGCGAACCUAGUAGUGUAAACACCGGCAGCGAGUGCAGUAACUCCCCCAACAGCCAUUGCUAACUUAGUCCGAUCAGUCAUUAACGUCCUAACACCACCUGCAGAUUCAGAACAAGAAACAAAUCUCAGCAUCUAAAUUCAAGUUAGAUUAUAAAUAUGUGAAAUACCUAUUAGUUCUCGAUCUCAAAACUACCGAGAAUGACUUGAAAGUACAGUUCAAGGCACUUAAUUGUAGAAUUUCACAAUAAACUCGAUGAAAGAAGGAAGCAGAUAUUUUAUAAAUCAAAAAGGAUAUGAAAACAUCCAGUUAAUCAAAUUGUACAGAGAACAAUGUUUUCACUACUUCUGAAGUCAAAUUGAUAUAAUCAAAGCAAUAACAUUUGUCAAGUUUCUUAACAAAAAUAAGGCAAAAAAAAGAAGAGACACCAAUUGAGAAGUAACGAAAAACAGAAUAAUGAUUAACUCUAGACUAUACAGAAAAUGAGAACAAUUACAUCUUUUGAUGAUUAAGAAUUUGAACUGAGACAGUUCAAAAUUUAGGGGAAAAAGGUUCAAAUGUCCAUUUGAAAGAUAAAAACAUCCAACAUUAUGGUAUCAGACUUAAUAAAAAAAAACAAAAAGAAAAGAAAAGAUGAAAGUAAUUCUCAUCCAAUUGGACUCCAAGAAUUUAAAAUAAGGAUGCUUGUAGCAAAUUAGAGAUAGCCAUGUCAGCUUUAGCAAACAACACCUUCUAUAUGGUUAAAUGUUGCAUUUAUGGCGGCAAUCCACUUCUCUCUCUCGCCAUGCAUGCGCUCCAAAAGCAUUCUCUUAUUAUGCUCUUCAGUCAGUUUUGCUUCAUGAGCACGACCCUCAGCUUCCGCCAUAGCUUUGACUCUUAUUGUCUCACGCUCUAUUUCAGCUCUCUCUUUCUCGGUUUGUCUUUGCUGUGCUUGAAUCUGUUCCUCAGUAGCACGCCUAGCUUGUUCCUUUCUAACUGCAGACUCCUCUUGCAUUCUCACGAGUUCUGCGUUCUGUCGCCUCUGAGCUUCAUGUUCUGUCUGCAAAAUGUAUAACACUUGAUAUCUUUAUGAUGAGAAAAUUUACAUACGUGACACUGCAUAAUCUAAAUUUGUACAUCCCAUAAUCCACUUUUAUAAUCCUUCAAAAUUUUAACUUCUACAAAUAUACAGAUGUACUUAGAAAAGUGCAACUCUUUAAUAAACCUUUUCUACUAGAAAACCAACUUCCUCUCCAUGAAUUGGAUGACUCCCCAACUUAAGGAUGUUUUCAUUAAGAAAAAACAACAUUUUUUAGGGGUAUAUGUGAAGAAUCAGGUUUCACAGCGGAAUGCGUGAAUAGGUAAAUUUACAGAUAUAUGACGUAAAACCCACUUAGCUUUUUCUCUAUCAUCGAGUACAAAGGUUGAAGCGAAUGAAAAAAAAAAGUUCUUAUAAAAGAAACUGGGAAAUCAGAUGAGCAGAUUAGAAAGAUGACAAAAAAAAACCUGCAUUCUCUUUCUUGCUAAUUCAUCUUCAUAGCGCGCCAUUUGUGCCUUUGCUUGCGCUUGUUGUUGGACAAUGUUCCUCUGCUCUUCAGCCAGUUUACGUUGCGUUUCCUAGCAAGUGGAAAGCAUUGGCCUAAGAAAACUAUAAAAGCUAAGGGAAUUGAAAAGGCUGGUGCAGCUAAUAAAUAAUUAGGUUGCGGAAACAAAGAGUUUAUUGCUAGUUUGACUAGCAGUAAUUGAGUAGAUAACGGAAUGUGUAACCACCAGUAUAUCUAUUGGAUUCAACUUCAAAGUACAAAUUAUUGAUCAAACAUAAAGAGUUAACUCGAAAUUCCAAAAUGAAAGUACCUCUUCCUUAGAUAGCGAACCAAACGCAAAGGUAUAAGGGGAAUGGCAAAUGGCACAAAAUAUUGUACUAGAUAUUGAUGAAUCAAAUAAAUCUAUCAGGAAAUACUCGUCAGAGAUUAUGUCAAGUUCGAGAAGACGAAACUCGCCAAAAGAACUAGAACAAUUGUUAAGCAACUGCUUGAGGUUUGCUAUCGUAUUCGGAGGGCAAGAGCACUAUCCCAUAUAUCGGUAUCGUAUUCGGAGAGUUAAGUACCUGUACGCUCUGGCUAUCGAGUAGCUUCUCUAUUUGACAAGCGAAAGCUAAGCAUUUGACAAACAAAAACCUAAAAUCUUAGCUCUGGAGGACUUUAGUUAGACUUAUUUAAAAAUGAAUCUUUUAGGGCUUAUUCGAAAAUUUCUACUCAAACAAAACUUAUAGAAAAGCCCCAGUUGGGCCAAAAAAAACCCUCGGCAUCCACAAUAUUAGCUUAAGUAUCAUCUAACAAUCAUGCAAUAUUCUUACGCAAAACCCCCUACUAUACACUCAAAACAAUAAUCAUAAGCUCACACUCAAGACUAUAAUCAUAAUCUUUUAGGGCUUAUUUGAAAAUCUCUACUCAAACAACACUUAUACAGAAGCUCCAGUUGGACCAAAAAAAAAUCCUCGGCAUCCACAAUAUUUGUUAUGUAUUAUUUCUCGAUACGAUCUAACAAUCACCAAACACCCUUAUGCAAAAACCCCUACUAUACACUGAAAACUAUAAUCAACCAUAUCAUACACUACUACAACAAAAGGACAUUGAGCAUGCGGAAAAAUACGAUUUUGAGGAAAGAUAAACAACAAUGUCGACAAAAAAUAAAGAAAAAUGAACAAAAGCUCACGAUUUCAGCUAGAGCUCGGUUGGCGAGAAACUGCGCCUUCUCCGCUGCCAAUUCUUCGAGCCGCGUCUCCUCCUGCUUCCUCAUCACCUCAAACACCUAAAACCACCACGAACACAAGAAAUGAAACACCCAGAUCGCAAAAAAGUGAGUAAGAGGUUCACUGGGGCAUUUGAACAAACACCUGCUUGGCGUGGGGAGAGCUGUUGAUCUUCCGCAGCGCGCUCGCCGCGCGCUCGAGGGACUCGGCGUCGAAGCCUCCCGAGGAGGAGUCGGCGGAGGCGUGGGGUUCGGCGCCGGCUUUAGCGGGCGCCGCCGAAGUCGGAGGACGAGAAGGGGUGGGGGUGAGGAAGGAGAAGGGGCCAUCGGCGUAGGCGCGGUUCGAGAGCGCCGCAACCGCCGCCGCCGCCGCGGCGGUGGCGGCGGCGGUAGCCCGGCGGAGCGGCGGCGGCGGCGGCGGAGGCAUGGGGGUGGUGGUGUUGGUGGAGGAGGACGAGGAGGAGGUGAGGGGCUUUUAGGAAGGGGCUUAGUAUUAUACUCUUUGUUUGUUAAAAAGAGGCAAGUGAAAUUUUUUUACAUAUAGGUUGCUGUAGAAGCACAUAUUUAUAUACUGUAGCCCUCUAAACUUGAUACCCAAGAUUUUUUUUUUUUUUUUUUUUUUUUUUUUUUUUUUCUCUUGUAGAGAAGUUUUCUUGUAGCCUAUCUUUUAGGUCAGCAGUUCGAGCCUCCAUUUUAGCAUAAAUUGGCACUCAGGCCUCAAGUUUAAUAUAUUUGUAAGGUAUAGGACACUGUAGACAAUGCCUAAGAAAAAAAGUGCUUUGGAUUGUCCAAUACAAAUCAUAUUGAAUCACUAAAAAAAGUGCUUUGGAUUGAAUCACUAGAAUGUUUUUACUGAAUAUUGAAGCACAUUUUUAGAGCUAAGAGCUCAGAGAGAGAGAGAGACAGAGAGAGAAUUAUGAAUCUUCUGAAUUUACAAACUGUACAGGCGCGGCAUCAACAAGCCAAACUCACAAAUUAGAUGAUUCAGAAUAUCUGUUCAAUCCACUAAACUCUCUCUCUCUCUCUCUCUCUCUCUCUCUCUCUCUCUCUCUCACACACACACACACACACACACACACACAUAAAAAGGCCUAACAUAGAUGGCAAUGUAAGAUGGAGCAAUACACAGGGAAUGAACAAACAGAACAGCUGCAACAGAUAAUAACCUAAAGAAUCAUCAUAGGAAGAAUAAAUUUACAGUUAAGUAGAAAGAGACAUUGCCCUCCCUAUUUCCAGUAUACAAUAAAAAUCGUCGAUUGUUCGUUGCCACCACAAUAGCUCUUAUAAAAGAAACAAAAAAAAAAAUCGCAAAAUACAUCCAGUUCUUGGAUUUCACAUAAACAGAACAUUUGUAUAUCUAGCAACAUGGAAUUGCAAAGAGGAACAACAACAGUUGCUGAUCGAGUUCGGCAAACCGAAGCAAAGAAAUUAGUUCUACACAGAAAAAGACUAUCUAAGAGUUGGUUUAAAAAUCAUCUUCAUCAUCCAAUUCUUGGUCAUUCGAAGGCCGGAUUCUUUUCCCCUCCCUCAAUGCAAUCCUUCCCCCUUUCUUCGGUUUUCCUCUGAAAAAAAAAAGGGAAAAAAUAAUACGAAAAUGAAUUCUUAUGAUCAUCAUCUCCUAUUCAAAUAAUAAUAAUCUCUGAGACAUUUUGACUUCGUUCCGGGAAUUAUUCCGAGUGAACUCACUGUCCAUUUACUGGAGUGCUUCCUCCUUUCAACCGACCCGGCCCGUACUCGGCUCUUCCAUCUGCAAUCAAUAAACAAUAGAUUAUUAGAGAAAACCAAACUAUCUAAGAUGGAUUGUGAUUCUUCGAUCUUUCCGAUGCAAACUUACCUUCUCGUCCGGCUAAAUGCUCUUCAACCUGGAAAAAUGAGGAGAUGGGCAUUUACAAAUUACCAGGCGAAUGCAAAAAGAAUGCGCUGUUUGUAAGAUGAUAUGACUCCAAUAAUCUGAUUCCUCAAAUAAAAUUCAACUUGAAGCCUAUACCUAACAACAGUGUAAUCGAAUGUGUACUUUUGAAAGAAUUUCAACAUAAACUAAUUAAAGGACAAAAUGACGUAAAGCAAGAAUAAUCUGUAAAUGCAUCACGUUUGAUAAUCAGAAAAGAUGUAAAUUUCAAGGGUUACGUGUGCGAAAAUCUCUAUUACUCAAUAAGUUAUUAUAGUUACAUACUGCUGGAGAGGUAACCGAUGACAAUGAGAAGAGCCUAUCAUCAGGCUGAAACUUCCGGGAGCGCUUGAGGCUGAAGGAAUAAAUUCAAUAAAGUUUAUGUUAUGAUAUGUUAAAUAUCACCCAACACGAUAAUUCAACUUAUUGAGGUUUAAACUGAUAAUAUAAUAAGAUAUAGCAAAUAAUCACUAUCCUAUAUAGUUAAUGAAGGUUGACUCGCCUCGUAAAGAGAGAAUCUUCCUCUAAUAGACCAAAACUAAGGCAUAAUCGGAAUUAGUCGCUAACGAUGGGAAAUAAAGGACUGUUUUGGUUCCUAGGAAAAGCGUAGAAAAAAAUUUCUCCGGAAAAUUUUUUUUCCAUGGAAAACCUCUUUCCAGUUUUCUGCCUGUUUGGCUCUAAAGAAAACAAGCUUUUCUGAAAAACUUUUUCCAGUUCGUUGAAAACUAGUGUUUUUGUUUCCAAAAAAAAAAAAAAAAAAAUCAAAAAACGAAAACGCUAAUUUUCCUCGGAGCCAAACGGGCAAAAAAUUAGAAAAGAAGUUUUCCAUGGAAAACUUCUUUCCAUGCUUUUCCUGGAAACCAAAAAGCCCCUAAAGUAAUUGCACGGAAGUACUCAAAUCCAAAUAAAUAGAAUCAAGUUAAGAGACAAAUUGUAGAGAAGAGGUCUAAACAAGGUUAACUGAAGCAGCUUACUUGGUGGUGCUCUUAGACGAUGACAAAAAUCCUUCGAAACCUUUAAGUACACUUCCAAACUGAUUCGAUUCUUGCAAGUAGGUAGUCUCCAAGUCAUAGACCUUUGAAGCAUGGAGUAGCAAGUGUGAAUGUACUUAGAACAAAAGCUAAUAUUAAAAAAAACGAAAAGAUUAAAAAUAAAAAAGGUGGCGGCAGAGAGAACGUGUAAACUGAAAUUCAAAUUACAAAUUGGAUCCAACUAGGAAACGGGAAAUCAGAGUACCUCUUAUUCGACUAUCUAGUGGAGUUUUGAGUACAUAAAGUAAAAUUAGGGGUCGGGGUCAUCUAUCAGCUUAAGCUUUUGAAGAACAUGGUUUACGGUUCUUUCCCACAUUGAUUCAAAUAGGAAGAAGUUGAACAAGUAAUAAAAAGAACAUACAUAGAAGUGCAAACUAUGUAGUAAGCUACAACAUGACCCAUCUCUUAUCCACUAAUUUCCCAAAAUCUGCAAGAAUCAAACCAGGCGAUUCAACUUACAUCAAAAUUCCACUAGUAAAUUUGCGAAUUGCAAGGGCCUAGGUUUCUACAAAUUCAAUUUUUUGAAGAAAAACAGAUGAUUCGAUCCCUCCCAUACAAGCUAUAAACAAAAUCCUCAUAAAAACACCAUUUUGAUUAAAAACAAAGAUCUAAACCAAAAGAAACAAUCUACAUAUAAUUCUACCGGUAACAAAUGUAGUAGUUUACCAAAUUGCAAGGGUCUAAGCACAAAAAAUUAGAGUUUUUUCAUAGAAAGAAAAAAAAAAAACCCCAUAAUCAAAUCCGUCCCACAUAAAUACACACAAAAUCCCCAAAAGAACACCAUUUUGAUUAAAAAAAAAAUAGAGGUUCCACUACAGAAACUGAAACCAAAAAGGAAUAACCUCCAUAUAAUUCUACAGUACAGGUACCCCAAGUUCUAGAUUUGUAAAUUACAAGGAUUUAAGUGCCUACAAAUCCAAUUUUUCAGAGAAAAACCCAUGAUUCAAUCACUAACAUACAAUUUAUACACAAUAUCCCCCAUAGAUCACCAUUAUGAGUCAAAAAAUAAAGAUUUGAACCGAAAGAACAACCUUUAUACAAUUUUACUAGUGCACAGUUUGUAAAUUUGCACAAUAAAAGGGUCUAAGCACCCAAAAAAAAAUCCAUUUUUUAACAGAAAAAACCCAUGAUUCAAUCCUUCCCACACAAAUUAAACACAAUAUCGCCAUAAGAUCACCAUUUUGAGUACGUGAGAAAGAUUUAAACCAAAAGAAAACAACUUCCGUACAAUUCCACAGGUAUCCAAGUGCUAAAUUUGCAUUUUACAAGGGUUCAAAUGCAAAAAAAAAAGUCCAAUUUUUCGUAGAAAAAAUAAACCCAUGAUUCGACCCAAUCCCUUCCUAUGCAAACAAGAGAUCAAUUAAAAGCAAAAUCAAAAAGGGGAAAAGAAAAUACUUGUCUCUCGAUGCUUCGGAGCUCCUCCUGAAGCUUCGCCCUCUUGCUCACGAGCGCGGCGAGCAUGGCCGAGGGGUUCGACGCCCCCCUGUGCCCUAAAUCCAAUGGCCAUUAGGGCAUCCGAACAACAAAGAAAUUACCAAAAAAAAAUGCAAAAUUCGAAGAAAAAUCGAGAAAAUUUGGGGCGAAAUUUAGAAAACUAGGGUUUUAAAGCGCCACAGUUACCUUCAUCUAUUUCUCCCGCGAGAUUUCGCAUCCGAACCCUUCUACGAGUUCGUAAAUAUGAAAAAAAAACAGAAAAAAAAAAUAGCAAUAGUAUGUGUGUAACUGUGUAUAUGUACCUAUUGGGUAAAUUACACACUAGUCCCCAACAUUUUACCGAACUUUAAUUUGGUCCUCCAACCUUUAAGUUCAACAUAAGCGGCCUCUAAACUCUUAACAAAAGAGUUACACUUUAGUCCUUGUGACUAUUUUAUUCAUCCCACAUUUCAAACCAGCUAUAGCCUAUUGAAUUAUAAAAUUUGUUUGGUAUAAAAAUGGGAUCUCAAAAGUAAAAGGUUACUUUCAUAUAGGUCCCUAUAAAUAUAGUAAAUUACAAAUGUAUCCCUAUAAAGUUUAAUUGUUAUAUGUUGUUUCUGCAACAGUUCCGAUGUUUUCAAAUAUAUCAUUAUCGUUAGAAUCCGUUAAAAGAAAUUAAUUAAUCAUAGAUAAAAUACUUAACCGUAAUUAGUUAAUGAGGUGAAUUAACCUUUGUACCCCUUUUCACAGUUGAGAUUUUUGGAUAGAUAAAUUUGUGAUUGCAAAAAUAUUAUUUUACUUAUAAAAUAAAUAGUAUUUUAAUAGUAACAAAUAAUAUGGAUAUAUUUAAAAAUAUUAGAGCAAACAUGCAGCUAAUAAUUUUCACUCCAAAAUAAGGACUAAAAUAAAAUAUUGUUGAUAGUUUGGGGACUAAAAGAAACCAUUCCCUCUUAUUAAGCUAACUUUGAUAGUUUUAUUAAGAAGAUAUUUUUUUAAAAAAAAAUUUAAGUUUAGAUAUAUUACACAAGCAUAGAAGAUGAUACGUCAAAUCAUUUCAGUGAAAUUUUGCAUUCGAAUUCAAUAAUCAUCUUAAAUUUUUGAACUUAUUCGGCACCUUAUGCGUGCUAAGAAGUUUGAGUUUAGUUCUCGUUCUUAUUACCAUCUAUUGCUAGUUGAUUGGAUCGUUUUCAUGCUUAGUAGCUUGAAUGUAAUUGUAAAUAUGCUGUAAUGUAGUAGCUGCGGAAUAUUUGAGAGUUUUAUAUAUGGCCUAAUUAGACAAGAAAAAUUGCCGCUCCUACCUAUGUUGUUAAUAAAGUUCAGAUUAAGCUAAGUCACAAUCGUGAAACGGAGAUGCACUCGUAAAACGCAGAUGCAAUGUCUGUAAGUUUUAAAUAAAUAAAUUAUUUUUUUCUAAUAGUUUGAUAUUUUGGAAUUGUGAUCAGAGCGGAGAAUCCAACAACUCAAUCAGUGGUAUUAGAGUAUGUCACAAAUUCGAUCUUGAACAAUUUUUAGCAUCAAGCUUAGGAUAAAGGUUAAAGUAAUAUUUCUCCCCAAAAGGUUUGAACUUACGCGAAGAGUGGGAAAUAACUUUUUUUCCUUUAAAUCUUAAGCUGUCAGAGAACUGUAUUUUGAUCUUUUAUAUUAAACACUCCAUUUGGGAUCAAAACUUUAAUUAUCUUUUUUUUAUAAACCUAGGAUAGGAAAUUGAAUUAGAUGGCAUGAAUUAAAUAAGCUCGAAGGUUGGAAAAAAUUGAAUUUAGAAUUUUUUGCCCUGAUGUUAUGAAAAUAAUUAUUUUUCACAAAAGGUGUGUGCAAAAUAAACAUAUGAAAUAAACUCAAAUCUUUCAGGCUAUCAUAAAUAUUAUAUAUGUGUAUGAAAUUUAUUAUAAUUUUAUGUGGCCAACAUAUUUUUUGCUCAUGUAAUAACUAGUGGAGGACAAGUGAACAUCAAUUAUUACAUUUUGUAUAAAAUUGUAGGCUGAAAUAUAAGAAAUAUGUCAAUUUAACUAAUUAGAUUUGUUACAACCUAUUGGCAAAAUUUUCACAGCUUCACAUGAACAAAAAGCCAAAGAACUAUCUAAAGGUAAAGUAUUUAAGUAAAGAGAUUAAGAAAGACACAUAUUACACCCAAUAGAUUUAAUUAUAUUAAGCAGUAAAGAUACCAUCUUAAUUACAUAUGAUCACUCUGAUCAUAUCAAAUAUGGUGAUCUGUGAUAAUAUUACAUGAGAUAAAGUAGAGAAAUACAAAGAUGCUGAGAAGCCAGUUAUGUUUCAUUUUCUUCUUGGAGCAGCUUAUUGUUGUCUUGUUUUCCUUUCCUCUACUAUCUGUCUCUCCAAAGAAGCAAGUACUGGUCCUACUUAGUAUACUAUAUAGCAUACUCUAGCCUUGCUUCAGUAGAAAUUCACGUACCUUAUCCUGAAAGAGAGGACGACGAUAUCGAUUAGAUUUAUACAAAAGAGCAAAAAAAGUACCUUUCUUAGCAAAACACCGAACGGUUACCGUAAAAGAUUGAUUAGUUAGUAUGUAAUAAGAGACGUACUUAUGUGAAGAUUUGGCUCUGAAGUGUGUUUCAUUUGCGUAUAUAGUAGGACGACGAUAUCGAUUAGAUUUAUACAAAAGAGCGAAAAAAGUACCUUUCUUAGCAAAACACCGAACGGUUACUGUAAAAGAUUGAUUAGUUAAUAUGUAAUAAGAGACGUACUUAUGUGAAGAUUUGGCUCUGAAGUGUGUUUCAUUUGCAUAUAUAGCGCACUAUUGUAUCAUUACAAGAAGCAUUGAUUAUGGUGCAUAUGAAAAAUAGGCCAUUUUUAUAUUUGUGAGUCAUGCACCAUGGCAUAUUUUAUGCAUAGGCCCGAAUAAUUGUUUAACGUUAAGCAAACAUCUCAGCAUGGCCCACAAAGCCAUGCAUGCAUGCCAACUCAGGCCUUCCAGGCAUGCAAAACAAAGUUCCUUUUCGGUAGAAAAGUUGUUGUUUGAGAAUUUGCACGAAAAUUAAAGCGUGCACUUUUUCGGCAAGUUUUUUUUUUUUUUUUUUUGGCAAAAAGUUGGUAUAUAUGGUAAACAGUCUAAAUUAUUUUUGCUUUCACUAAAACUAACAAUAAACAUUUUGUUACAUAGAGUAAUAAGAACAAAAUAUUAUAGGGAAUAACUGCUUCUAUCUCUACGCCUUAUAGGCAGUAUUAUCACCUUUAGCAUUAGAAGAGGAGUUAUCAUUCUCCGACUCGAUGCUUUUGAGGUCUUUGAUGAGCAUCUCAUAGUGUCGCUCCACUUCUUCGGCAGUUUUCCCCCCACCAACGGCCCGUGCUAUCUUCUGCCAUCGGUUGGGUGUGCCCUCAUCAUACCUAUCUAACGCAUCCUCAAAUAGCUUGUUCUGCUCUUUGGUCCAUGAAGACAUAUUUCAAGAAGUUGGAAGAAAAAAAAAAGGUAUGGAGAGUUCAAGAAUUGAAUGAGGUGAGGGAGAGAAAGAGAAAAUAAGAAGAAAUAGAGAGAAAGGCAGAUAUGCACAUAAAGUUUGAGUUACCGAUGGCGCUAUUUAUAAUGAGAAGAAGCCAAUUGGCCAAGCGGGGUAGGGAGAGAACGACAAAGUGGAAGAGAAAGAGUAUAAGCAGAAUGACUAACUUGUUUAAGAGCCACAAUUGAAGAGAGAACGAGAAUUUGGCAAUAAGAAUUUUUGUCUAUGUAUGCCAAGUAAGAAAAGUCUAUAUCUACUUAAAGAGAAUCAUCAUCUUCCUAGGCUUAGAGAAGAUAGGAAAGGGUCUAUUCAUCUCUUUUGUCCCC
rnacentral:lncRNA from 1 species